GUAGAAAAACCUAAAAAUUAUCCUAUCAUAGGAACAAAAUGGGUUUUUAGAAAUAAAUUAGAUGAACAUGGCAUAAUUAUUAGAAAUAAAGCCAGGUUAGUAGCAAAAGGAUAUAAUCAAGAAGAAGGAAUAGACUAUGAAGAAACAUAUGCUCCUGUUGCAAGAUUAGAAGCCAUUAGAAUGCUAUUGGCGUAUGCAUCCAUAAUGGAUUUUAAACUUUAUCAAAUGGAUGUUAAGAGUGCCUUUCUAAAUGGCUUAAUUCAAGAAGAGGUAUAUGUUGAACAACCCCCUGGUUUUGAAAUUCCUUAUAAACCAAACCAUGUUUAUAAAUUACAAAAGGCUCUUUAUGGUUUGAAACAAGCCCCUAGGGCAUGGUAUGAACGCUUAAGCAAUUUUCUUCUAGAAAAAGAUUUCUCCAGAGGUAAAGUGGAUACCACAUUGUUCAUAAAGAGAAAGCAUAAUGAUAUUUUAUUGGUUCAAAUAUAUGUUGAUGAUAUAAUUUUUGGAUCCACUAAUGACUCAUUGUGCAAGGAGUUUUCCCUUGAUAUGCAAAGUGAAUUUGAAAUGUCAAUGAUGGGAGAACUAAAGUACUUUCUGGGAUUACAAAUCAAGCAAACUCAAGAAGGUAUAUUCAUCAAUCAAUCCAAGUACUGCAAUGAAUUGAUCAAAAGAUUUGGGAUGGAUAGUGCAAAACACAUGUCUACACCGAUGAGCACUAAUUGUUACUUAGAUAAAGAUGAAUCUGGUCAGUCUAUAGACAUAAAACAAUAUCGAGGUAUGAUCGGAUCUCUUCUUUAUUUAUCUGCUAGUAGACCUGAUAUUAUGUUUAGUGUAUGUAUGUGCGCUAGGUUUCAAUCCAACCCCAAACAAUCACAUUUAAGUGCAGUAAAGAGAAUCAUGAGAUAUCUAUUAGGAACAAUCAAUUUAGGAUUAUGGUAUCCUAAGAAUUCAACAUGUAACUUAAUAGGAUAUUCUAAUUCUGAUUUUGCCGGAUCUAAAACUGAUAGAAAAAGUACAAGUGGAACUUGUCAAUUCAUUGGAUCGGCUCUUGUCUCAUGGCAUAGUAAGAAACAAAACAGUGUUGCUUUAUCUACCGCUGAAGCAGAGUAUAUCUCUGCCGGUAGUUGUUGUGCACAGAUUUUAUGGAUGAAGCAACAAUUAUCUGACUAUGGCAUCAUUCUUGAUCGUAUACCUAUUAAGUGUGAUAAUAUUAGUGCCAUAAAUCUAUCCAAAAACCCAGUUCAACACUCUAGAACUAAACAUAUAGAGAUUAGACACCACUUUCUUAGAGAUCAUGUCCUAAAGGGAGAUUGUGUAUUAGAGUUUGUUGAUACUAAGAAUCAACUUGCUGAUAUUUUCACAAAACCUCUCCCCAAGGAAGUGUUCUUCUCUAUUAGAAGAGAGUUAGGUCUCUUAGACGUAAGAGAUUUAGAAAAAUAGGAAUUGAUUGGAUGAUUAAUUGAUUGAUUGGUUCAUUUACUCUUAUUUAUUGUGUAUAGAUUAUUUUGUUUGUUUGAUCUUGUUUGAAUUCUUGUUUUUAUGAAUGAUUGAUUGUGUUUUGAUUUAGUAUAACGCUUGUGUUGUUUAAUUUAAUUUACUUUUUGUUAGUAUAAUUAAUUAUUAAGAUAGUAUAAGUUUUUAGACUUAGAAAUAAGUUUUUCUUUUAGAAAAAGGCUAUUCUUUGUUCUGGUAAUUGAUUACAUGAAUACUGUAAUCGAUUACACUAGAACAGAUAGCCUGUAAUCGAUUACAGUAUUCAUGUAAUCGAUUACCAGUAGGCUGCCUCCUCCUAUAAUCAAUUACCAUUACUUGUAAUCGAUUACCACGCGUCCUGCUCUAUAAAUAUCACAUUUUCCAGAAAUCCAUGUGCAGCCCCUUUUCUCUCACGACGUUCCUCCAUUCCCAAACCUCCAAAUCUUCGUAUCUCACUCAUUUCUUCAUCAAAUCAACUCCCAUAAAUUGCGAUCUUCUUCUUUUUCAUUUCUCUUUUGAUUUCACCGAUUAAAAUCUGCAAAAACUCCUUCAAAUGGCAGAAUCGUCAAAGAAACGAAAGGGUUCUUCCGCCUCCGCUUCGGCUUCAAGAGCUCAUCGUUCCGGAGCCACUAGCGCAUCCACAGCACCAACUCCACCCUCAUUGUCCUCUUCCCCAGUGUUUUCUUCCGACGAACAGCAGAAACGGUACUCCAAUCUUUUCUCAUCUUGUUCCAUUAUCGACCCUAAGUUUAUUGAUAUGGAAUUCUUUUCUGUUGAAACCUUUGAUUGCAUUCAAGCCUUUCAGAACUUAGGUCUUCUACCUUUUAUGUCAUUACAAUUGCCUAUUUAUCCUGAAUUGGUUAAAGCUUUUUAUUGUAAUCUUGAAAUUCAGGACAACACUCUGAUUUCUGAAAUUUUUGGGAUAAAAAUGGUCAUUGACCAGUCCCUUUUCCAUGACUUAACCAAAUUACCCAGUGACGGUGUACCAUUUGAAGGUACACUGAAUGACGACUGGAAAUUUGAUUUCUCUGCCCAUGAUGCCCGCCAGUUGGUUUGCACCAACAAUGCGGAUAUGACCGGACGUCUUCUUGCCGGGUCAUUGGCUUUUGAAAGCCGCAUCCUUCACUAUUUAAUUAUGCGUAUUUUGCUUCCACGGUCUUCCAACCUUGCCCAGGUUUCUGAGGAAGAUCUAAUUAUCAUGUGGGCCUUUCAUACAGGGCGUCAACUUGACUGGGCACACUUAGUCAGAUAUCGCAUGCAUAAGGCAUUGCGAUUAAAUGCUCCACUACCAUAUCCACAACUUGUCACUCUCUUUUUCCGCCAUUUUCAAAUUCCUCUUGAUUCUGAACCUUACGUUCCAAUCAAGAGAUCCUUUUUAAUUGGUGCUGCUGUGAUUUCUUCUUUUGGUUACCGCAAAGAGCAUGAUGGAUCUUGGGUCAAAAAGGGUGCUCCACCCGCUGAUGAUGAAGGCAACCAACCAGUUGAAGAUAAUUCCUCUUUUCUUCGAAAGAUUUUGGAAAAGUUCGAUGGUCUUCAAACUUUUGUUGGUGACAAGUUUGAUAAUAUGGAAUUGCAAGUCGACAUGCGGUUUGAUGCCAUGGAAUCAAGGAUCACCAAAGUUGAAGAAGAUGUCUCCUUCAUCUGUACUUGCUUUGAUCCACCACCACCGCCUCCAUCAUCCUCUUAGCUUAUAUGUUAUUAUUAAGACUAAGUAUUAUUAGUGGUUAAGUAUUAUUAGUACUCUGUUUUAACUCCGUGUAUUUGGCUUUUUAUUGCUCUAGUUAUCGUAGUCUUGCACUAUAAUUAUAUUUCUAGACAUUGCUUUUGUUGAUUAUGCAAAUGUAUGGUUUUAUUUUGGUUUAAUGGUUGGCUUUGUUUGGAUAUUUAUUGUGUUAAUGUUUGGCUAUUGAUUGCCUUGCUCUAGUUCUUUUUGAUGUUGCCAAAGGGGGAGAGAACUUGGGAGAGAACAUGGGUUAGAAAUCAAUUAGAAAUUUAGAAAUUUAUCGUUAAGAAAAGUUAGGCAUAAAUGCCAAAAGAUAGGGGGAGUAAGGGUUGUGUGAACGUGCUAUCAUCUUGUAUAUAGCUUGUCUUGAUUUCAGGUGUUGUCAUCAUCAAAAAGGGGGAGAUUGUAGACAAAGGAUCAAGAUGAAAGUUUUGAUGAUGCCAAAGGAUUACAUGAAUCAUAUGCUUCUCAAAGAUUUACUCAAGACAAAGAAAUUAGAGUUAAUCAAGAUGGAUGAUCAAGACAGUCUAUAGAGUCUUAAAAAGGAUAUUAAAAUGGAAGGGAAUUCCAAUUGGAUUAGCAAAAGGUUUGGCCAAGAAUUUUAAGCUAAAAAGUGUUUUUCAACAAAUUUACUCUCUGGUAAUCGAUUACCAGAGGAUGUAAUCGAUUACCAGUGGCCAAAACUGAUUUACAAUAGCUAUUAAAAUUUGAAUUCAAAAUUUGCACUGUGUAAUCGAUUACACAUAUAUGGUAAUCGAUUACCAGCAGUUUCUGAAUGUUUUAAUUCAAAUUUUAAAGAGUGUAAUCGAUUACACACUUAUUGUAAUCGAUUACCAGAGGAGUUUUUCAGAAAACAUUCUCAUCAGUCACAUCCUUUCAUGUGGUUAUUGAAUGGCUUUCAUAGGCCUAUAUAUGUGUGACUUGAGACACGAUUUUGAUAGAGUUUUUCAGAACAAAAAGUGUUUAUCCUCUCAGAGAGCAAAUUCAUUUUAUCCUCUUAAGAAUUCCUUGGCCAAUUCAAUUGCAAUUCAUUAAGGAAUUAUUUGAGCGCUUAAUCUGUAAAAAUCUAUCUCUUUCUAGAGAGAUUCAUUCUUCUUCUUCUACUCAUUCUCUAAGGAAUUAAGAGACUGUGGGUCUCUUGUUGUAAAGGAAUUCUAAACACAAAGGAAGGAUUGUCCUUGUGUGUUUAGAACUUGUAAAAGGAAUUUACAAGAUAGUGGAACUCUCAAGCAGGUUGCUUGGGGACUGGACGUAGGCACAAGGGUGUGGCCGAACCAGUAUAAAACUGAGUUUGCAUUUUCUCUUCCCUUAAUCUCCUUUAUUUAUUAUUGCUUUAUAUUCAUAUUCAAAUUGUGUUAUUUGAAUUAAUAUUUAAGAAGAUUGUCAUUAAGGGAAUUCAUAACUUGAAUAAAAAGUGAAAUAGAUUUUUAAUUAGGGCAAGUAGUUUGGAAUAUCUUAAUUCAACCCCCCCUUCUUAAGAUAUUUGAGGCCACUUGUCUAACACUUAGUUAUGGCAUUGUAGGGUUGCACAUAUAAGCAUGCAUCAUCUCAACCAUCUAGUUAAAAAAGACUUAGUAAUUAGUGUUUGGAAACUCAAGUUUGAGAAAAUUAAAUUGUGUGAAGCAUGUCAAAAAGGGAAACAAGUUAAAAAUUCUUUUCAAAGUAAAAAGUUGUUUCUACUUCAAAAUCCCUUGAACUACUUCAUAUAGAUUUAUUUGGACCUUCAAGAAGUAUGAGUUUAGGUGACAACUACUAUGACUUAGUAAUUGUAGAUGAUUAUUCAAGGUUCACUUGGACUUUGUUUUUGAAAACCAAAAAUGAAGCAUUUGAUGUUUUUCACAAACUUGCCAAAGUUAUUCAAAAUGAGAAAAGUCUUAAUAUUGUUUCAAUUAGAAGUGAUCAUAGAGGUGAAUUUUGAAAUGAGUAUUUUGAAAAGUUUUGUGAAGAAAAUGGAAUUCACUACAAUUUUUUCGCCCCUAGAACACCUCGACAAAAUUGUAUUGUGAAAAGGAAAAAUAGAUCCCUCAAAGAAGGAACUAAAAUUCCUCUAAAUGAAACAAGGCUACCAAAGUACAUUUGGGUUGAUGUUGUUAGCACUAUUUGCUGUAAUUUAAAUAUGGUACUUAUAAGACAUAUUCUAAAGAAAAUCCCUUAUGAACUUUACAAAGGAAGAAAACCAAAUAUAUCUCACUUAAGGGUCUUUGGUUGUAAAUGUUUUGUUUUAAAUAAUGGUAAAAAAAUCUCUUGGCAAAUUUUAUGCAAAAGUUGAUAAGGCUAUUUUUCUUGAUUAUUCGUUGCAAAGCAAAACAUAUAGUGUUUAAUAGGAGAAAUUUAUAUGUAGAAAAAUCUAUACAUGUUUUGUGUGAUGAAACUAAUUCUAUUGUUCAAGAAAAUUAUUUGGAAGAUAAAGAUGCAGGUUUUCUAGAUAAGGAUACUACUCUUGAAGAUGAAACCAAAGUUGAAGAGAUUGAACAAAGCAAAGAAAUCACUGUCAUACCUCCUAAAGACCUCCCAAGAGAAUGGAUAACUCAGAAAGACCUCUCAUUGGACAACAUUAUUGGUGAAAUAUCAAAAGGAGUUUCUACUCGCUUUAGACUCAGGAUUUUAUGCAAUAACAUGACUUUUGUUUCUCAAUUUGAACCAAGAAACAUAGAUGAAGCUUUGUAUGAUGAGCAUUGGUUACUAGCUAUGCAUGAAGAGUUAAUCAGUUUAAAAGGAAUGAAGUGUGAGACUUAGUUCUUAAACAUGCCUCUCACAAGUCAAUUAGAACAAAAUGGGUGUUUUGAAACAAACUUGAUGAAUCAGACAUCAUACUAAGGAACAAUGUGACACCCUUUAUCCCGACAUACAUAUAAAUAAAUAAAUAAAACAUAAAAAUACAGAUAAAAAAGUUCACGUGGGUAAAAGGUUCACAUUCAUUUCACCAUUAUCAAAUAAAACUUAUUAAAAACAUAUCAGACUCAGAACAAGGUCGUCAAAGUUUACAAAAGAAGUUUUGUUAAAUCAGUGAGGUAAAACAAAAUAAAAUAACAUCAUACAAUUAAAAUAAAAAUGCAUCCCCAAUGUCACAUCCUAUCAAAGCAUUGUGUCCCAACGUCCUCUAACACGAUAUUCUUUAAAGUCAUCUACCUAGGCAUCUGCUCAUAUGAACACAAGGUUCAAGAUUAUCACAUGAUCUAAACACAAAUAGCACACAAGGAGUGAGUUAUCACAUUUCUAAAAAAAAUAAACAAAGACAUGAUUAUAAUAAAUUAUAAAAGUAUUUAUAACAUAGCUCAACUUAAUACAAUCCAUGUCAGUUCACCACUUUAUCAUUUAAAAUUCAUUUUUCAAUCACCAAUCACAUUACACAUGAAUCACACACUUGGGUCAAGAUGUAAUAACACUCAUCAAUUUCAUAAUAAACAAUUAGCAGGUGUUAUGCAACAAUUAUACUAAGACUCAAGCCUAUAUGCAAUGUAGUACCAUGUCAGUGAAAAAUCACAAUAGGGCGCUAAGGAGUACACAACAAAACACACCACACAAUGGGUAUGUCAGGGCACUCUCACUAAGUAAAAUCAUAAAGUGACCAGUCAAGGUCACUCUGUUUUGCAAGAAUGCUCCAACAAUACGGGAUCAACAUAGGCUUAAAGGAGUACUUAAAUUAAGUGUCUUUACCCUAAGGCCUAGAUUCCGAAGAAUCCGUUAGGGUCUCACCUUCCUGAUUCAGGUCCAAUCUCUAAAAUAAUUUUUGUACGUAGACACUGCUCAUGAAUUAUACAAUACCCACGACCUCAUACUCGUGUUUCAAACACGUUUAACACAUUGUGCUAUAAUUUAACACUUUAGGUUCCUAACUAGGAAUCCUACACUUUCCCUUUAAUACUGCGCAUAAACACUUUUCUCAAGGUAAUCACCAGUCGGGUUAUUGUAUAAUUCAUAACUCACAACACAAACAUUGUUACAUCAAGUGUUAACCACACACUUAUUCACAACAAAAUUUCAUGUCCACAAUUUUAACAUAUCACAACAUCACAAUCCACCAUCACAUGUUUACAUGUAUCUAAAAAAUUAACACAUGUUCAAUUUUGCGCUUAUGCUCAAUCUCAACAACAAUGUUAUAAUCUCAUUAUAACUAUUUAUCACGCUUCAAAUCAUAUGCACAUCACACAAUAAUAAUAUUUGCAUGACACAAAACACACACACAUAUAUUAAAUCAAACUAUAUUAUUUUCAAUUAAAAAGAGUUUCUACAAUAAUUAAAUUAAAAUUAUAUCGAAAGAAAUUACUACUAGGCAUUAACUUUACAAUUUUCUUUAAUUUAUUAUUUUAUUACUUUAAUUAUUGCAAUAUAUACAUAACAUGUUGAUCAUCAUCGUGGGAAGAUACAAAACAAAGACAAUAAUUUGUAUAAAAUAAGCUAUUAAAGAGAAGAUUAUUUAGAGUACAAUUUACGUUAAUUAAAAAAACUCAAUUUUUAGGGUUCACACUUAAUACAAGAACACCUAAAAACAUAUAUAAUUUACAAUUAUAAUUGUAAAGAUAGGAUCGAAGUUUGUAGAAACACCCAAAAACUCAUUCCAAUUAAUUCUUUAAGGAUCCCUACACAUGUUCUCACUACUUUUCAAUUGUGAAUAACUUAUCCCUUAUCUCUAGGUGGGCCCACAGAUGUAGUCCGAUAGUGAUACCGACAACUCUAGUGGUUUUGUGAGUCUCCUUAAGUUUUUCUUCUGAUUGUUAUGUUAGGAUUUUCAAGCGUGAUAGAGAACAAGAAGAGAUUGUAGCCUUCAUUUCAUUGUUAAAGUGUUAGACUAAUUUCUCUCUUCAAAAACAUUAUUUCACAAAUUCCAACAGUGAAAAUGUGCACAGGUGGUGUCCAAAUUUCAUGAUGAUCCAACGGUUAGCGUAUCAUGGAUCGUAGUUUUACUGGGAUAGGUUUGGGUGUAUGCAGGAAAAGAGAAAGCUCAGUGCGAGGAAUAUUUCUUCCACCACAGACACUAUCUUGAAAAUCCCAACGGUGGACGUGUGUGUAAAUAAGUUGCGAACCUCGUGUUCAAAUUUCACAAUAAUCCAACAACUAAUGAGUCCGGGAUCAUCGUUUUACGAAGACAUAUUUGAGUGUAUGCAGGAAAAAGAGGGGGUUUUGGGAAAUGAAGAAUGAAAAAGAGAUUUGAAAGAAAGAGAGAAUGUAGAGAUGUGUGUCAUAAAUGUAAAAAGUGACCUAUUACAUCUCUAUUUAUAGCUAGGGUAUCCUGAACCUAUUAUUUACUCUAUUUUUCUUUGUUUUAUCAUUUUAUAUUAAGAAAAUCUAUUUUACUCCAUGUUAAAUGAAUAAAUAAAAUAAUUUUUCUUCUAAAAACAUAUAUUUAUAUUUACCUUAAAACUAUUAUUUUAAUUAAUAAAACUAUUUCUCUUAUUUAUUUAAUUACAAAAAGCUCAUUAUUUUCUUAAAAUUCUAUUUAUUUUAAAUAAAAUUAUUUUUAAUUUAUUUUAUAAAAAAUGGGAUGUUACAAACAAGGUUAGAUUGGUUGCAAAAGGAUACAACCAAGAGGAAGGCAUUGACUAUGAUGAAACCUAUGCACUUGUUGCAAGGUUAGAAGCCAUUAGGUUGUUGCUUGCUUUUGCAUGUAUUAUGGUUUUCAGGUUAUUCUAAAUGGAUGUGAAGAGUAUUUUUCUCAAUGGAUACAUCGAAGUAAAGAUAUAUGUAUACCAGCCUCCUGGUUUCAUAGACUUUGAACAUCCUAAUCAUGUUUACAAGAUGAAAAAUCCUUUGAAUGGUUUGAAACAAGCACCUAGAUCUUGGUAUGAAAGAUUGAGCAAUUUCUUAAUUGAUCUAUCUUUUGUAAGAGGUUAAGUUGAAAAACAUUAUUUAUCAAGAGAUCAAACAAUGAGUUGUUAGUUGUGCAAAUCUAUGUUGAUGAUAUAAUUUUUUAUGCUACUAAUGAAACUUUGUGUAAGAAAAUUUUCAGUUUUAUGCAGCAAGAAUUUGAGAUGUCUAUGAUAAAAAAGUUGAACUUCUUCCUUGGACUUCAAGUCAAGCAAAUGAAACAUGGAACCUUCCUAUGUCAGAAAAAAUACAAAAUAUUGCACAAAACUAAUUAAGAAAUUCAGCAUGGAAAAGUGCAAAGAAGCAUCAACAUCAAUGGCAACAUCAACUUAUCUUAACUUAGGUGAAAAAGGUAAAUUAGUGGAGGAGUCAAGGUAUAGAAGUAUGAUUGGUUCAGUUCUUUACUUAACUAAAAGUUGAUCCAAAUAUUAUGCUUAUUGUUUGCUUGUGUUCAAGAUAUCAAGCUAAUCCUAAUGGAUCUCACUUAACAACUGUUAAAAAAAACAUUAAGUACUUUAAGGGCAAAACCAAUAUUGGUUUGUGGUAUCCCAAAGGUACCUUCUUAAAUCUAAUUGGUUUUUCAGACUCUGACUUUGCAGGAUGCAAGCUAGACAGGAAAAGCACAAGUGGGACAUACCAUCUUUUAGGUAGCUCUCUUGUAUCUUGGAAUUGCAAGAAACAAGCUUGUGUAAUACUAUCCACUGCAGAAGCAAAAUAUAUUGCAGCUAGAAGUUGUUGUGCUCAAAGUCUCUGGAUGAAACAACAACUUGAAGAUUUUGGAGUAAUCCUUGAUCAUAUUCCUUUGAAAUGUGACAGCACAAGUGCUAUUUAUCUGGCUAAAAAUCCUAUCAUGCAUUCUAAAACCAAACAUAUAGAGAUAAGACAUCAUUUUCUUAGAGAUCAUAUAUUAAAGGGUGAUUGCUGCAUUGAGUUUAUUUAUAGUGAACAUCAACUAGCUGACAUCUUCACUAAACCUCUAGCUAGAGACAGGUUCUAGCAUUGAAUGAUGUUAUGCUUUGUACAUGUAGCCUAUUUAUAUGCUCUCUAUGUCUAUUAUUUUCUUUUAUGUCUUAGUAUGUUGAUAUGUUGAUGUGUAGUUGAUUUUUCUCUAAAAAUACAUGUUUACUCUGUCAUUUCGUGUUUUUCAUUGUUUUAAUUGAUUAUUCUCUUGUGUAAAUCGAUUACACUACAUUGUUGUGUGUUUAUCAGUUUUUUAAACCGUCUGUUUCAAUCGAUUACCUUAUGGUUUAAUCGAUUACCAUUUAUGCGUUUGUGGUGUUAUGGUUCAAAGUUUGUUGUUUUAAUCGAUUACUAAAUUGUUUUAAUCAAUCACGUGUUGGACUUAAAACUUUUUCCUAGCGUUUUGUUCUAUUGUAAUCGAUUAUGGCUUCAAUUUAAUCGAUUACAUGUUGUGGUUUAUGGAUUCUUUUGGCUUUAUGUUCUGUUUUGUCGAUUACUAUACAUUUUAAUCGACUACAAAGGCCUCAGGGGGAGUUUUAUUGGCAUAUUUAAUCGAUUACACUUGUGUUUUAAUCAAUUACUUAUACUAGCUUUUGUUUUGGGUGAAAACAAGGGCCAAUUUAAUUGAUUACUAUGUUGUUCUAAUCGAUUACUUGCAUGUUUUUUUGUGUGUAAUCCGUUACAUAUUUUCAUCUUCACCUCAUCAACCACCAUUAUUACUGCCUCACCACCCACCUCAGCCAACCAAAAUGAUUCAGCCUCUCUUUAUAAGCCAACCCAAACCUAUCCACAAAUCACACUAACACCUCUUCUAAAACCUCCUGUUACCACCCCUCUCUGAACCCAAGCAUUUUAUACUCUCAAACCCUUUGUCUCCUUUUCAAGAUGACAAAUAAUCCUUCAAGAGCAUAGUAGAAAGCAAAAACUUCCAAGAGGAAGCAAGAAGAAUGCUCACAGGCUGCUCUCAACCAUUUAGAUACAUGGUUCACAAAUUAUAGCAAGAAGAAUGACUACAUGAUGAUUUAUGCUAUAAAAAAUGUGAGGAUCCCUAAGUAUUUUGACUUGGAAUGGUUCUCUCAACAAGGGUUUAACUUUCCUAAUCUACUGAAAGCACAAAGAUUGUCAAAGCUGGUGCAAAUGAAAUGAACUUUUUAUCCAAAGCUAGUCAAGGUUUUCUACACCUGUGCACGUAUUGACCUUGAAGGUAACGUCUUCUCUACUGUAAUUGGAGUAAAAAUGGUCAUUGAUGUUGUUGUGUGAAAGAAAGUAGUUGGUCUGGACAUGGGUGGAGUCCACAAGUUCGAUGAAACGCCUGAUGGGUACAGUAAGAUGCAGACAUAUAGGGGAAUGCUUCUUGACCCUACUAGGAACUUGAGGAAUCACUUAAGAGUUGGUGGAAAAAUUACAGAGGAUAGAAUGCUAGUUUAACUCAUUACCUACAUUCUCACUCCAAGGUCAAGUUAUCACGCUUAGGUAACGAAUGAUGAUCUAUAAAUUGUUUAUGGUUGAAAUCAGGUAUCAAGAUAAACUAGGUACUGCUGAUAAAGACAUUAUGCUGAAACGUCAUCGCCUUGUGGAUUUAUGAAUUUCCUUAUGAUAUACUUGCCUCAAGAUUCAUUAACUACUUCAAUGUUGAUGUCUCUAAUGAGAUUAUGGACUUUACCAAAACAUCUAGUGAAAUAACCAAAAAGACACCUCAAGAAGCUUGGAAUGAGGUUUGUUGAUCAUGAAUGGAUAAUGGUUGGAGAGCCAGCAGCUGAAAACAUUGAUCAAAUGGAAGAAUAUGCUAAAGUUGAAGCUCCAUAAGAGCCAGCACAUCAACAAAGUCCUUUUGAGUCACUUAUUAUUCCAAAGAUGGACGUUGUGUUUCACCUCUAUCAAGAGCACUCAACUAAAGUUCACAAUUAGUUGGAGAAUAUAACUACCCGACUGGAAAACAUUGAAACUAGGUUGACCCUUAGCAACUUCCUUAACCCUGGUGAGGAUUAAGCUUAGUUGUGUUUGAAGUGCUUAGUUCUGUUGUUUGGUUGUCCUUUCUGAUUAUGUUCAAUUCUGUUUCUGUCUUUAUUUUUGAUUAAGUAGCUAUGGUCUUUUAAAAUGAUAUAAUGAUUAGUUGUAAUUUUUUUUAUGAAUGAAAUGCUAUGAUCUUUUCCUUUAUCACAUCAUAUGUUUCUCUAUUUACUCUAUGAGUAGUUGUGACUUUUUGGCCUUGUUAUACUAAAAGGGAGAUAAACAUUGCAUUAGUAUUGCAUUAGGAAGUAUUAAUGCAUUGUAUACAUAUAUUCAUACACAACUCUACCUAAUGAUGAUGAUGAUAUGAAUUAACACUUCUCUUAGUAUUCAGAAACUUUUAGGUUUUCUAAGAAAAGUCUCUACUCUUAAGACUCUCCAAAUGCACUCAAAUGACAAUUCAAGUUCGGCAUCAUCAAAGCCAAAAAGGGGGAAUUUGUUGGAGAUAGGGGGAACAACAUGAAUAAGCUUUGGAGCUUGAAGACGUUUUGUUUUUUUACAUGCUCAACUCUUUAAGUGACAUUUGUAUUGAUUGUUGCAUCUUAGUCUUUAUAUUUUCAUAUGUAGAUCAUCCAUAAUCAUAUAGAGGAAAUAAGAUUGUUUCUAAAGUUAGAAACUUCUUCAGUGCAUAAAAUUCUCUAUUUUAAUCAAUUACAAGGUUAAUCGUAAUCGAUUACACAAGUGUUUGAAACUUGUAGAGAGAUCCUCAUUUUGGUUUAAUCAAUUACCAGUUAACUGUAAUCGAUUGCACAAUUCAGUUGGGACCAUGUCUAAUUUUUAUGAGUCUCUACUUUAAUCGAUUACCUGGUGAUCGUAAUUGAUUACUUCACUCUUAAAAGUGUUCCCAGAAAUGAUCAAGAACACUUUAGUCGAUUACAUCAAGAAUCUAAUUGAUUACAUUGUUCUUGAAAGUUUUUAAGAUAUUGGGAAUAUCACUUUAAUCGAUUGAAAUUAUAAUAUAAUUGGUUACUUCUUCGAAAUAAUCGAUUAUAUUGAAUAUUUAAUUGAUUACAGGCGGUUAUAAAUUUUUUCUCUAUAAAUAAUCACCUUGUGCUCUCACUUUAACAACAACGAAUAGAAGAAAAAAGAAAGAAAGAAGAAAAAGUGCAUAGAAAAAGGUAGAGAUUGUUUCCACAUGUAUAUGGAUGAAAAAGGUAGGCUAAAGUCUUUCUUUAAGGUUGAAUGUGCUAAGGUAGCCCUCACCACAAAAUGCUGGACUUCUAUUCAGAAUUUGGAUUACUUGACACUAACAUAUCACUUUAUAGAUACUGAAUGGAAGUACCAAAAGAGGAUUACUAGCUUUAGUGUAAUUCCUAACUAUAAAUGGAGAUAAUAGGUAAGAAAGUGGAAAAACUGCUAAAGGAAUAAGGCAUUAGAAAUGUAUCCACAAUAAUAGUAGAUAAUGCUUCAUCUAAUGAUACAAUGGUGGCACAUAAAAAAAAAUUGAAGAUUAUGGGUGGUCUAGUGAUGGAUGGUGAGUAUUUUCAUGUUAGAUGUUGUGCUCUUAUAUUAAAUUUAGUUGUGAGUGAUGGCUUGAAAGAAAACCAAAAUUCCCUAAAUAACAUUUGAAAUGUCAUAAGAUUUGUACGAUCUUCACCCCAAAGGUCUGCCAAAUUUAAAGAAUGGAUAGAGUUUUUAGGUAUAUCGUGGAAAAAAUUGUUGUGUCUUGAUGUUUCAACAAGGUGGAACUCCUCCUAUUUGAAGCUAGACGCUGCUAAGAAGUAUCAAGAGGCCUUUGAGAAGAUUGUGGAAUAAGACCCACAAUGUAUACCCUUUUUUGGGGAUGAUGGCCCCCAAAUAAUGAUGAUUGGGAAAAUGUUCGAGCAUUGACAAAAAAUUUGAAAAUUUUCUAUGAUGCCACUAAUGUGUUUCCAACUUCACAACAUGUAAGCUUAGACACUACAUUUCACCAAUUGGCUAACAUCCAUUUUGAACUUCAUGAGUCAGCCAUGAACUUGAAUACCAUUUUGGCCACUAUGAGUUAAGCGCAAGUAUGAGAAGUAUUGGGGUGAUAUUGAUAAGGUGAAUAACUUUUUGUAUUUUGGUGUGAUGUUUGACCCCGAUUUCAAGCAUGAGAUUUUGAUGUGGUCUUUUGUAACCUUGUUUAAGUAUAACAACAUCUUUACUGAAAAAUUAUGCACUUCUAUAAGAAAAAAUUGUAAAAAGGCCUAUAAGGAACAAACUAAAUCCGAACAGUCUUCUCAUGGUCUAGGAAACUUUGCUUCUGCAGCUAAAACAAGUGUCUGUGCUGAAACUUCAUCAUACUUGGCUAGGACUAAUGCAUUUAAGAGGCAUUUAGCAGAGAAAGAUUCCAUUGAUAUACAAAAUGAGUUUGAGAGGUAUUUGGCUGAAAAAUGUGUAGAUGUUGAUGAUAGUUUUGAUGUUCUUGUUUGGUGGAAACAAAAUGCCUCAAGGUUUCCUACACUUUCAAGAAUGGUUAAAGAUAUUUUGGCCACUCCUAUUUCAAUAGUUGCUUCUGAGAGUGAUUUUAGCAUUGGGGGUAGGGUUAUAGAUUGUUUUCGAAGCUCUCUAAAUCCUCAAAUGGAAGAGGCACUAAUUUUUGCACAAAAUUGGUUGAGGCCAAUUUUAGCCCAAUUGAAAGGACUCAAAAUUAUUGAAGACAUUGAAAUUUCAGAGGCUCAAUAGGGGGAGCAUCAGGAGGAGUUGGAUCUGCAGUUGAUUAUCCCCAAGUUGAGUUCAUGUUGUGAUUGUAAAUUGGCCAGUUUUAGCAGGAAAGUAGCAAGUGGGAGGGAAACAUAUUGGUUAUGUUAGGUUCAUUGAAGUGCUUAUGAAAAAUCCGAUCACAUAAGGGUGACGUUUAUGGGCAAUCACAUAAAGGAACUUAACACCACACAUUAACCCAAAACCUUAAGGCUUGGGUUUAUGAGUCUUCUCCUCAAUUAUAUGAUAUUCAACUUUUCCACUUUUACUCGAUGUGAGACUUUAUCUCACACUUGUACUCUAACACAAGUUGAGGUUUUGAUCUUAUAGAAGAAAGACUCCCCACUAUGAAAGUUAAAAGCUAGAAUUAGAUGUUACAUGAAGUCAUGAAUAUCAAAUUGACCGUUGUUUUUAAAAUGUAAAAUGUAUUUAUCAUUAUGACAUGUAAUAGCCUAUGGAAGUAGUACAUUAUUAGGCUGAAUAUUUGGUGCUUCAAAACUUUUCUAUGCUUUAGAGAUUCAGUUUAUAUUUGAACAUCAUUUACUCAUCCAAUCAUUUAUUGUUUUAUUUUUAGCCUUCUGACCAUUUAAUUUCAAUUAAAGAGUCCAAUACAAAAUUUUAUGGACAGUAAACAACAAAGAAAAAAAUUGAAUGAUAAAAUUUGACUUGAGAAUAUAGGCCCAACCCAAAUGAAUAAAUUAAGUAGGAAUUUAAAAAAAAUUAAGCCCAAAGUGUCUUGGCCCAACUCGUUUGGAUCUAACCGAUCAAACUGUAACCCGUCCACCUCGAAGACAAAAAAUAGUCAGAAUUAGACCUUUCUGUAACUUAUCCAAUUCACCUGAAUUACUUGAAUUAGGCUCGAAUUUGCUCAAACUCGAUCCAUGCUUAGCCCUACUCUGCACUACACUGGUUUUGGAGUUAAAAAAAAAAAAAAAGAUGCUUGGUUUUUGGUUUGUCUUCACUCCUAUGAACAAACACACAAACUUCAUUUCUUUAGUUCCGUCGGCCAUUAAUCCUCCAUAAUAAUAAUAAUAAUAAUAAUAAUAAUAAUAAUAAUAAUAAUAAUAAUAACAUCUUUAUAAAUACCUAUAGAAGAAUUAAUUAAAAUAAUAAAAUUGAUUUUUUAUAUAAAUAAAAUUUAAUUUAUGCAUACAUGAGUUAAUUUUAAUUUAUAGAAAAUAAAAUAAUUUUAUUUUUCUUUCUUAAUUAUUUUUGUAAGUGUUUAUUAUAAAAAUUAUCCCAACAUAGUAGGAAAUAGAAUGAAAAUAGAAAAAUAAUAGUAUUAGGUAAGACAAUUCCAAAGUCAAAAUUCACCCGGUAAAAUAAUAAAAAUGGAGAAAAGGUUAAAAUGUAUACAUUUAAAAGUUUAAAAACACAAAAAAAUAAGAUUGAAUGAUUGCGCUGAUUUAUGAUAUUAAAAUCCCUUUUUCAAUUAUAUUUUCUCAUUUAUACUAUUCAAAUCUCAAAUAUCAAAUUUAAUUUCAUUCAAACUAAUAGCUUAUUAGUUAACUAUCUGAUAAUAGCUUAUCGAAAUUCUAAAACCUUAUUUUUAAUUUAUAGGUAAGUUAGUUUGAUUUUAUGAUUUUUUUUCUUCUCUAACCAUUUAUAUUAUUUAUAGAAAAAUUUAUCUAAACAAUAUCCCUUAACCCCGGUGGCCCCAUCCUCUGGACAUCUAAGUAAGAUUAUGGAUCUAUGGCUUAGAUUAGUCAUAAUCUAAUGAAGCACGCUUUCAUAAGUUUGUGGUCCAGGGUGCGUGAAUCCAAACACCCACCUUCUUCAGAACCUUCAUUUUUAGUUCUUUAUUAAUCAGAAAUAUAUACUCUUCUUUAUAGAAAUAAUCAAACCGCACCUUCCUAAUUUUAACGAUGAAGUUAAAUCCUUAAAUCCUCUAAAUUAUAAUAGGAUGUCGGUCGUGUAAUGUAUUUUAUGUGUAUUGUACAGUCACCAAAGGGCAAAUGUUCAAACUUCGUGCUCGAAUCAAAAUUAUAUGAUUGAGGCUUCACUCCGUAAGACUUGCUUCUCAAGGCAUAUAUUUAUUAUAUGGGUGUACAGUUUUUUUUUUUCACAAUUGUUUUAUAAUUUUUAAUUAAUAAUAGAGUAUGGGUAAAUUUGUUUUUUCCUAACACUCCUCUAUUUUCAAAUCACGUUACAAAUUUUGGUUUGUUUGACAUUUCAAUUCAUUUUUAUUUUUUUAUCAGUUGAAAAAAUUCAUUUUAUUAUUUGAUAAAUAAAAUUUUUAGUAAUUUUUAGUAUUUUUGAAAUGUUAUUUAAAAUAAUAUUUUUUUAACAACUAACUUCUAAAUUUUAAUUUUUUUUAUAUAUAUUUUUAUUCUUAAUAUAUUUAUUAAAUCUUUCUUUUAUUAUUUUUAAAUAAAUCAUAAUUUUAUUAUUUUUUAGUUAUUUUAUAAUUUUUUAUUAUUUUAAUAACUAAUUUUAUCAAAUACUUAUAAUUUAAUAAAUUAAUUUUUUAAAUUUUAACUAUUCAUUUUCAAUUAACUUUUCAGCUUUCGAUUAACUCAACAUAACCUUUAAAGUUACAAAACUUGGAAAGUCAGGGGACAACCACAUCUAGUUACAGAUCUCAAAGUCCUGUUCAUUUUCACCCACUAGAUGUUAAUUUUAACUCUUAAAGAUUAAGCUACCUUGCUAGAGAAUGUAUCAUUAAAGAAUAAAUUUUCCAUAUCUUCAUUUUCUUGAAAACAAACAAGUGUCAAGUUUAUGAAACAAUAUAUUUAUUAUGUUAUUUAAAAUGUUUUUUGUUAAAUAUAAUUUUUCUUAUAACUAUCUAGGACAUCUUAAUUUGGCUCUCCUAUGAUUCGGGAAUCCCAAAUUAUAAGACUAAUCCUAUAACCUAUUAACUAAAGGAAAGAAAUAACUAGUAUUUAAAAAGUACAAUUUUUUGUAUAAUUAAAAUUUAAUCUAUAUACAUUAUUAUUGUAGGAUAUUUUUACACAUAUAUAUUAAAUAAAAUUUGAUGAUUUUAUCAUGUCAUACAAUUCAUUAAUACAAAGUGAGAACAAAAAUAAAUUCCUAUUAAGUAUUUUGUAAUAUUAUUUUCAUACUAGUAAUAUAUAUAAAUUAAACCCUUAUAAUUAUCUUAAAAGUAAAUUUAGUUUAUCUUGAAAGUUGAAACAGAAUUAAUUAUUUCAAUACUUAAGUAAAAUCUAAGCUAAACCGGUUCAAAUAGGAUACAAACCGAACCGGCUUUAAAAAAAAGCGUUAUAUCAUUUAUUUGAUUGAGGUGCUAGUUUCAUAGGCUCUUAUUUUUUAUAUUAAGUUCCAAUAAAAAAUAAUUUGAAAAAAAAAGUUACUUUUUAAUUGAAAUUAAUAUAACUAUAUACGGCUAAUUAACUUUCUUAGUGAGCCUGAAAUGUUUUUUUCUUCUUCUUAUAUUUGAGAUGGGAAGAAAUACAUUUUAAGUUGCUAAGGAAAUGUCAGUAUUUAAUCUUUUAAUCUCCUGAAAAAAAAGUUAUAUGUUUUAAGUUUCUUAAAAUGUGUUAAGUGUAGUAUCUGUUCUUUUCUUGGACUUAGUACUAGUAACAUGAAAUACAACGCCAAUUUUAUAAACAAAAAUGAUUCAUCGACACCUUAUGCUAAUGUACUCCUAAAGAGAGAAACGUGGAUGUGAUAAGAAGAGACAUUGAAAAAAAUGAGAAGUGCCAAUAAAGUGUUUGUAUUAUAACAGAUGUCCCUGGAUCAUUUUUCUUUUAUAGACAAGGAAUUAAAAAGAUGAUUUUAUUUAAGGAACAUUUUCUUAUUUACAGGAAUAAAAAUAUACUAUUCAAACUUUUUUUUUCCUGCAGGGUGAAAAUUUGAGUAUUAUUAUCCUUUUGACUGUGUUUACCAGAGCGCCACCUGCAACAUUUCCUAGAGCUGAAAAAAAGUAGAAUAUGCUCUGCUCUUAAGCAUGAAUAUUUAUCUGAAUUUUUAGGAUAAAUUUUCCUUUGAGGGUUCCAUUUAAAAAGUAUUUAUUAAACAGGAUCUCUUUUUAAACUAUUUACAAAAGGGGUUCGUUUUUACAAGGAAGUCGCAGGAGCUAUUGGCGAUAUAUGCUUUCCGUGCAUGCCACCAUUCUCAUUGGCGAAUCUGCUGCCAUUCUCAUUGGCGAAUCUGGUGACGUGGAGAGCAGAUUGCGAGAAUAGUUUACCAUGUUUCGCUUCUAGUACCUGCGAUAUAUAGUUUUUAUGAGCAGUUCUUAUAUAGCUUUUUCUGAGCAUAAAUAGUUUUUAUGUAUUCUGUUANNNNNNNNNNNNNNNNNNNNNNNNNNNNNNNNNNNNNNNNNNNNNNNNNNNNNNNNNNNNNNNNNNNNNNNNNNNNNNNNNNNNNNNNNNNNNNNNNNNNUGAUAUCUUCAUACUAACUAACCUAAGCUAAGAAUACCUAUUAACACAAAUAGUUUUUUUAUAAUAUUAAUAACAGAAUACAUAAAAAGUAUUUAUGCUCAGAAAAAGCUAUAUAAAAACUGCUCAUAAAAACUAUAUAUCGCAGGUACUAAAAGCGAAACAUGACAAAUUAUUCUCGCAAUUGGUAAUUGACAAAUUAUUCUCGCAAUUGGUAAUAGCGAUAUAUGCUGGCCUCCUGCAACCUGCUGCCUCUGCAAGCUGCUCUCCACGUCACCAGAUUCGCCAAUGAGAAUGGCGGCAUGCAGGAAAAGCCUAUAUCGUCAGUAGCUCCUGCGACUUCCUUGUAAAAACGAACCCUUUUUGUAAAUAGUUUAAAAAAAGAUCAUGUUUAGUAAAUACUUUCUAAAUGGAAUUCUCUUGAGGGAAAUUUGCCGAAUUUCUUUGCCGAAUUUCUAAAUAAGCGCAGAAACUACUUAGUUUGGCUUUAUGUUGACAGCUAAAAUAUUGAAAAUGUUGAGUUCAGUAUGAUUGUUGUACCAUUGUUCUCAAUAAUAUUGAUCAUAUUCAUGACUGAUGUUUAUUCAAUUGAUUGGAGGCUAUGUUAGCCUUUAGUGCUGCUCAAGUAUUUUUAUGUGACAGAUCUGUCAUAAUGAAUAUGGUAUUUCAAAUGCAUGUGGAAUAUGGUAUUUUUCUCUAGUUAUAAUGAAUAUUUCUCAUCUGUAGUCUGUUAUACAAAUGUUUUUAUAUGAUAGAUCUGUCACAUGGUGUUUUUAAACAAAUGUUUCAGACUUAGUGAGUAGUGUAGGUCACAUGUUGUACAGAUGUCGAGAAAGUGUUGGUGCUAAAAAUUUGUCUAAUCACUGUGCUUAACAAGCUUCACUUAUCAUUCCGUAACUAUUGUGUUUUCCUUUAGCAGCCUUUUCCACUACUUUUAUCUCUUGUUCUGUUCUUGUCAUCCCCACUUGUACUCACGGUCACUUGUUGCAUCUUAUUCUCUUGAUCUUUGUAUGUAGUUAAGUACAUUAUCAGAUUUUGUGGCAUGCAGACACGAGAUCUCUCAUGUUUUUUUUACCAAUUGGGGGUAAAAAAAUUCUCAAUUUUUUAUUUGGGAAUAUAUUUCAAAAAAUUAUCUAAAACAGGGUAAGUCGUAACAGUUGUUACGACUUCUGAAGUCAGAAGUCGUAACACCUGUUACGACUUUUUAAUUUUUUUUAUUUUUUAACUGAAGUCGUAAAAAUAUUUACAACUUCAGUGUAAAUAUAAUUUUUUUUACGACUUUAAAUUUGUAUUUUUUUUAAAAAAAAUCAAAGUCGUAAAACUGUCUUAUUUAUUUUUUAAAUUUUUUUUGAGGUAUACAACUUUGAAGUAGUAACCUUCCUUUUUUUUUAAACGUUAUUUUACUAUUUGCAGUCUAUUUUUAAUUUGUUAACCUUUUCAUAAAUUUGUUUUUUUAAUUUAAUAAUGUUAACGAUUUUAUUUUUUUAAAAUAAAAAAGUUAAAAAAAAUAUAUAUUUAAAUAUAUAAUAAAUAAUAUUAAGUUGAUUUUAUUAGUAUAUUUUUUAUGAUUUUAUUUGAUAUGUUAUUAUUUUAUUUUAAUGUUUAAUUAUUUAAAACAUGUUAUAUAUAUUUUUAUUAUAGUUUACUUUAAAUGUUUUUUUAUUUAAAGUUUAAAUAAUCUAUCAAUAAAAAUUAAAAACAACAUAAUUAAUACAUUAAUAUAAAACACACAAUACAAAUGAAAGAAAAACAUAAAAAUUACAAGUUAUUUUAGUCAUGUACUUGUUUGUAUGGACAGUUACUCCAAUUAUGUCUUUCAGUUUUGCAUAAUGAGCAUUUCUUAGGCCUAUUUGAAAUUGGUUCAUCCAUCUCAUUAUGUAUCUGAGUAGUGGUCGGCCUGCCUGAUGUCUGUCGCCAUUUUGAAGGAUCAGACAUAAAAUGCGGACCUAAAUAUUGGGGUCAUGUGUCUUCACUUCCAAGGGAAUGAAAAUGAUGUUGAUAAACUUUGAAAAUAUUUUCCAACUUGUAUACAGGGUCAACAAAGUCAUCAUAAUUUAAAUUGCAAAAAGCACACGCUGCAAUUGCAUGUGAGCAAGGUAGUCGAAGUGCUUGAAAUUGUCCACAAUCACACAACCAUUCAUUCAAUUUGACAGUGCAUGUCAUUGCUCGUCGACCAAGUCGCGUAUUUGCAAUUUCUUGAACCUCAAACUCCCCUGUUUCUUGAACAUACAUGCGAACAUAAUGUGAGGUAGCAAUGUGUUGAUUUUCUUGCAUCAUGGCAUAUACGUCUUCAGAGUACCUAUGCUCUGCCUUUAUCAUAUUCAUGAUUUUGAUGCCGUUAGUGACAAAUGAAUCAUUUAUUUUAUUAAAUGUUUCAUUGACUAAGGAAGUAAUAGGUAAUGCUCAGGCUCUUUUCAAAAUAGAAUUCAUACAUUCAGCAAGGUUGGUAGUCAUAUGACCAUAUCAUUUUCGUUCAUCGUAGGCCUGAGUCCAUUUACUCUUAGGAAUUUGAUCCAACCAAUCUGCUGCUUGUGGAAACUCUUCUCGCAUAGCGAGCAACUCAGCCUCUAAUCGUGAUUUCCUCAUCUCAUACCCUAUGCGAAAAGAUAGAAUAAUGAGUAAAAAAUUUAGUGAACAUGUAAUAAAGCAAGAAUAUGAUGCAUGAAAUAGGAAGAAACAUACCCAUAUUGAUGACUUGUUUUUUUAAGUCAACAUUUUUAAACUGUUUGUUGAAAUUUGAUGCAAUGUGGCGAAUGCAAUACACAGACGAAACAUCUAGUCCAUUCCAGCCAACGCGUUCGGAUUGUAAAGCUGCUAGCAAACCGGUUCCCCUGUCUGAUAUAAUACACAAAUUUAGUUGUGGAGUAACAUAUCUUUGCAAAUAAUGCAAGAACCACAUCCAAGCUUCUUUAGUCUCGCUCUCAACAAUUGCAAAAGUAAGUAAAAAAUUGUUCCUACUACCAUCUUGUCUGAUGACAGUCAACAAAGUACCAUGAUAUUUGCCAGUUAAAAAUGUCUCAUCUACUUGCACAAGUGGCUUGCAAUAUUUGAAGCCUUCAAUGCAUGGAUUAAACGCCCAAAAUACACGGUUAAGAAUCACCCUGGGAGGGUUAUCGUCACCUUCCUCCAUUGAAGAUGAAGUUUUGUAUUUUACUAUGGUACCUGGUACAAAGUGUUAAGCAGCUGUGAACCAUAUAGGCAGGUAACUAUAUGAUUGUUCCCAACUUCCAAAUGCCAUUUCAAGAGCUUUUUGUUUAGUUGUCCAUGCCUUUUUGUAUGAAACAGUGUAAUGAAAUCGUUGUUGCAUGUCUGCAAUCAAGGUUUUGAUUUUGAUACUUGGAUUUGUUUUCACUAAAUGAACAAUAUUAUGGGCAAUUACAGAAGAAUCUAACCUAACAUGAUCUUGUGAUAUGGUAGAAUUUGUGCAUGUGUGAAUACCGUUUAAUUUCUUCAACUCCUACCUUUCGCGUAUUUUGCUGAACGAUACUCUCGCCCUCCAAUAACAUCCAUUACCAUAUUGAUUACACAUGACAACAUACUUGUCACUCUUGUUCUCGACCACAUCAAAAUUAAAUGAAUGCAUAAAAUGGAAUUGUUUAAUGGCAUUCACAGCGGCUUGUUUUGAUUCAAAUGUCAACCCUUCAUAAAGGUCAUUUGUACUAACACUCGCUGUCAUUUGAUAAGGAUUUGAGUAUUCUUGAUUUUCAGAAAGUUGGCUACUAAUAGUUUCAAAAUAUGAAGAUGACUCACUUUGAUUGCUUGGUUCACCAUGUUCACUAAAAUCAUGUUGUUGCUCGUCAUCACUGAAGUCACUAACAUUAUCUCUUAUUAUGGGUUCUUCAGUAGCCAUCUGCAAAAAAAAAAUAUUGAUUAGUAAGAAAUCAUUGGAUUACAUGUAACGUAAAAAAUUAAAACCUUUUUAAAUAUCUUUUUCGUGUAUGUAAUACUAAAAAAAUUAUCUCAGUAUGACUUUAACACGUCAAAAUCAGAGAACCAGGCUGAUUGUUGGAAUGCAACAGAUGCACCGAAGUGAGAAUGAACCCUCCUUUUAUAGGUUUCACGGGAGUGAACAGUGUAAUAAUAAUUUGUCUAACUCAUAUUCUAAAACACAAAAUAAUAACUAAACCGUAAAUUAAUAAUAACUAAACACUAUUAUUCUAAAACAUAAAUAAUAAUUUAACAAAAUUAAUUGAUCAUCUAUAAUAAUUUAUGUAACUAAACUGUAAAUUAAUAAUAACUAAACACUAAUAUUCUAAAACACAAAAUAAUAAUUUAACAAAAUUAAUUUAACAUCUAUAAUAAUUUAUCUAACUAAAUCGUAAAUUAAUAAUAAUUAAACACUAAUAUUAUAAAACAUAAAAUAAUAAUUUAACAAAAUUAAUUGAUCAUCUAUAAUAAUUUAUAUAACUAAACCGUAAAUUAAUAAUAACUAAACACUAAUAUUCUAAAACAAAAAAUAAUAAUUUAACAAAAUUAAUUGAUCAUCUAUAAUAAUUUAUAUAAUUAAACCGUAAAUUAAUAAUAACUAAACACUAAUAUUCUAAAACACAAAAUAAUAAUUUAACAAAAUUAGUUUAACAUGUAUAAUAAUUUAUCUAACUAAAACGUAAAUUAAUAAUAACUAAACACUAAUAUUCUAAAAUACUAAACCAUAAAUUAAUAAUAACUAAGUGAUAUUAAAAAUGUAAAACUAAUUAAUAGUGAAGUCGUACUCCAAAGUAAAAAGCAGUUUAUAAACAAAAAAAGAAUUAGAAAAUUGAAAGGCCAUCACUUGUGCAGCACAGAAAACAGCAAAGAAAAUCAGAAAACAGGUCCUUGAAAACAGCAUGUGCAGUGUAUUGUUAACUCAUGUUGUAGCACUGAAAUAACAAAAAACUGCAGGCAAGGGAAUAGCUUUAGAACCCGUGAAGGUUGCAUAGACAAGGCAGUGUAUUGUUAACUCAUGUAGUCAUGAAGCAUGCUUACACGAUUCCCAACUUGCAAUAAUUAACACCUAUAGCUGUUUCAUGAAGCAUAUUUUAGAAGUUGAAAAAUAAUUAACACGACUGCUAUAUAUAUAUAUAUAUAUAUAUAUAUAUAUAUAUAUAUAUAUAUAUAUUAUUAAUAAAGCUUUAUUAUAUGAUAGCAUGGGAAUUAACACGUAUAACAAUUACUUUCAAGUUUUAUCAUGUUUUGCUUUAAAACAUAUUUACUUAAGAUGAAUUAAAAAUGGGGUGUAGAAUUUUUUAUGGUUAAAAAUUGUCACAAAUAAUUUAAUAUUUAAUAAAUAGUCACACAAGCAAUUUCUACCGUCAGAAAAUAAACACUAAAUAAAAUAAUAAUAAAAUUAACAUUACAUCAUCAUUUAAUGGCAUAAAUAGAAGGUAAAUACUAAAAUCUUAAUGAAAAAAUUGUUUAGAGACUUUAGUCAGUUAAAUUUUAAGGACUAAAACUUAAAAUUUGAUUUUUAAGAUUAAGAACUUAGUUAACUCUUGAAAGCAUAUUUUAAGUCAAAUAAAAAUCACUCACAAAAUGUGUACGUAAGGGAAUCCAACUUUUAUGAUUUAUGAUAGACAAUGGACAAUUUAUGAUAGCAUGGGAAUCUUGCAGCUGCUACUAGCAACCUACAUAGUGAAAUGAUUUAUCAUAAAAUAGAAUCUUGACAAAAAGCAAUAAAGUAGUCAAAUUUAACUUAUUUUGUACAAAUGAUUUAUCAUAGCACGGACCAACUUCAUUGUGUAUAUUAUACUUAAAAAAUUGUUGAGCAAUAUUCUACAAGUUAACAUAUUAGACUUCAAAAAUUGUUGAGCACGGACCACCCUCCUUUCAUACCUCCCCCCUUUCACUUUUCCUCAUUCUUAUUUUCAUCCUUGUAUCCAUUUACCAAUGGCAUAUGCACAACCCGAACCAGUUGAUUGUUCGUUGUUGCGCUUACAAGACAAUCAUAUUUCAAAUCAAGUGUGGGAAGACCAAGAGAGAAUCAUCUGUCCGAGGUAUACUUCUGUUUGGGCUUUUACCCACUUGGAUCAAAUAGAUAAUCGGGUAAAAAAUCUAAUCAAUUUAGCUGGUUUCGGACAUAUUAUAAAUGCUGGAAAAGUUGAUAUUAACCAGCAUGUGGUUAGUGCAUUGGUUGAACGUUGGAAAACAGAGACACACACAUUUCAUUUUCCACAUAGAGAGGCAACCAUCACUUUACAGGAUGUGGCCCUACAAUUGGGCUUGAAGAUUGAUGGAUUGCCGGUAACCGAUUUCAUCACCGGCAAUGUACGUGUUGCUUGUUAGACAUUACUCGGGGAAACUCCACCUGAUAAGUAUGUAAAAGGUAAAAUGAUUUACCUAACUUGGUUGCGGCAAAAUUUUCAGCAACUUCCCGUUGAUGCUGAUGAUGUUGUCAUUGCACAACAUGCUAGAGCUCAUAUGAUGAUGAUUAUAGGCGGUUGUUUGAUGCCAGAUACAUCAGGUGCAAGAGUUCAUUUUAUGUAUCUUCUUUUAUUAUCAAAUUUAACCGAGGCAAGUCAUUAUAGUUGGGGUGCAACAGUAUUAACAUCCCUUUUCCGAGCUCUAGAUCGGGCUGUGAAACCGGACCAAACAGAAAUUUGUGGAUGUUUGUUGUUGCUACAGUCAUGGGCGUGGGACCGCAUUAAAUGUAUUACUCCAAAGAUAGAUCACCUAUCCAUGGAAGAAGUACAACAAGGACUCAGAUUUCCUCUUGCACGAAGGUGGUCUCAUCCAAGGACCGAACCAAAUAUUCCUAACAAUUCAGUGAGAUUGAUACACAUCAUAUUUGAUAAACUACAUAUUAAUGAGAUUCAUUUUUUAAUUUUCAUGAAUUAACUAUUUUUUCUAGUUUCCUAUUCCAUUAUAAAUAUGUUACAAUAAUAAUGUAUGUGUUGCAGUUCUUGUAGUUUCCUAUUCCAUUAUAAAUAUGUUACAAUAAUAAUGUAUGUGUUGCAGUUCUUGUAGACUUCUUAUGACACACCAGAAAUAAGGCCAUUAAUUAAUGAUGUAGAGGUAUCAAUGAUUGUUCGAGCAAAAGUCCCUUUCAUAUGUUUUGCAAUUGUCGAAUGGUAUCCAAUAGACAGGGUCAUGAGACAAUUUGGACUGCGACAAAUUAUUCCAGAUGACCCACCAAACCUAGAUCUAAUCCACGACAUAGAUAUGAGAGGGAGAACAGAUAUUUUUUGGUCUCACCAUCAUCGUCAGUGGAUUCUCAAAUGGAAUCAUUGGAAUAAUUAUAUUGUUCAUGGUGAAAUGGACCAAGGUCUUUUACAUGAAAAUUCAGAAUACAUGCAAUGGUAUAUACGUUGAACAAGACGAUAUAUAUCAUGUGAAGGAGCAGUAUCUACAAAGGUUGUAAAUCUACUUUACAAUUUUAAUCAUUCUUGAUAUCAUUAUUCAUUGUUAUUUCUAACUUUAUAAAUUUGAAUCACAGUAUUAUCCUGGUCAUCACCAACAUCAGUCAUAUGUGGAACCUAAUGUACCUCCGGUGCAUGUUCCUGAAUUUAUGUCCCAACAUCAUCCAUCACAAGCACAAUAUCAAUCAACAAGUUUUUCCGGUCAUGCAUCUCAAGGAUGUCAACAAAGUUUUCAACCACUGGGAUUCUCAUCAUAUAUACCUCAAUAUUCAUUUCAAGUCCCUUCUAUCUCAAAUGUUUUUUUUGGCUCCUCACAAAUGCUUGCCACCACUUUCAACACUCCUCCAUCUACAUAUAAUCUUGCACCAUUGAGUUCUUGUUAUCGUCCAUCAUUAGCUACUCAAAUAUGUGACAUGAGUCACGAAGAUGAGGACGAGAAUGAGGACGAGGAUGUGUUGGAAGCCCACGUUAUGUGCACGUUGCACGUUCCUUUAUAUUUUAUUACUUUGGAAAAAUUUGUUACUUCUGAAUCUGGUCCAUUUUCCAUCCACAUUCAUCUCAUAUCUUUGUAAAUAUAUUUGCAACCACCUUCAGUAACAAAUCACGUACCCAUCAUUUAUCUCACGUACCCAUCAUUUAUCUCACGUACUGAUAACUUCUUAUCUCACGUCUGAUAACUUCCUAUCUCACGUUCUGAUAAUAAGUUAAGAGCUCUGUGAUGGGCAGACUCUAUAAAUAGGAUGGGGUGCUCUCAGUUUUGUAUCACCAAAUCCACUUCUCUAUUCAGAAAAAAUACACCAUCUAUUCAGAGUGAGUAAGGGUCUGGAAGAACAAAACUGUCUUUCAGGUUCGUGUGUGUGCCGCUUCUCGUUCAAUUUGCAAUGGCUGGAGGUACGCUCGUAAUUUUUUUUAAUUUUCGCUGUUUGAUCUAAAUAUGCUAUUUAAAUUUAUUUGCAUGUUUAGAUCAGUAUAUGUAUAUUUUUACAUUUGGUAUCAGAGCCUAUUUGUACCUCUGUCUUGCUUAUUGGGUCGUUCCUAUGCGAAGUUUAUUUUCUGAGUAUAUGGGUGUUAUGUUUUAAGCCUCCUUAAUUCAAAAUAACAUCAAAAUUAGGAAUGAUAUGAGCUUUCUAAUUUUUCUAUGAUUUAAAACGUAUUUUUGGGUGUCUAAAAUACAUAUAAUGAUAUGGGUUUUUCGAAAUUGAGGUAAUAAUUUUUUUUCCACUGCUGGAGGUUGAAGACAAAGUUUUGCGAGUUUUGUUUACUGUCUUGGAAUUGUUAAUGUACAUUUUAAAUUAACAAUAUUAAACAAAGCAUGAGUUUGUCCAGUGGUAGAUGUGAUGUGUAUUACCUCAUUGUUCUGGGUUUGAAUCUCAUUGCUGCCUUUUGUUGCUUGUUUUCGUUUUAAUUAAUUAAAAGGAAUGUAUAAAUGAAACGAAAACACCUUGGGUUGGUUUCGAACUCUCACCUUACAAGCAUGAAAGGACUCCCUUUGCCGCUAAGCUAUUGCAAUUUAAUUAUUUAUUAAUUGCAGUUCAUGUAUAUUUAUAACUUCUGAAGGAUAAAUUAUUUAUGCACAAACUGUUUAAAAUUGUGUGUCUCUUAAGUUAUGCUGAACAUGCAAUAUUAUGUUAAAUACUGGUAUGCAUUGGAUUUAAUCCUUUAAAGUUUAUUACAUGUUGAAUGAAUAUAUGUGCAAUGUUAUUGGUAUACAUGUAAUUUUUAUGAUUCAAUAUUGAGCACAUUUGCAUUAUUAAAUAUGUUUAUGCAAGGAUUAUUUUUGAAUGUUAAGUGAUUAAUAUAAUUUUAUUAAAUUAGAGAAUAGCCACAACGUCUUUAAUUGAGUAAAAUUAUAUGCUAAAUUUAUAAUCACAUUAGAAAUAUUAAUUGUGAUUAAUCAUAUGUAAUGUGAUGAAAUCUACCCACAAGAAUUUUGUUAUAUUUGUAUGAUUAAUUAGGAUAAAAUAUUAAAUUAUAUUUCUUAAUUUACCCACAGGAAUUAAGGAAAAGAACAUGAUUUAAUAGUUUUAUCAUAAAGUUGCAUGAUGAAUCUAAUUGAGUAGGACUUUAGCCCACAAGCAAGUUUUGUGUCACUAGAUUCAUAUAUUGAGACAUGAUUUGCAUUGACAAAACAUGACAUUUGUUUAGUCUCAAUUUUUCUUAAUGAGCAUGUGUGUUUGUUUGCAGUUUCACAAUCUAUGAAUAUUUCUUGUGACCUUCCCAUUUUGAAAGGUGAUAAUUAUAAGGUUUGGAAGGAAAGAGUUCUCCUUCAUUUGGGCUGGAUGGAUAUUGACUAUGCUAUAAGGAAGGAUGAGCCACCGGCUAUUACUGAAACUAGCGAACCUGAUGCUGUUGAUCUUUAUGAAAAGUGGGAGAGAUCUAAUCGUCUCUCUGUUAUGUUCAUAAAAACCAACAUAUCCGCUAGUAUCCGGGGUUCAGUUGACCAGCAUGAUAAGGUCAGAGAUCUGUUGAAAGCCAUUGAUGAACAGUUUACGACCUCUGAGAAGUCACUUGCUAGCACACUCAUUAUGCAAUUCUCUUCCAUUAAGCUUACUGGAACGAGAGGUGUGCGUGAACAUAUCAUGCGCUUAAGGGACAUAGUGGCUCAGUUGAAAACCUUGGAAGUUACCAUGUCUGAAUCCUUCCUGGUACAUUUCAUUUUGUGCACCCUACCUCAACAGUAUACACCCUUCAAAAUCUCCUACAACACACAUAAGGAUAAAUGGUCUAUUAAUAAAUUGAUGACCAUGUGUGUUCAAUAAGAGGAGAGAUUGAUAAUGGAAGAGGGUGAGAAGGUAAAUUUUACUACUUCUACUUCUGGAAAGGAUAGGAAGAAGUCUGUAGGCACCAAUAAAGGAAAGAUUCCGACUCAACCAACAAUUAAAAAGGAGUCAAAGUCUUUCUUCUGUAAAAAGAAAGGACACAUGAAGAAGGACUGCCCCAAAUUUAAAAGUUGGUUUGAGAAGAAAGGUACACCAUUUGCCUUUGUUUGUUAUGAAUCUAAUAUGAUUAAUGUGAAUCAUAAUACAUGGUGGAUUGACUCUGGUUCUACAAUCCAUGUUUCUAAUACCUUGCAGGGUAUGGAAAGCCUAAGGAAGCCAGUGGGAAGUGAGCAGUGCAUCUACUCAGGGAGUAGGAUGAGCUCGCAUGUAGAGGCCAUUGGAACGUGCGUCUUAGUUUUAAGUAGUGGCUUUAAAUUACAUUUGGAGAAAGUUUUUUAUGUUCCUAGUUUCUGUAAAAACUUAAUUUCUGUUUCUAAACUUGCACCUUUGGGAUUUUAUUUUUACAGACUUUGGUUUUAAUUUACUAAAUAAAUAUGAAAUUAUUGGUUGUGGUCAAUUGGUUGAUGGUCUUUAUUCAAUUGAAUUGCAAAAUGAUGCUACUUCUAUGCACGUUUCUGUUGGGUUAAAACGAUGUAUUGUGAAUGAAUAAUCCUCUAUGUUGUGGCACCGGAGAUUAGGACAUAUCUCUAUUGAGAAAAUCAAGCGAUUAGUAAAUGAAGGAGUACUUAGUACUUUGGAUUUCGCUGAUUUUGAGACUUGUGUAGAUUGCAUUAAGGGUAAGCAAACUAACAAGUCUAAAAAGGGUUCAAAGAGGAGUUCUAAUUUAUUAGAAAUCAUACAUACAGACAUAUGUUGUCCAGACAUGGAUGCAAAUAGUCCGAAAUACUUCAUAACCUUUAUAGAUGAUUAUUCACAAUAUAUGUAUCUCUACUUACUUCAUUCUAAGAAUGGAGCUUUAGAUGCCUUUAAAGUUUUUAAGGCUGAAGUUGAGAAACAAUGUGGAAAACAAAUUAAGAUCGUGAGAUCAGAUAGAGGUGGGGAGUACUAUGGUAGAUACACAGAGGAUGGACAAGCACCAGGUUCAUUUGCGAAAUUUCUUCAAGAACAUGGGAUUGUUGCCCAAUACACUAUGCCUGGUUCUCCGGAUCAGAAUGGUGUGGCAGAACGAAGAAAUCGAACCUUAUUAGACAUGGUGAGAAGCAUGAGGAGUAAUGUAAAGCUUCCUCAAUUUUUGUGGAUUGAUGCUCUUAAGACGGCUGCGUAUAUAUUAAACCGAGUUCCAACCAAGGCUGUCUCAAAGACACCUUUUGAAUUAUUCAAGGGUUGGAAACCAAGUUUGCGACAUAUACGCGUUUGGGGAUGCCCGUCUGAAGUAAGAAUUUAUAAUCCACAAGAGAAGAAACUAGACCCUAAGACUAUUAUUGGGUAUUUCAUUGGAUAUGUUGAAAGGUCUAAAGGGUAUAGGUUCUAUUGUCCAUCCCACAACACUAGGAUUGUGGAAUCAAGGAAUGCAAAGUUUCUUGAAAAUGAUUUGAUCAGUGGGAGUGAUCAAUUUCAGAAUAUUUCUUCUGAAAGGGAUCACUAUGAAGCUGAACCUUCUGGGACAAGUAAUAAGUUGGUAGUCAUUCCCACGCCUCAAGUUAAAAUGGGUGUUAGACAACCAGUGAUUGAAGUUCCACAAGCUGUUGAAAGUGAUCAUGUAGAUCAAGUUGUUUGUGAGGAACAACAUGAUGAUAUUGAACAAACUGGUGAAGAACCAGUUGAACAAGUUCCUCAGCAAGAUGACCAAACAACAUUAAGAAGAUCUACUAGAAUAAAAAAGACAACAAUUCCUAGUGAUUAUGUAGUGUACCUACAAGAAUCAGACUACAACAUUGGAGCCAAAAAUGAUCCUGAGACGUUUUCACAAGCCAUGAGUUCUAAGGAAUCAAAUUUGUGGUAUAAUGCUAUGAGGGAUGAGAUGGAUUCUAUGGCAUCUAACCAAGUUUGGGAUCUCGUUGAGUUGCCUGUUGGUGUAAAAGCCAUCGGAUGUAGAUGGGUCUUCAAAACAAAGAAAGACUCAGAAGGCAACAUUGAGAGACAUAAGGCAAGACUUGUUGCUAAAGGAUUCACUCAAAGAGAAGGAAUCGAUUACAGAGAGACCUUUUCCCCUGUAUCUAAGAAAGACUCUCUUCGAGUAAUUUUGGCAUUAGUAGCUCAUUUUGAUCUUGAGUUGCAUCAAAUGGAUGUGAAAACGGCGUUCCUGAAUGGUGAUCUAGAAGAAGAGGUUUACAUGAAACAACCUGAGGGAUUCUUAUCUAGUGUUGGUGAGCACUUAGUCUGCAAGCUUAAUAAGUCUAUCUAUGGAUUGAAACAAGCUUCCCGCCAGUGGUAUUUAAAAUUUCAUGAGGUCAUUUCUUCAUUCAGCUUUGAAGAGAAUGUCAUGGAUCACUGUAUAUACCAGAAGGUCAGUGGGAGUAAGAUUUGUUUCCUUGUAUUAUACGUAGAUGAUAUUCUGCUUGCGACUAAUGAUAAGGGUAUGCUAUAUGAGGUGAAACAAUUUCUCUCAAAGAACUUUGAUAUGAAGGAUAUGGGAGAGGCAUCUUAUGUCAUAGGCAUAAAGAUCCAUAGAGAAAGAUCUCGAGGCAUUUUAGGCUUGUCUCAAGAAACCUAUAUCAACAAAGUUUUAGAGAGAUUUAAUAUGAAAGAUUGUUCACCAAGUGUAGCUCCCAUUGUGAAGGGUGACAAACUUGCUUUGAGUCAAUGCCCCAAAAAUGAUUUUGAGCGGGAACACAUGAAAAAUAUUCCAUAUGCUUCAGCAGUUGGAAGCCUUAUGUAUGCUCAGGUUUGCACUAGACCUGAUAUUGCAUUCGCUGUUGGAGUCUUGGGAAGAUAUCAAAGUAAUCCAGGUAUUGACCACUGGAAAGCUGCAAAGAAAGUGAUGAGAUAUCUUCAUGGAACAAAAGAUUACAUGCUCAUGUACAGACAAACUGAUUGUCUGGAAGUGAUUGGCUACUCCGACUCAGACUUUGCUGGUUGCGUUGAUUCACGAAGAUCAACAUCUGGUUAUAUUUUUAUGUUAGCCAGUGGAGCUGUAUCUUGGAGAAGUGCCAAACAAACCUUGACUGCUACUUCCACUAUGGAGGCUGAGUUCGUUUCUUGUUUUGAGGCUACCUCGCAUGGUGUAUGGUUGAAGAGUUUCAUAUCUGGCCUUAGAGUUGUGGACUCUAUUUCUAGGCCAUUAAAGUUGUAUUGUGACAACUUUGCUGCAGUGUUUAUGGCUAAAAACAACAAAAGUGGAAGUCAAAGUAAGCACAUCGACAUCAAGUACUUAGCCAUAAGAGAACGUGUUAGAGAAAAGAAAGUGGUCAUUGAACACGUCAACACUGAGUUAAUGAUUGCUGAUCCUUUAACUAAAGGCAUGCCACCAAAGAAUUUUAAGGAUCAUGUAGUGCGAAUGGGACUUGGUUCCAUGAUGUAAUUUCAUUGUACGUACAUUUGUUAUUUUCAAUGAAACUCUUAUUCAGUUAGAUAUUUUCUCAUAUGGUUUUGUGCACAUAUUUAUUUAUUUCGAGAAAAAUCAUUCGGUUUAGAUAUAGAAUAAACAUAUGGUUUAUUCAUUAAGUUGAGAGCUAGUGUUGAGAGACUUGAUAUAUUGUGGUACAUGGAAGAUACUACUCAUCAUCAGAGGACCUAUCGCCAUGACUCAUAUAUUAUGUUUCUUGUUAUGGUUGAUGUUGAGUUAAAUGGACCAAGUGGGAGAAUGUUGGAAGCCCACGUUAUGUGCACGUUGCACGUUCCUUUAUAUUUUAUUACUUUGGAAAAAUUUGUUACUUCUGAAUCUGGUCCAUUUUCCAUCCACAUUCAUCCCAUAUCUUUGCAAAUAUAUUUGCAACCACCUUCAGUAACAAAUCACGUACCCAUCAUUUAUCUCACGUACCCAUCAUUUAUCUCACGUACUGAUAACUUCUUAUCUCACGUCUGAUAACUUCCUAUCUCACGUUCUGAUAACAAGUUAAGAGCUCUGUGAUGGACAGACUCUAUAAAUAGGAUGGGGUGCUCUCAGUUUUGUAUCACUAAACCCACUUCUCUAUUUAGAAAAAAUACACCAUCUAUUCAGAGUGAGUAAGGGUCUGGAAGAACAAAACUGUCUUUCAGGUUUGUGUGUGCGCCGCUUCCCGUUCAAUUUGCAAUGGCUGGAGGUACGCUCGUAAUUUUUUUUAAUUUCCGCUGUUUGAUCUAAAUAUGCUAUUUAAAUUUAUUUGCAUGUUUAGAUCAGUAUAUGUAUAUUUUUACAGGAUGAGCAUAACAACAAUAACAAUGAUGACGAUGAUGAUGGUGAUGAUGAUGACAACAAUGGUCAUCAUGUUUCUCAACAACAACGGACAAUUACACGUCAGCAUCCUAGAACAAGAGGAGGUAGAGACCGUAGACCGAGAGGACAACAAACACAGACAAAUCCAGUCCAACAAGAUGAGAGACCCAGGCGCAUUUCUAGAAGAACUCGUUGUGGGACAUCGUCUUAUUAUUAGUUUGACAAAUAUGUAAUUUUUAUUUAAAUAUAAUCAAUUUUUAAUUUAAAGUCUUUCAAUUUUUUUAAUGUAUUUUUAUUGAUAGAUUAUUUAAACUUUAAAUAAAAAAAAUUUAAAGUAAACUAUAUUAACUUAAUAUUAUCACAAAAAAUAUACUAAUAAAAUCAACUUAAUAUUAUUUAUUAUAUAUUUAAAUAUAUUUUUUUAACUUUUUAUUUUUAAAAAAUAAAAUCAUAAACAUUAUUAAAUUAAAAAAAACAAAUUUACAAAAAAAGGUUAACAAAUUAAAAAUAGGCUGUAAAUAGUAAAACAAUGUUUUUUUCUUAAAAAGGAGAGAUUACGACUUUGAAGUCCUACCUCAAAAAAUUAAAAAAAUAAAAUAAAAAUUUUACGACUUUGGUUUUUUUUUUUAAAAUACGACUUUAAAGUCGUAAAAAAAGUUAUAUUUAUACUGAAGUCAUAAAUAUUUUUACGACUUCAGUUAAAAAAAUAAAAAAAAUUAAAAAGGCGUAACAGGUGUUACGACUUCUGACUCAGAAGUCAUAACAAUUGUUACGACUUACCCUGUUUUGGGUAAUUUUUUGAAAUAUACCCCCAAAUGGAAAAUUUUGAAUUUUUUUACCCCCGAUUGGUAAAAAAGCCGAUCUCUCACCAUCCUUUUAAUUAUUCUUGUCAUAAGCAGCACAUAACAUAACACUGUUUGAAGCAAUUUUAAUGUGAACUCCUUUGGAUGGAUGCUAAUUCCCAGGUUUUAUCUUAAAGUUGUUCUUCUGACAAUGUCAUCCAUUUUUAGCUUUAGGUUGUUAACCAAAAUACAAGCAAGGUGGCAGCUGUUGCUGAAGAAUUCUGAUUAUUUGUGUCCUCUGAUGUACAGAUACUUCAUGGUUACAUAUCCAUAUUUGUAUCAUACUUGUAAUGAAUACCCAUAGCAUAUAAUAAGGCUUCCUAAGUCGGGUAUGCAUUAAAUCUAGACUUUUAUUCAAACUUCUUAUAUACAAUAUUUCUUUAAAUAGGGAAACAAUUGUUAUCAUUAAGUUUUUUAAUAAGUUCGAUAAGAGAUUGAACACCAAUGAUGAUAGGAUGAUGGAGAUGACCCUUCAAUAGAUAUCAUCUAUAUUAAGAUAUAAAGAAAUUAAUAAAAUAUAAAUAAUAAUAUAAUUUUAUGUAUCACAUUGCACCUAAUACUUGUAUGAGUUGUAUCCAACGCCAUGAAACAAAAUGUGUCAGAUAUCAGUUAGAUAAGAUUCAGUUCAGCAGGCAGGUUGGAUAAGAGUAUUGCUUAUGUAUAUCUUAAAAGAAAGUUUCCUAUUUGACAGAAUGUGGGUGUUUUUGUCCACCUAGGAGCUUUUUACCAUGUAAUCUGACAUAGGCUUUAUGAUCUGCACUAAUCUUUUGAAACUUCAUUUUGUCACAUGUUAAUAAGUUGAAAAAGAAAAUAUUGUUUUAGGAGCUAAAGAUGAAUAAGCAGCUAAAGGAAAGUUAUAUAGAAUUAGUAGUAAAAGAGAAGAGUGUAAACCUAUUUGCUAUUUGCUUCAGUACUCAAGUGCUGGUUCCGUUACCAAAUUUCAGUGGUUUUGGUUGAAUAUGUAAGUCAGUGGAAGUGGUGCUGAAUAGUGGAGGGAAUGUUUGGAGUACAUGAUUUGAAAAGGGGAGAAUGAUUAAAAGAAAUAGAAAAUUGACUGACCAAUAUUGAAGGUUUCAUAGGAAUGUUGAAUGUUAGUAAAUUGGAAAGAUGUUACAUACCAUUCAUCUUAUUAGAAGCAUAACUGUUCCUUUUUGUAUAUUUUCUGUUACCUUCCUUUCCUUCAAAAUAUGGCCUUUGAAUUUUGAACCAUUAACUGAGUUGGUAUAGUGGUAAAGUCAUGUAGAUUUUUGUUUUCGUUUUGUGGGGAUAUGAAUGAGAAAAAUCCUUACAACCAGACAAAGCUGUGGCUCAGAAGAAAGAGAAACAUGCCUCACUUCUAGAAUCACUGGAACUAACAUCUUGUAAACAAACUGUUAUACCAAACUUUCCUAAGGUGCAAUUCUCAACCAUUAACCAAUUUCAUCUCAAACAACACUAUCAGUUCUUCAGUCAUGAACUUCCCAUACUGAAAAUUUGUCACCUAUUUCUUUUAUAGGCAGUGGCUUCUUAUGAGAGUCACACUCUCUGAACUUCUAAUGUAAAACUUGACUUUUCAUUUUGUGCUUUAUAAUUGUUAUCUCAUGCAUUGCCCUUUUAAGAUAAGGUUGUUGUGCAUUGUUUGGUUGAGUACAACGAUUUACUGAUGACCAUAACUAUUUGUGGAUCUUAUAUUUUCAAAAGUGUAUGCUUGGUCAUUAAUCAACCAAGCUUGAUAAGCUCCAUCACCUACCAUCCCCUUCUAUGCCAUAUACACAUUUUGCUUAUCUACAUUCCUACUGUUACUCUCAAACAAGUCUAACAAAUAAUAAGUGAAGUUAAUGAACUUUUUUAGUAAUAUUAUUAUAAGGAUUGGUCAAUGUAAUGGUGAACAGAGAAGCAUGCUUUCAGCUACCCAACAAAAUGGAUAAGAGUGUCAGUUGAUAUGGUUCUCUUGUUUUUUUUUUUUCAAUGCAAAAUCACCUUUAAAAUAUAAAAGAUCACUGUAACAAAGGGACAAAGGGUUUUCACCUAACCCAUGCAUGAGAUAUGAUGGUCACAAAAUAUGUUAGGUUUAAUAUGGAAUGAGGGCACAGUACAAACCACUCACAAAUAAUAUCAAACUCCACCACCAUCACACAUUUUACGUUCUUCCAAGGAAGAGAUAAGAUAAUGAAGCCUCCUCCACGUGUCACUUCCACAUGGUACCUAACGAUAAGGCUACCAUUCAAAAUUUUCCUCACUCGUGUGGCCAAUAUGCUGUAAUGUCAUCACUUAUUCAAUCCAACGGUUGUAACUUCUCAGCAACCAAUCCCCUCCAUUUCACACCAUCGGAUUAGUACUACACAAAUCACACUAUUAUAUAUAGUAAGUUUGAGCAGAAGCUUGGAUAUCUGGCAGCAGAAGAACAAGUAGUUGAGAACUAAGAAGGAGAAGCAAAUGGCUUCCUCAAUGAUCUCUUCCCCAGCUGUUACCACUGUCAACCGUGCCGGUGCCGGCAUGGUUGCUCCAUUCACUGGCCUCAAGUCCAUGGCUGGCUUCCCCACCAGAAAGACCAACAAUGACAUUACCUCCAUUGCUAGCAACGGUGGAAGAGUGCAAUGCAUGCAGGUAUGACAACUCCACACAUAUAAAUACACAAGAGGCACCAAAAUGAUUAUAAUUCAUGUUACAUAUUUAGGCAUGUACCAAAAUGUUACUUAAAUAAACAUGUUAGUCAUAGGUUGCUUAAAUUUUAGUCAUAGGAAAAUUUGCACAUGUGCUAGUUAAUCUGUUAACCCCUUUACUCAAUUUUCAUGCAAAUUAAUUACUAGGUGUGGCCACCAGUUGGCAAGAAGAAGUUUGAGACUCUUUCCUACCUGCCAGACCUUGAUGAUGCACAAUUGGCAAAGGAAGUAGAAUACCUUCUUAGGAAGGGAUGGAUUCCUUGCUUGGAAUUCGAGUUGGAGGUCAAUUUCUUGCAAACACUUUUGGUUUAAUCAUAGAUUUUCUUAUUCUUAGUUUGUUUCAACUUAUUUUCAAGAAAUAAUGGCUUCUCUUGCUAGUGUGCUAAAAGUACUUUUGGAAACAAAACAAAAAAUGGUUGUGUUCCAAAAUUUAAAUUUAUCUAACAGAUUUUUCUAUUUGAGAGUUAUCAAUAUGUAUCAAAUCUGUUCCUAUCUCUGACCAAAUUUUAUUCUUCCAAAACAAGCACUUGGUUUUGAGUUUUGAUGGUUGAUCUGUUUGUUUGCAGCACGGUUUCGUGUACCGUGAGCACAACAGGUCACCAGGAUACUACGAUGGACGCUACUGGACCAUGUGGAAGCUGCCUAUGUUUGGUUGCACUGAUGCUUCUCAGGUGUUGAAGGAGCUUCAAGAGGCUAAGACUGCAUACCCCAACGGCUUCAUCCGUAUCAUCGGAUUCGACAACGUUCGCCAAGUGCAGUGCAUCAGCUUCAUCGCCUACAAGCCCCCAGGCUUCUAAGUGUGAAAAAUUUGCAAAGCAUUUGUAGCCGCCACCCCACUUUGUUUGUUUGUACUUAAACUACAUUCCCAUUUGUUUUUGCUUUUUGAGAUUUCAUCAUCCUGUAUUUUUGGUUUCUGUUUUCGGACUUCAAUGGAAAUUAAUGGAUGAGAACUAAUGAAUAAGCUAUUGUGUUGUGUUGCUUUGUUUCAAAAUAACUUCAAUAACCCAUCGUCCUUGCAUUUCUCUCUACUGGGCUGAAAUUAAUCAUUUCUAAAUUUAAGUUAAUUAAUUGUGUCUCUAAAUGAUGGUUAACAGGGGAACUCUGUGUUAUUCAAGUGCACUGCUUAGUUUAGCUGAGCUUGGCCUUACUUUGUCACAAGUCACAAAUCUGAUGUAUGAAUGUUCUUUAUACUUUGGUCUUCCAAGAAAUGAAGUUCAAGACACAUAGUUUGUAAACAUGUUGCUAGGAAGCUACUGAACUUUCAAAACCAAAUAUGAACUCGAUAAUUCUUGGAAACACAGAUAUUUUGUAUAGUAUAUAGCAACAAAAAACCACUAAGGAACUGCUACCAAAUCGUUUUGUUAUUUAUGUGCAAAGAAAGCGAUAUCAAAUUCAAAUUUUUAUUGGUUUCAGAAUCUUUUCUUUCCAAGCAAUAACCACCAACUGCAACGAAACCGUUUUGUUUGUUCCAUUUCUCACUCUCCUCACUGCAAUGUUCAAAUUCUGAUUUGGAAAACAGCACAUAAAAACACAAGAUUUGGUCAUGCUCUGGUUCUACCAAAUACUACAUUUGUUUCUAGAAUUGCCAGAAUCUGAUCCUUUUGCUGACAAUUAAUCUCUAGAAGAUUCUUUUGCUUGUAACUUGGUAGUUAUGGAUUAGCAACUGAUAAAUAAAUCAUUUAGUGGGCUCUAUGUUGUGAGUAGUGAUAGGUAACUUAUGUCGACACCUUUUAGUAGAUUGCAUUAAUAUUUAGACUGGACCCUUUUGAUAGCUACAUUUGUGAACAAGAAUACAAUACGAUAAAGAAAUAGAUAAGAAGUUUCACCUCCUAUACUCCCAUGACCACAUCAUGACAUAUUCAAUGCCAAUCGUGAAUAUACAAAUCAAUAGGAUUUGUUUUCUUCCAAAUAUUUAUUUGUGGACGUGAAUCUACUCACCCUAGAAGCAAGUUUCGUUAAAUUUCCUUUGUUUAAUAACUUUUUGUGAACAUUCAUUCUUUUUUAAUUCAACUUUUAUAUAAAAAUAAUUAGACUCAAAUUCCUUAAACAAGGUCUCAAGUUCAAAUUUUGUGAAUGAAAAAUAUAAUUAAAAGAAGAGACAUAAUUGAAGUAGUCAGUCAAGUUAUGACAAAGCCUUACAAUUCACAAAAUAACUAAAAUAUUAUAUCAAUCAACUUCAUUUUAAUGGAUAGUAGUAUUAUUCUUUUAAAAUACAAGUAAAUGUUAACUAUAAGAUAAUCUUUAUGGUAAUAUAUUACAAAAUAUAAUAGUUAAGGGUCUCUUUGGGGGAUUGUUAGUUGUUAGUUUCAUUUGUUUUUAAAAUAACAAUCAAUUUUUAGUUUUAGUAUAAAAAGUUUUUAAAACCAGUCUUUAAAAUUUGAUUAGUUUUCUAACUAUUAGUUUUAAGAUUAAGUCAUUUUAAAAUUUUCUAAUCUUUUUAAAAUUAAUUUAAGAGUGUAUUUUUAUAUAUGAUGAUAACGACACCAACAACAACAAUGGUGGUAUUUUUGGUGGCGAUAGCAAAGUCAAUAGUGAUAAUAACAGUGUCAAUGAUGGCAGUGAUACUAGUGGUGGUGUUGGUGUUGAUAGUUAUAAUGCAGUAUUGCUAAUAAUGGUAGUGAUUGAUAGUAAUGGGAGCAGUGAUAGUGUUGACAACGAUAGUAAUAGCGGUGAUGUUGGUUGUUGGUGUCAAUAACAAUGGUGACAGUGUUGAUAAUAAUAGUGAUUGUGUCAAUGAUUAUGAUGAUGAUCAUAAUGACGACAUAGAUGGUGGUCCUGGUGUUAGUAGAGGCAAUGAAAAGUGUCAUUAUCAAAUGUAGAGAGUGUGUACUUUUUUAAAAUUAAAAUCAAAAUUACAAAUAUUUUUUGCCCAAAACUUUUGGUUUUAAAAAUUACAUUUAAAAAUAAAAUAUAAAAAACUCACAAUUACGUGACCAAACCCUAAGUCUUUUAAAUCAAUUAGUAUUCUAUAAAGAAAUAGUAUUUUUGAAGUAUUUAUAUAAUUUAAGUAUUUACUUAUUCUUAGAGUGAAUAGAUCCCUUUCGUUUGUUUUAUUCAUCAUACAGAAUCAAUAAUACAGUGGAAUCCUUCUGAAUAUUUUCUUUUAUAUAUAUAUAUAUAUAUAUAUAUAUAUAUAUAUAUAUAUAUAUAUAUAUAUAUAUAUAUAAUGUACCUGGAAAAAAUAAUCUUCCAUUAGUGAGACAGACAAAUAUAACCUUAUUUCCAUAGAGCCUGCAAAAACCUAACUAUCCAGUCAAUAUUUUAUAUUUCCAUAGUUUUUCUGACAAACCAACUUCUUUAAUAUAUUUUUCAAAAGUUUUCAAAUAAGUUAUAUAACAUAUCAUAAUAUUCAAGGUUUUCCAAGAGGAAAUUUAAAAAUUGUUAUUUUGACAAGAUAAGUGCUACAUAAUUGUGUGGUCUAUACCGACUAAUGAGUCAAGGCAUCGUGACUAUGUCGUAACAAAAAAGGUAAAGAAAAACAAGUCAUUAUCAUAGCAUUAUUUGAAGUUGAAGAAUAUUACGUAGUGUGAUAUGAUUUAUUUAUGACUGUUUUGGUUGUUUCCGUUGCGUUUUAUGAAUGGAAGAUCAAAUAGCUAGCUAUAAAAAGACCCUAAACAGAUAACAACCUAUUGGUAAUUUUUUUUUGUUUUAGGCUAUUCAAUUAGAUAUAGGCUCAUAUAUGUAGAUUUUAUAAGUUUAAGCCACAAAAAAUAUAUUUUUAUUAAAACAAUAAAAAGAUAUUGCCGUAGUGUUUAUACGAGAAAUGGCGCAUAGUGAGGUGCUCGAUCGAGUCUCUAUCAAUUUGCUUUUGAUGUGUGCAAAGGAAAAGAAAAGAGAAAAGAGGAAAGUUACAAAGUGAAUGCUUAGAUACUUAUAUCUUAAGUAAAUCCUUGUGUCUUUAUAAUAAAGUUGGAUAAAGACACAUUAACACUCAUCUUAUUUUUUUAAUUCCCUGAGUAUUUAACUCAAUUAGAUACUUAAAGAUUUAAAUUUGAGGCUGUUAUUAGUUAAAUUAAAAUAAUUUCACAUAAAUUGAUUCAAACACAUAUUAUUUGACAUCUUAAGAGAAAAAGAAAAAAAAAUGAAAUGUAAACAAGAUAAAUUAUAUGAUAUGAUAAGAAAGAAAAGACAAAAAUAAAUUGAAGAUGUCAAAUAAAUAUCCAUGUAUCAUUAUUAAUUAAGUUUCAAAAUCAAAGACUGAUACAUGAUUUUUUUUUUAAAAUUCAAAAUAUAUCUCAGUGAAAACUAUUUAAUGUUUAAAAUAACAUUCAUAUAUCAAUGUUUUAUUUGAGCACUAGUUGUUUUGAAUUUAUUUUUGGCAUCUCUCUCAUUUCCUUUUUCUUGAUCACUGCUUCCUUUUUCCCAUUUAUUUUCCCGACAAAACAAUUUUAGUACAACACAUCCUACAUGCACCAUCUAAAGGCUCUCUCACAAACCCAGUCUAAUUAAGGACAAAUUAAUACGGAGAAAUUAAUUAGUUCUCGACUACUACUGUAUAUUUAUAAUAUUGAUUAAUCUUUACCAAACAUGAUACGUAUUAAAGUUUUUUAAUUUAAGAAAAAAUUAAUAAUGCUAAAUUGUAAACACUCUUAGAUUGCUUAAUAAUUUAUUCUCUUAAAAAAUUAUUAGAUGUCCAAAACCAUCCUAGACUCUAUUAAAACAAGGCCACUUAUAUAAUAAAAACAUAAUAUACAAGACUAUUAAUUUUUUUAUUAUUAAUUAAAAAACCUGAAUAUAUAUAUAUAUAUAUAUAUAUAUAUAUAUAUAUUAUCGGUAAAUAUUAUUAGUUUUUGUUAACAGAGAAAAUCAAAUUUAUGACUUUUUUUUUUCUUUUUCCAUCUCCCAUAAUCUUCUAAUUCAUCUUAUAUUUUCAAAAUUCUGAAAAGGUAUCAUACAAAUUGAUUCAGGCCAUAGAGAUGUAGUGAUCCGAAACUACUUAAUAUAUAGUUUCUUCCACACUCACGGCACUCAAAUAUUUCAUUUCCUCACACAUAGACUGCACCUCCCCCCUCACACACUCACACACUCACUCAUUCACAACACCACACUGACUUAUUCAUAUUCAUCCGUCACAUGAAAGGCAAUGGCAAGCACACACACAAGUUACACAGCAAAUCCAAACUCUUCAGUGGCCUUAUUUGCACCAUGCAACCAUAAUAUCCACCCAUUAUAGAUCUUAUAGACAAUAGCAUAUAUAGCCACACCAUAUGCAUUAUGAAUCCAUGGAACAAUCAUAUAUCAUUCGUGAAAAAAAAGUAAAACAAGUCUUCAAAGCUUUUCCCAACCAUAGAACUUCUCAACCAAGUCUUUAAACCUUCACGUGAAUCUGUCAUCAAGACAGCCCCUAAAUUAAGCUUGAGCCAUCUGUGUCAUACACGUAUAAGAGGUCACGCAUGGUUUACAUCAAGUAAGAAAAGAAGCUAUCAUAAAGAUAUUACUUCUAUUUUUUGUUGUUGAAUAAGUCUAGGGUAUAAUAUAUUGUUGAUUUCUCAAAAUAGUUGAGAACGAUAGUUUUAGUUCUUAUUAAAAUUUAAUAUGUUUUUAUUCUUUAUAUUUAUUAAAAGUGACAUGAUUUUAAUUCUUUCAUCAUGAACUAAAAACACAUACAUCUGAAUAAAUAUAAGAACUAAUAACACACACACACACACACACACACACACACACAUAUAUAUAUAUAUAUAUAUAUAUAUAUAUAUAUAUAUAUAUAUAUAAUUCUAUUUGUAUUUUAUCUCUUGCUUGGUUGUCGUGGUAAAGGCGUAAGGCAUAGCCGCAUGGAUAUGAACUUAUCAUAGGGCUCCAUUGAAUCAGAUCAGUUUAAACUUAAAGCUUUUGAAAAUUAUUAUUAAAAAAAUGAAGUUUUGAGGACAUCAAAAUUACGUCACUGAAAGAGAAUAAUGACUUCUUUUAACUUUUUUUUUUCCCUGUUGUAAACUUAGGAUUUUCAAAACCCGAGUUCCAAAUUUGCAAUGGUUUCUUGUUUUUGAUUCGUAAGUGGAUUACACAAAUUUCAUUUUGACGCAAACUGUUGGAUUAUUUUAAUAUUAUGUUCUAGUUGUAAUUAAAAGCCAUUAGGAUUAAUUUAGAAAACUAAGAAUAAAUCUAUAAUAAAUUUCUCUUAUCUUUUCAAAAUACUCAUUAGUCUUUUUAAAAAAAACCCACACCGAAUAGUAUUUUUUAGCCAUAAAAAAAAUAAGGGAACGAAAGACUGAGGGAGGAAAGCCAUUUUAAUUAAAAAAAUAGAAAAUGAAAAAAAUAAAUUGAAAACACAAGAAAAAUAUCGGGCCAGAAAAUAAAUAUGAAUUAUAAUAAUCAAGAGCUUCAUGCAUGCUUAGUAGUUUUCUGUGCAUUAAAGAACUCUAGAGAAAUUAUGUGUUAUGAUCUAUUCUUACAAAAACAUAUGCCAUAGCCUGUGAACGGGAUCCGUGUUCAUGGUCUCUUGUAUAUGCUUUUGUUCUUUAAUUGUUAAUAAUUAAGAACACAUGCCGUAGUGCAAGUUUAAAUCAUAAAGAGUUAUGGAUACCCAUAAUAUUCUAAGAGAUAUAAAAUAAAGAAAUAAUUAAGUUUUUCAUAUUUGAAAUAUAGUUUAUUUUUAAAAAAUUACUUAACAUUCUUUUUUUUCUCUCUAAUACCUAAAAAAAUUUUGCAUUUCAUUUUAGUACUUGUCGUUAGUCCACAUCCAUUAAAUAAUGAUAUAGCAAACGGAGUAUCACGUCAUCACACCUAAUUACUAAACACAUAUGCACAAACAUUCACAUCAUUAAUUUUUGUUUUUGUUUUUUUAAUAUUAAAAAAUGAAAGCCAAAAAGGAGAGGGGGAGUCGUCCGUGGUGGUGUGGGAGGCGCGGCCACCACCGUCUUGGACACUCUUUGGAACUUCACCUUCGUCGCCGCCAUCGUCACCAUCUUCUUGAGCUAUCCACUGGAUAGGGUCCAUCGUCAAGCGAUGAUUUCCCACAGAACAAAAAAUCUGCUAUGCUUCACUUUCUUGCUUUUGCAUUUUCUUGUGGAAAAAAAAUCCUCACAACAAAAAUAGGUUGUCCUUUUCUUUGAUCUACCAAAGCUUUAAAUUUUCCUUAGGUGCGUACUUCAAAUUCUUCUUCUCCUACUCCUAACUGCUCCUUUUUUUUUUUUUUCAAAUUCUCUGUGCGUUUCUAAGGAUUUUGCAUGUUUUGUUCUUCUCUUUGCUGUGUGUUUUGACUUUUAUUGUUUGCGUGUGUGGCAGUUUGGUUUGUUUGUGAGUUUGGAGUGUGAUGCCACCAUCGGCGGUGAUCACGGAGGAGGAGGGGCAGAGCAAAGAUGUCUUCACUGAUAUUGAACUCGCGGAAGUUGAAUUGCCAGAUUUAGGGGCUCUCUGUGCCCCAGGUAAGGAGGUUCCUGUAGUUAUACUCGUCCACGAUUUCACAUAUCAACGCGAACUCCUCCUUGAGGUUAUCAUUCCAAACUUCCUUGAUUUGAACCGAAUCGCCUUUUGGUAAAAUCAACAUAUCAAACGAACAAAUCUGAGUAGCAAAGUGAGAAUCACAAUCAAACCCCCCAUAUCUGUAACAAAAACAUGCGGAAACAAUUCAGAUCUCAAAACCUAACAAAUCCAAAACAAAAAUCGAUGAUAUUUCAUUGAACGAGGAAACAAAUAUAAACAAAAUCAACAAGCCGCGAUACAUAAAGAGGAUUUGAGUGAGUAGAGCUUCGAAUCGGGGGCAUGCAAUCAAGCUUCGUAUCGACGACGACGACAACAACGAAGGCAGAGUUCCAGAGAGUGUCCAAGACAGUGGUGGUCGCCGCCUCCCGCACUAUAACAUCCCAAUUUCGUGAAUUAAAUUAAAAAGGUUUUUCAUUUAAAAUAGAGUUUUAGAAAAAAAAAUGAUGAGGUUUUUGUAAUUAAAUAAAUAAGGAGAAAUAACUUUAUUAAAAUAAUGGUUUGAAGGAAAAUAAAAAGGAUAUUUGAUUUAUUCAUUUGAUAGGAAAUAACAUAGAGUAUUUGUUAAUAAAAUAAUAAAAAUAAAAAAUAGAGUAAAUAAUAAGCUAAGAGUACCUAGCUAUAAAUAAAGACAUGCUAGGUUAUUUUUCAGACUGACGGUAGUCUCUGUGGUUUCUCUUCCUUUCAGUUUCUUUUUUCUUUCUCCUCCUCCCAAAACUAUUUUUCCCGCAUACACUCAAGCCUAUCUCAAUAAAAUUAUGAUCUCGGACUCGUUAAACGUUGGAUCAUUGUGAAAUUUGAGUACUAGGUUUAGAACUUAAUUCCAAAUAUUCUCACCGUUGGAAUUUGCGAAACUAUAUUGGAGCUGAGAGAAACUCCCUUCGUAUUUUAGCUUUCUCUUUUCCCGCAGAGACCCGAAACCUAUCCCGGUAAAACUAUUAUCCUGGACUAGUUAACCGUUGGAUCAUUGUGAAAUUUGAACACCAAGUUUGAAAUACAUUUCCGCAUAUCUUCACCAUCGGGAUUUGCAAAAUGAUUUCUGGGGAGGGAGAAACACUCAUUGCACGUAGACAGUGGAAUGAAGGAUUCAAAUUCUUUUCCUUCUCUCUAAUAUUUGGAAACCUUAUCAGAACAACCAGAGAAAAAGCUUGAGGAAUCUCAGGAAAUUGUUAGAGAUUCCACUAUUGCUGUCAGAAUACACACGUGAGCCCGCUUAGAGGUAAGGGAUGAGUUAUUCAUAAUUGGAGAGUAGUGAGAACAUGUGUAGGGAUCCUUAGAGUAUCAAUUGGAAUGAGUUUUUAGGUUGUUUUUGCAAAUUUUGAUUCUAUCUUUACAAUUGUAACUGUGAAUUAUAUAUUUUUUUACGAACCAAUUGAUGUUCCAAUUAGAAAUUGCUGUGAAAUUCAUGUGUUCUUGUGUUGAGUGUGAACCUUAAAAAUUGAGUUCUUUUUAUUAACGUAAAUUAUACUCUAAAUAAUAUUCUUUUAACGGCUUAUUUUAUACAAAUUAUUAUCUUGUUCUGUAUUUUUCCACAACGAUAAUCAACAUGUUAUGUGUUUAUAUAUAUAUAUAUUGUAAUACAAAAAUAAUAAAUUAAAGAAAGUUGUAAAGGUUAAUGUCUAGUAGUAAUUUCUUUUGAUGUAAUCUUAAAUUAAUUGUUAUAGAAAUUCUUUUUGAUUGAAAAUAAUAUAGUUUGAUUUAAUAUAUAUAUAUAUAUAUAUAUAUAUAUAUAUAUAUAUAUAUAUAUAUAUAUGUUUUGUGUCAUGCAAAUAUUAUUAUUGUGUGAAUAUAUAUAUAUAUAUAUAUAUAUAUAUAUAUAUAUAUAUAUAUAUAUAUAUGUUUUGUGUCAUGCAAAUAUUAUUAUUGUGUGAUGUGUAUAUGAGUUAUGAGACGUGAUAAAUUAUUAUAAUAAUAUUAUAAUAUUAUUGUUGAGAUCAAGUAUAAGUGUAAAGUUAGACAUGUGUUACUUUGUGAAAUACACAUGAACAUGUGAUGGUGGAUUAUGAUAUUAUGAGAUGUUAAGUUGUGGUCAUGAGAUUUGGUUGUGAAUAAGUGUGUGUUUAACACUUGAUGUGAUAGUAUUUGUGUUGUGAGCUAUGAAUUAUACAAUAACCCAAUCAGUGUUUACCUUGAGAAAAAGUGUUUAUGCGUAGUGUUAAAGGAAAAGUGUAGGUUUCCUAGUUAGGAACCAAUGUUAAAUUGUAGCGCAAUGUGUUAAACGUGUUUGAAACAUGAGCGUGAGGUCAUGAAUAUUGUAUAAUUCAUGAGCAAUGUCUGCAUGCAAAAAUUGUUUUAGGGGUUGAAACUGAAUCAGGAAGGUGAGGCCCUAACGGAUUCUUCGUAGUCUAGGCCUUGAGGGUAAAGACACUCAGUUUGAGUGCUCCUUUAAGCCUAUAUUGAUCUCAUAUGGUUGGAGCAUUCUCACAAAACAGAGUUAUCCUGACUGGUCACCUUAUGAUUUUACUUAGUGAGAGUGACCUGACAUACCCAUUGUAUGGUGUGACUUGUUUGUACUCCUAAGUGCCCCGGGGUGGUUUUUCACUGACAUGGUACCACAUUGCAUAUAGACUUGAGUCUUAGCAUAACUAUUGCAUAACGCUUGCUAAUUGUUUACUAUGAAAUUGAUGAGUGUUAUUAUGUCUUGAUCAGAGUAUGUGAUUCAUGUGUAAUGUGAUUGAUGAUUGAAAAGUGAAUUUUAAAUGACAAAGUGGUGGAAUUACGUGAGUUAUGUUUAAAUAAGUUAUAUCUCAUUUAUAUGAUAUGUAUAUCUAGUUGUCUUGUUUCUCUAUUAGUUAGAAAUGUGAUAACUCACUCCUCGUGUGUUGUUUGUGUUUGAAUCUUGUGAUGAUCUCGAACUUUGUGUUCGGGGGAACAUAUGACUAGGUGGAUUGCUUUAAGGAACCUUAUGCUGAAGGAUGUCGGGACACAAUACUCUGAUAGGACGUGACAUCACGGCAUAAGUUUCUAUAUUAAUUGCAUGAAGUCUUGAACGACCUUGUUUUAAGUCGAGAUAUUUUCGUAUUUAUUGGACAAGUCAUUUUAUGAUGUUAGAAAAGUAAAUGUGAGCCUUUUACAAUUUUGAAAUGCUUUUAUUUAAAUGUGCUUUAAAAACUUUUAAUUAAUUCUAAAUUCUUAUUUCUUUUAUUAUUAGUACAUAUAUGUAUGGGGUAGAGGGUGUCACACGUACCGCCACGAACGACUCUCCCUCUCUUUUUUGGCUUUCAUUUUUUUAAAAUAAAAUAAAAAAAAAUUAAUGAUGUGGAUGUCCGUGCCUACAUGUUUAGUGACUAGGCGUGAUGACGUGACACUCUAUCUGCCACUUCAUCACUCAAUAGAUGUGGACUAACAACUGGUACGAAAAUGAAACGCAAAAAUUUUCCUAGUAAAAAUGAUAAUAUUAGGUAGUUUUUUUAAAAAUGGAUUAUAUUCAAGGUAUGAAAAACUUAAUUAAGUCUAAAAUAAACUAUCCUUUUUGUUAUUGUAAAAUAAAAAUUUGAAGACCAUCUAAUUCACCUCAUAAUCAGUUUCAAGUCCAACCAAUUCUAUUCAUCCAUGCUUCACUCAGGUUCUUUUGAGACCUUUUAAGAAAAAGAAAAAGGAAAUGACGAGGCCCUUAUUUAGAUGUAAUAGAGGUGUUUAAAAUUAAAAAAAAAGAUCGUCAGCAAAAAAUUGAAAUGAAUGUGCAUGCAAAGUUAAAACCUAAAAGAUUAAUCGAUCAAUGAUGGAACACCCAAAUAGUCGUAUUUUAGUUUCUGCCAAGCUCCAAAGGGAAAAAGCAUUUUGUAAAAUCAGUCAAUAAGUUAGUAGAUAAAUAUAAAUUGACACAAAAAAAUAUAUGUAGGUAUUUGAGGUAAAAAGUGAUUAAAAAAACGAGUGAGAAUAAAAGAAAGCUACUAACUUAUAAACUAGAGCUUAUUUUCGUAAGUUAAUUGAUACAGUUUAUGAAAAUAAACUACAAGUUAAUAAAAUAAACUUAAACUUGUGUACUAAACAAACUUAUAAGUUGAUUAAAGUAAUUUGUAAGCUAUUAGAGUAUCAUACGAAAACAUUUAGUAUUCAUUCAGAGUCGCAAGUUGCUAGUUUUGGAACUUGUAUUUAGAAGUUUCUCUCGGUGCUUUAAAAAUUUGGAGGUAUUUAUGGUCUCAGAUUAAGACUUGUCACUUCAUAUUAAUUUUUGCUUAAUAAUUGCAUGUUGUUCCUUUCCUUUAUUUCAUUUUUGUCAUAUAACUAGUUACACUAUUAGAAAAUACACCUUCUACAUCAGUUAUUUAAGACCUUUUACAUUGGUUUUUAACCGAUGUUGAAAGUAUUAUCGUUAACAUUGGUUUUACAAAACCGAUGUUAACGUAAAAUUGACAACAUUGGUUAUCUAAAUAACCAAUGUUAUAUAAUAAGAAUUACACCAAAAAAGUGUAUGAAUGUUGAUAGGUGACAUUGAUUUUUCCACAAAACCGAUGUUAACUUAUAUAUUAACAUUAAGACCUUUUACAUUGGUUUUUAACCGAUGUUGAAAGUAUUAUCGUUAACAUUGGUUUUACAAAACCGAUGUUAACGUAAAAUUGACAACAUUGGUUAUCUAAAUAAUCUAUAAGUUAACAUCGGUUUUUACAAAAACCCGAUGUUAACGUGUAGAUUAACAUUGAUUUUUCCACAAAACCGAUGUUAAGUUACACAAACAACAUCAGUUUAUAGAAUCCACAACUGUAUAACAAAUAUGCUGAGACAUUGACCACCAUGUGCAAUUUUGGAGAGAUCUUCGUGCUUGAUGUACAAUGGGAAGUCUGGAUUAAACACCCCGAACACGGUAGCAUCCCACAUAACCUAGAGAGGCUUCAAGAAAAGCUGUGGGAUGGUCAAUGUCAUCAAAUACAGGGGAUCAUUGACCUCAGGAUCCGGCCUAUCUGGAGGCUUUGAUGGAGACACAGUUGCCUGUUUAUCAAACAUAGUGAAAUAACAUAAUUUAAUUACAGUGAACAAAUCAACUGAAAAAAGCAUAUAAUCAUAGUAAAAUACUUGUUCUAAUACACGCUUCACGAGAUAUGUCGGCCAAGCAAGGAAAGUGUUCAGUGCCUGCCCCACUAGUUGAACCUCGUCAAUGGGUACAGGAACGGGAGCCUCUGCAUCUUUAACCUUCUCAACACCAACCUUCACGUGGCCAUGCAACAAAGGGAUGUUGUGAACAACUGUGGAUCCCUCAUAAACUUUUCCUAGGACAACCAGGCGGGAAGGAUUUUCUUCGAUGUACAGCCCGCAUUUGUCUGAGUCACCCGUCUUUGGAUCGGUCGGUGAGGGAUCAACGCAACUCCCUUUUGUGCUAACACAGGCAGCUAGGGGACCAACCUCAGGCUCCAGAGGCAGUGCAAGUCCCUGUGAUUGCAUCUGUGACUGAAGCUAGGACUACAUCUAGUUGAAGGAUGCCAUGAGCUGCCAAGUCACUUUUUCUGUGAUUGACUCCUCCAACUGGUCCCUGAUUUGUUGAGUGAGCUGCUCAAGUUCUUUGGGAGGGAUGAAGGAGGAAUUGCGGGAGCUUUGUAGAGUGGAGCCGAAGUAUUGCUUAAUGGUGACACCGGCUCUAGCAGCAUGCACACGGCCAGGGUGUUCUGGUCACCCAAUGGUAGCAAUCAAGACAUCCUGACGACCAUGGGGGACAAACGAACCCUGUGACGCCUGCUCCUCCAAAGAAUCUUGUACGUAACACAUAUAUUUGUCCAAGGCAUUCACAUAAUAAACAAACAUAAUUACAAUUCUUAAUUUACAUUUGACUUACAAUCUUCUCAGCGAUUUCCUUUGCGGCCUCAGAUGUCAUCUACCCAGUUUUCUUGGUGUGAGCCAUCUUCUACUUCACGUGUCGUCUGAUGGGAGAUGGAGGGUUAAUGACGCCCUUAGUGCUUCCGGACUGAGCAGCUUCCUCUAGUUUUUUCUUUGUCUUCUCAACCAUUAGCUUCUAUUCUAAAUAAUCAUAACCCCCACAAGACAACACGUGGGGGGUGGUGUUUUGCUUCUAGAUGGCCCGUGCUUUUUUCCGCACAUCCAGCAAAAUUCAAACAUUAAUCAAAAUGAUUUCUACAAUCUAUUAUAAGAACUGAAUUUUUAGUGGAAACAAUUCAAAUUACAAAGUACAUACCUCCCAUGAGGGAUCUCGGCGGGUCUGACAAAACCGGACCCAUUUCUCCUUGCUAAUGUCGUACUUUCACAAAUAGUGUCGUCCACACCGUCCUUGUUGGCUGCAAGUGCCCAUUUCCUGGUCAAAUCGGAUUUAAACUGCCUCCACUGCUUGCCCACCGUCUGAAGACUUUCUUCUUUGUCCUACUGUCAGAAGAUUCAGGGAUUUCAAAUUCCACUUGACAAACAAUAAAUUAGGUUUUAUUGUUAGUAAAUUAUAAAUUUUGGCUACUAAACAAAAUCAAAGAAGAAAACAAACAUACCUGAAUAUCCUCCCAUAUCAAAUCCUUCUGAGCCGCAGGGACUUCCUUCCAGGUCUCGUAUGUCACGUCGACCUUAUCACGAGCGACAAUCCCCAAAUAUGUUCUUAAUUUCUACUUUUAGGGACCGUCGGCCUUGCCAGUCGCAGGAUCAACGUGGACCACUGGUCUGCACACCGGUGUUGCUGUCAACCCAUUUACAUUUGAAAACACACACAGUAAAUUUGACAUAGUUAAGCUCCCAAAUUUCAUUAAUGAACCCAAAGUAAGGGAUGGAAGCUACACAGGGAUUGUCAUCAUGCACACUUGCGAAGUGCUGACAUUCAGCCCUUAGGGUGACCUCGCUGUUUUGCAUUGUACUUUUGUCGUCUUGUGCUUUUGUGAAAAAGGAAUACUUGUUUAUGUUGUAUCCUUGCCAAGUUAUAACAUUUCUUUUAGGCCCAUCUGCUAGCUUUCUAAAUGUUUAUGAAGCAUUUUCAUCAACAAAGAUUGUAUCUUUAAACCAAUCAGAGAAAGUCUUGUUAUGCUUUUUCAAAACCCAAUUCUUUGACAUUUUUGGAUUAUUUUGUUUGACUAAAGCUUCAUGCUGAAGUGUGUAUGACAAAACUUCAUUACUGUUGUUCAACACAUACAAGUGAGCUUGUAAUAAAUCUUCUACACUUGGAGUGAUAACAUGCAGUCCUCUUGAACCCUUACCACCCACUCUGUCGUUAUGACGAGACUUAGAAAGGCCAAUAGGUUUAGCCUUUUCAAUGUACUCUGAACAAAAUUCAAUGGCUUCUUCUGCAAUGUACCUUUCAACAAUAGAUGCUUCUGGAUGAUGUAGAUUCUUGGUAUACCCUUUUAAGAUCUUCAUGUAUCGCUCAACCAGGUACAUCCACCGCAACUAAACAGGACCACAACAUUUGAUUUCUCUGACCAGAUGAACAAUUAAGUGAAUUAUGAUGUCAAAGAAAGCAGGAGGAAAAUACAUCUCCAACUGGCACAGUAUAAUUGCAGCCUCAUUUUCCAAGUCAUCAAACUUGACAGGAUCAAGGACUUUGCUACAUAUGGCAUUGAAGAAAAAGAACAGGCGAGUUAUGACUAACCUGACUUUGUUAGGCAAAAUGUCUCGUAGGGUCACGACUAACAAUUGUUGCAUCAACAUGUGACAAUCAUGAGACUUUAACCCUACUAGCUUAAGCUCCUUCAACUGCACAAGGCUCUUAAUAUUUGAAGAGUAUCCUUAUGGGACUUUCACCCGACGCAGACAUUGACAAAAACUUAUCUUCUCCUUUCUGGACAAAGUAUGACAAGCUGGAGGCAAAUAUAUUUUUUUCCAUCAGACCUUGGAUGCAACUGCAAUCGUAUACCCAUGUCAGCUAGAUCAUUAUGGGUAUUCAAACCAUCUUUCCUCUAGCCUUGAAUGUUAAGGAGCGUCCCAAUGACAUUGUCACAUACAUUUUUCUACACAUGCAUAACAUCAAUACAAUGUCUAAUAUCUAGAUUAGACCAGUACGGAAGAUCAAAGAAAAUGGACCUCUUCUUCCAUAUGCAAGUCUUACUUUUAUCCUUCUUUUUCGUGCUCUUGACUUCUAUUAAAUGCUUUUUUCAAUCGCCUGUAAGGGUGAUGAGGUUUUAGAAAACGUCGAUGCCUAGUGUAAACUGUUUUUCUACCAUGUUUUAGUUGUAUGUAGCUUGUGUCUUCUUCACAGAUGGGGCAUGCAUAAUGACCCUUAACAUUGUAACCGCUCAGAUUCCCAUAUGCUGGAAAGUCAUUAAUGCUACAAAAAAACAUUGCACGCAUUUCAAAAGUCUCAUUGCGAAACCCAUCAAACACUAAAACCCCCUCCUCCCAAACCUUUCUCAGGUCUUCAAUCAACGGACUUAGAUAAACAUCAAUGUCAUUUCCUGGCUGUCUUGGGCCCGAUAUUAUCAUAGACAACAUCAUGUAUUUUCGCUUCAUGCACAACCAAGGAGACAAAUUGUAAAUUACCAGUAGAACUGGCCAUGAACUGUGUUGAGUGCUUAAAUUGCCAUAUGGAUUCAUUCCAUCACUGGCUAAUCCUAGCCUAAGAUUUCUUGCCUCUUUGCCAAAAUCCGGAUACAAACCAUCAAUCUUCUUCCACUGGGAGCAAUCAGCUGGAUGAUAGACCAUUCCAUCAGAGUUUCUCCCAUUUGCAUGCCAGGUCAGGUCUUUUGCGUCGUCUCCAUUUGCAAAAAGACGCUUAAACCUUGGAAUGAUGGGAAGAUACCACAACACCUUUGCUAGAGGGCCCUUCUUUGAGUUUUCAUCAGAACUACAGUCCUCAUCAUCCUUCACCUUGUGCCGUGACGCCCCACACGUAGGGCAUUUGGACAUUUCUUCGAAUUCAUGCCUGUACAGUAUUUAAUCAUUCAGGCAAGCAUAAAUCUUCUGAUACUCCAUACCCAUCAGACACAAUAUCUUCUUGGCCUGAUAGUAACUUUUAGGCAACGUGUUUUCCUCUGGAAGCAGCUCAUGAACUACUUGAAGCAGUGAAGUAAAGCUUUUGUCCCUCCACCUAUAUCUGGCCUUGACAUUAACCAAACUUAACACCACCGACAACAACGUCAAGGAAUUCUUGCACCCCGUAUAUAGAGGCUUCUGUGAAGCAUUUUGCAAUCCUUCAUACAUAGGGGCAUGUGCUUGCUAAAAAGACUCUUGCCCAAGGUCACGAAUCAUAUCCUCCAAACGAUCUCCCAUUUCUACAUCAAACGGUUUAGAUUGGGACCCACUCUACAUGUCUAUCAAUUCACCAUGCCAUAUCCAUGUUGUGUAAUUCUUCUUAAUCCCAUUACACAAUAGAUGCUCUCGUAUGUCGUCCAGUAGUUGUCGUCUUCCGUUCAAACAAUUGAUGCAAGGACAAUAAUAUUUUCCAUCUUCAUCCGGUCAACCUCUUUCUGAAGAAAAUUGCAAGAACUGCUCGACGCCUUCCUCAUAUUCUAGGCUGAUGCGACUUUCAUUCAUCCAACUUUGAUCCAUCUAAGUAAUAACUCCGUGAUGCUCACAAAGUUAUUCAAUGCAUGAAAAUCUCACUUUUUUAUUAUAGGUGUGGCCCUAUCCGAUUCAGGAGGACAGUCUUUUAUGGUAGCUUCAUACGUCAGGGGUAAUUCUAUUUUGUUAAAUUUGACAAAAUUUUGGCAGCAUUUCGCAUUGGUCUCCAAGUACACGAUAUGAAAUUAAUUUCUUGAUAAUCAAGUAUGGACUCAGAGAACAACUCGAAAUGCAUUGUACAGAAAUUUCAUCAAAUUAAACAAAAUAAUGUUAACCUUAACGCAUGAAUCUACCAUAAAAAUAUCAGUCUCUCCAAACUGUCCAAACAAACAAUUCAAGAUUGAAUACAAUGAUUAAUGCAAACUGUCCGCAAGAAUCAUUGCAUUCAGUCUCAAACGGGAAUCUAAGGUUCACUCAUCAUGAACACAAUUUGUAUAGCAUAUAUCAAUUGUCAUUAAUGACAAUGAACAAGUAAUAAAAAUAUUAAUUGGUAACAAACAUUUGUACCUGUGAUGAUGAACAACACGGUCCUAAAUGAAAGCAAGAAUCAAAGAUAUAACUCAAUGACCACCUACGUCAAUCAGCAAACUGAUAUAAAUAUGUGACAAUGAGUAGGCUUAAAGUUUAAAUUUGCUUUAAGUGCUUCAUCAAAUGAGUAGGUUGUGUGUGUGUGUGUGUGUGUGUGUGUGUGUGUAAAUAUGUGACAAUGAGUAGGCUUAAAGUUUAAAUUUGCUUUAAGUGCUUCAUCAAAUGAAUAGGUUGUGUGUGUGUGUGUAAAUAUGUGACAAUGAGUAGGCUUAAAGUUUAAAUUUGCUUUAAGUGCUUCAUCAAAUGAGUAGGUUGUGUGUGUGUGUGUAAAUAUAUGACAAUGAGUAGGCUUAAAGUUUAAAUUUGCUUUAAGUGCUUCAUCAAAUGAGUAGGUUGUGUGUGUGUGUGUGUGUGUGUGUGUGAAAGUUGCAAUCUUAGAUUUAUAAUGCUCUAAAAUCUGAUAGGAAUAUAGAUAAAGCUGUAUUGUUGACAGCUGUGUAACUUACUUAACAGCUUGCUGCUAAUUAAUAGUAAAUAUUAUAGAGAUUCAAACCUAGCUUCAGCUUUCACAAUGGUGACAAGGGCUUCCCAAAAGCAAGCAGUAGAGGUACUCCCUAUGCCUUGCAGCUAAAGCAGUUGCAGAGAAGCAAGCAAAAGCCAAAAUAGUUGCCACAAAUGCACUAAUGAUAAGGCUGCAGAAUGAAGAAAAAUGACAAAACAUCAUUCAAAACUCAACACUAGUCACAGAAGCAACUGGCCAUUAAUCACAAAGCAAUUAACUCAACAAAUACCCCAAUCACAAAUCAAUCAUUUUCCCCUUUCCUAACAACAACUACUUUCUGGUUUCCUCAUUAAGUCCUUCUUUCCUUAUAAUUGACAAACUUGAUUCACUAAAUGCAUGCAAUCUACUCUUUAAAGGUUUAGUUUGAUUUCUCACAUUCAAUUAGUUUUUUGUGAUCUACUCACAAAACCUUAGAAUAUGCUUUCCCUGGUCACAAAGAGUUUGAAACAAUGUCCAUUUAUGUUAAUGAUGUUAUCCUAGUUAUAGGUCCAUCUUAUCUAAACCACAGGAUUGGUAAUUUGAGUAAAUUACGCAGUAAAACUACAAAACUGGAUCAAUCAAUAGAGAGAACCAUGCUCAAGUUGCAAUGAAUGAAGAUAAUACGAAGACAAUGCUAAUGGUACAUAGACUUCUUGCUUAUGAGUAAAUGGCUAAUGGUUCAUUGGAUAAAUGGAUAUUCAACAAGAACAAAGAGGAGUUUAUGUUGGAUUGGGAUACAAGGUAUAACAUAGCACUUGGAACAGCAAAAGGACUUGCUUAUCUACAUGAAGAUUGUGAGUCAAACAUUAUUCAUUGUGACAUCAAACCAGAAAACGUGCUCCUAGAUGAUAAUUUCAGGGUCAAGGUUUUUGAUUUUGGUUUGGCUAAGCUCAUGACACGUGAACAAAGGCAUGUGUUCGCAACACUUAGAGGCACUACAGUGUAUCUUGCACCUGAGUGGAUCACAAACUGUGCCAUAUCAGAGAAAAGUGAUGUUUAUAGCUAUGGUAUGGUGUUGGUAGAGAUCAUUAAGGGGAGGAAAAACUAUGAUCCCAGUGAAACUUCAGAGAAAUCCUAUUUCCCAUCUUUUGCUUUUAAGAUGGUGGAAGAAGGGAAUGUGACAGAGAUUCUUGACUCAAAGGUGGAAACUUAUGAAAAUGAUCAAAGGGUUCACAUUUCUGUGAAUGUUUCAUUGUGGUCCUAAUCAUAAAUAUUGCUCUAAUUAUAAAUAUUGCUUUAAGUAGAGACAUGGUCCUAAUCUCUUACAUAGACUAUGACAUCCUAAGCCUAGGAGUACCACCAAAGACAAACUUUAAGGCAAUCCUUACUUCUCAUAUAGUUUUUAUUUCAUUUUUAGUGAAUUCAAUUUAUAGUAACAGCUAACAAGGUUUUAGGCUAAGCAAUCCAAAACAAAAUGGGAUAAAUACCUUGGUCUUCAGAUUUCACCUCAAUAAACACAGCUGAUGCUUCACGUGGUUGCAACUUUUGAACCAUCUCUGCAGCUACUUCCUACAAGAAACAACACAGAUUAUAGACAAUUGUUAAAUAUAUAUUGUAGACAACUAUAUUGUGUACACAACUGUGUAGGUAAAAGGCUAUUUUGAGUGUGUGUGUGUGUGUGUGUUAGGUUGAGUGUGUAUACAACUUUAUGUGUUGUCAUGUUGAGUGUGUGGGAAGCUGAGUAUCUAAUCCUUAUCCAAAGGUAGCCUUCCCCUCUCUCUCUCUCUCUCUCUCUCUUUCUCUGUACUAUAUGUGUGUGUGUGUGUGUGUGUGUUAAUAAAAAGCUAAUGUAUGCUGAGUGUGACAAUUAUCUCCACUCAUUCAAAUUCAAGUUCUGGAGUAUCUCAAAUCCUUAAGCAAUGUAGUCCUAAAUUUUCAACAACAAUGAUGGGUAAAUAUUAGGAACUAGAAUUAAGUUAGGGCUGAAAUUAACAAUGGGGGGACAGCACAGAUGAUGAUAGCGUAAGUAUAGGAGCAGUAGAAAAAGCAAGGGAUUAUUUUGCACUGAUGAUGGAUAAGUAUGAGAUCGAGCCAUCGUGCAUAAGUAGAAGCACAAGUUUUUGGCAAUUGAACCAAAUGAAGGAAGAAAUCCAAGAAAAAGAAGCAAAGGAAGAAUCUCAGCAAAAGGAAGAAAAGAUGCUGCCAAACCCUACCUGGAAAACUCAAUCAGGUUGCUGCAAAAUCAAUUUGCAAAUCUGGACCUAUAGUUUUUAAGCCACAAACUGCAAAUAUCAUAAGAAAUUAUGCAACCUACAAGCAAAGGAGAAAUGGUAAGACUUUCAUUUUUAGUUGUUCAUGACUCAACUAAAGAAUCAGGAUGCAAAUUUGAUUACACAAAUUGAAUAUAUUUCAGAUUUAGAUCUAGACAGCUAUUCUCCUAUCCUCUAACAUCAAAGAUGUUUAUUCUUUAAGAAAAAGAACAGAAAAAAAGGAAGCGACAACGCCCAAUGCUCUCCCUUAUGUUGUUGGAGAGGCUUGUCUCUACCCAUGUUUACAGCAUGUAAAUUCACAUACCCCUCUUCAGUGACUAGGAAGUUUCUUUAACAACACAGAGAAACAGGUUGAGGAGAAAAGGGCCAAUUGCACCUGAGCAAAUGUUCUAUUCUGUUUGUUACUAUUAUACUUUUCUGAUGUGUAUUCGGUUUAGUAAUAUGUGUAUGAUAUCACAACAUGUCUAUAUUUAUCAAUGUUUCUUGUUGAGUUUGGAGGGAGUUAGGAGGGAAUAGCUUGAUUGAUAUUGCUUGUGGUGUACUGCUUUUUCAGAGCAUUUGGUUAUAAGUAUUUGAAACUAAAAAGGAAGCAUUUGGUUAUAAAGAAGAUAAAAAAAAUUGAAAAUAAAAAGGAAGAGUGCCAUUUAAGUGUUGAAAGCUUCCACAGUGUUGGGUUGUUUUUGGCAGGUAGGAAGAGAAGCAAGUUGCAACAAAUGAUAAUUGGGAGUAAAAAAUUCAAAAAGCAAACUCAAGAAACAUGUUCUAAAUCCUAUGUUAAACCGGAUAGCUCAUUCAUGAACUUGAUUUCAAACAUGAUCAAAGGAUGCUCACAAUCAACUCAAGAUGAGGAAAAGUCUUUGGCUCUUAACCUUGAAAAUCCUAAUCAUCAUCUUCAACAGCCAGAUCAGAAACUUCUCAAGUGCAACAAGAAUAAAUAUUUAGAGCUAAAAAAUGCAGGGUUCAGAUCAAAUUUUUAGUCUAUGGUUGGUGCAAAAUUUAAGAAUGUUGGAACAAGAAUGUCUCAAGUCGGAAAGGCUUCUAAAGAUUUUGAGCCAGGUACCAAGGUACAUGGAAUUGAUGCCACUCCAAUAACCUUCUAUACAAAGAACAAUAGCCUUUACAGACAGUAUUUUCAAUCAAAUAAGUUUGAAAUAUCUGAAGGGAGAUUUGAUGCCUGUCCCCCAUUACAGUCGCAGAUAAGACCUAUAAAUUCUCUCAACAGUCAUCAACACUGGAAAAAUAACUCAACAGAGAAUGAAAAAUUGUUACAACUUGGAGCUAACUAAGGAGAAAGAAGGAAUGGCAUUACUAUCAUUACAUUCACCUUCAACUAAACAAAACAGAAAUGAUAAUGAGAAUGUCAAGUCUUGUGCAAUGUAUGAGAGUAAGGAAAUGUGUCAUAGAAGUGAUAAUGUGGAAGGUCUUUGGAUAAAUCGUUUUUUUUUUACCAAAGUCAACUUCCCCCUUGGUAGUUUUUGAUCACCUUAAUGAGAGAGGUGGUUCUGAAGUUCAUUCUGCGUCAAUAUAGAGGAUUCCACUAUCCUUAAGGAUGAUAAGGGAAAUCAAUAUCACACAGCAAAGAUGAAUAAGUUCAAAUCCUUUACAUAUUUCCCUGGAUUGAGAGCUGCAGGGCCAAUGGUGUCCAUGUUUGCAAGGAGAUUAGGUUCCAUAAAAAAGGAAGCAUUUGGUUAUAAGUAUAAACUGGAUAAUAAUUUAUUAGAGAUAAACUAACUAUAUCUUAAUUAACAAGUAUGAUAACAUAAAGUAUUAGCAAAGCUACAUACGAAUCAAGUGUUGCAGCCAAGGCACAACUUGAGGUAGCCAAAGCUAGAUAUACAACAGUUGUUUCAGAUUUAAUAGGUGUGAAAGAGGAGCUGUAAGCAUUGCACAAAGAACCUAUUUCCUUAGUGACUGAUAGAGAUGUAGCUAUUAAGAAAGCUGGAAAGUAGAUUACUUGCAGCUCAAAAGGUGAAUAUCAAACCAACCAUCAACUUCCAGCUAACAUGUGCUUAUUUAAAACUGUCAACGAAGUAUUGCAGCAUUAAUUUGAUAGAAAUUGAUCAAGAACAAUGAUUACACAGAUAACUUGGCAGUUUUGGCUUACACCAUAGCCAACAUUUUUUUUUCUUUUUUGGGACUUGGGUACAUGAAAAUUUAUGGGGAGGAAAAGUUGUUGCAUUCCAAGUUCAUGACAUAGCACAAGCCAUUUGAAAUGGUACUUAAAGUUACACAUGACAUGCCAAUGGGCCUCAUUUAGAUAAAUUUCUCAACAAACACUUAUAGGAAAAAAAAUAGGAGGUAAAAUGAAUGAAAUUUCUCCCUUAAGUGAAAAUCAACUUGUGCACCUAGCUUAUGGACAAAUUAGAUUAGGGAGCUUCUAAAAAAUUAAUGGGAGAAGUUUAAUUCAAUAAACCUCUUUAUUUUCUUAUCUUAUAAAUGCUUGUUAAAAAGUUUAUUCAAACUGGGCUUAAGUAGAUAAAAUUUGAUCCUACUAGUUGAAGUUAACCCUCAUUAACAGAGUCUACAAUUUUUGCUAAAUAAAGCUACAACUGAAACUACCAAGACAUGUUAAUUGUACCUCAGAGAAAGGAGAUUACUUGCAGUUCAAAAGGAGAUAGAGGCUGCAAAGCCUUCUGAAAAUUUGGCAAUAGCAGCAAUUAAAGCAUUGCAAGAAAAAAAGGGUUCAAAUAAAUAAUAAAAUUACAAACAUUGCUUUCAUUAGUUUCAAUCUGAAUCAUUCAUUCACAAAAUUCAGUUAAGAUUCGCUUUUCUUAAAAUCUCAUUUCUCCCUAGAUAUGCUUUGAUAUACAAGUGUGACUUCAAAGUAGGUUUAAGGGCAUGCAAAUACAUAUCCAAACCCACUCUCACUUCUGCAAAUUGGUAAAACCCAAACUCACUCAGCCAAAGCAUACUUCUCCAUCAAAAUCAGGGCAUUGGAUAUGAGUAGCCAUGGUUUAAAGAUUUAAUAGCCAUACCUAGAUAAAACACUCUGAUUGUAAACUUCUGGUGACUCAGAAAGAGUAUCACUAAUUCCUAUGGAUAACGAGUGUUGUCAACUUUCUGGUACCAUCUUCAAUUCCUAUGGAUAAAAAUAAAAUGCAUAUGCUUGUGAUAUUCUUUUUAGAGAAGAAUGUAUUAGGGCACAUUAACAUUAGGUAUGCAGUUUGUUGCUCAUACAGUUAUUCACAAAUCCAAGUCUCAUGCACAAAAAUCUGGAAUUCUCAUACAGUUUGCUGCUCGUAGAAGUUGAUUUAAACUCAAUUAGAUACAUACCUGGCAGCCACUUGUACCUUUUUGUGAAGAAACUAAUAUGGACUAGUAGGUCCAUACUAGAUCUUAGCCUAAUCGCACCCGCACGAUCAACUAUCCAAUGCCCUACGGGGUGCACCUUUUAUACAAGAACACAGUAAGGGUAAGGGAUAUUGCGUUAAAUAUAAAAUACCCUAGCCAUGUUUACUUCACUAAGUGUGCGAUAGAUGAAUGCAAUCAAAUAUUUAUACAGGAUUAGACGAAACAUACCUAGGUAAGGUGGCGAAGGAGAAGAAGCAGAGAGUUGUGACGAUGCUCAAGCUUAGAUGAAACGAUGCUUAGAUGGAGAACAAAGAGCUUCAAGGUAGAUGGAGAACAAAGAGCUUCAAGGUAGACGAAGAACAGAGACCUUAGAUGGAGAAGAAAAGAGAGCGAAAGCUUAGAUGGAGAAGAUGAGAGCGUGAGCCAUAUCUUAACUUAUCAAACGUUAACAUCGGUUUUGUGAAAACCUGAUGUUAACAAACUUAUGUUAACAAACCGAUGUUAACUAAUUAAUGUUAACAUCAGUUUUCCAAUAACUGAUGUUAAUGUCACUUCAUUAACAUCGGAUUUUCACAAAACCGAUGUUAACGGAUACACAGUAUUUACAAUUAUGCCACCGCGUUUACGUUAACAUCGGUUUUGUUAACAACCAAUGUUAAGCCGCCGAUGUUAAAUAUGCCUUUUGUAGUAGUGUUAAACUAGCUUAACUAUAAGCUACUAUUGAGGGUUUUCUCCUAGCUGCAUCAUUAGGGUUUUUUAGAUCCUAAGGCUUCCAUGUUUGUUUUUCCCAUGUGGUUGUGGCUCUACCUAAGCUGAUUUGCUGCCUUAAUUUGACACCUUCUACCCCGAUAUACAUAUUUAUAUAGUAGAAUACAUGAAAAUGCAAAAUUACAUAAAAUGAUUUUAUUCAAUAAACAUAAAAAAGCUCACGUGGGUAAAAUGUUAACAUUCCCGUUAAUCACAAAAUUAAAAACUUAUCAAUUGAGGGUAUGAAAACAUUUCCAACUCAAAACAAGGUUGUUCAAGUUUACCAAAGAACUCAAGUUAAGUAACAAAAUAAAAAAAGUAAAAUGACAUGUUUGGAACAUCAUGCAAUUAAAACAGAAACCCAUGCCCCAAUGUCACAUCCUAUCAUAGUAUUGUGUCCUAACAUCUUCCAGCACGAGGUUCCUUAAAGCAAUCCGCCUAGCCAUCUACUCUUAUGAACACAAGGUUAGAGAUCAUCACAUGAUCCAAACACAUACGGAGUGAGUUAUCACAUUCCUAAACAGGUAAAGAUAGCCAAAGGCUUAUAUAUAUAUAUAUAUAGUAUGAGUAUAACAAGUUCAAAUUAGAACAAUUCAUAUCACUUUAUCACUCUUUGCAUAACAUCACUUGUCCCAAGGAUUUAAUCAUAUUCCACACCUUCACAUUAAUCACGUGUUCAAAACAACAAAUCUCAAGUACAACAUAACAUCUCACACUCACACAAUUCAUUAUCCACCAUCACGUAGCAAGCCACAUGGAUCAUUACACAGGUGUUAUGCAACAGAUACACUAAGACUCACUUCUAUAUGCAAUAUGGUACUAUGUCAGUGAAAAACCUCAUCGGACGCUUAGGAGUACAUGACAAGACAGACCACAUACUGGUAAGUCAGGUCACUCUCACUAGGUAAAAUCAUAGGGAGACCAGUUAGGGUCACCCUGUUUUGCGAGAAUGCUCCAACCAUGUGGGAUCGACACAUGCUUAAAGGAGUACUCAAACUGGAUGUAUUUACCCCUAAGGCCAAGACUCCGAAGAGUCCGUCAGGACUUCUCCCUCCUGAUUCAGGUCUAACCCAUAAAACAUUUUAGCACGCAAACUCUAUCUAUAAACUAUACAAAACACACGACUCCUCAAUUGUUCUCAAAAUAAUUUGAACUCAUUGUGCUUCAAAGUGAUUCAACUCGUCGAGUUCCCACAGUGGACCCCAUCACAAUACUCGUCGCACAUUUACUCGUCGCCCUUAAAGGGUCUUAAAAUCGUGUGAUUUUACAGUUCAUAGCUCAGACCUCAAUGCACACAACAUCUCAAUACAUGUGUGAUCUCUCAAUUUAACACAUACUCAACUUAUCACAUACACUCAAUCUCAAUCACAAUGUUAUAAUCUCAAAGCAACAUGUUAUCACACCUUACAAAUCAUAUACAUAUCACAUAAUAUUAAUAUAUACAUGGCACAAACACAUACUUUACCUAUAAACUAUGCAAUACACACAACUACUCAAUUUUUUUUAAAAUCAUUUUAACUCGUCGCACCUCAAAGUGAUUCAACUCAUCGGAUUCCUACAGUGGAUCCCAUCACAAUACUCGUCUCACAAAAACUCGUCGCCAUUAAAGGGUCUUACAAUUGUGUGAUUGCACAAUUCAUAGCUUACAACUCGAUACAUACAAUAUCUCAAUAAACAUGUAUCUUGCAAUUCAUCACAUAUUCAAUUUAUCACUUACACAAUAUUUCAAUCACAAAUUCACGAUCCUAAUAUAACAAUUUAUCACACUAAUCUAGUAAAUCUUGUUCAAAACACAAACAAAUUAUACAAAAAUGUUUCUCGCAACAUGGGAGAAAAACCCCUCGAACAAUUUCACAUACUCAUAUAAAAAUAAAAGGAAUCAAAAUCAUAGGUCAAAAACAUAAAAACACCAACAACACUCAAUUUUAUCAACCAAUUCACAUCAGGGCAUCAAUUGGUCCAUCAAACAAAAUAAUAUCAUAAUUAUAAUUGUAAAGGAAGAUAUACAAUACAGUAAACAUCCCAAAAUAAACUCUAAUUUGAUCCUCUAAGAUCCCUACACAUGUUCAUUCUAACCCAAUUGCGAUAAACCCAUCAUUUACCUCUAAGCGGGCUCACUGCAUAGUCCGACAGUGAUAACAGGGUCUCUAGUGAUUCUGUAAGAUUCCUGAAGCUUUUCUUUUGGUUUCUCUGCUAGGUUUUCCAAGCAUUAGAGAGAAGGAAAAGGGAUUGGAGUCUCAAUUUCACUGUCUCUGUGAGAGCGGUAUGUCUCUCUAAAAACAUUAUAUCCCAAAUACCAACGGUGGAAAUGUGUGGAAAUGAGUUUCGGAGGGGGUGUCCAAAUUUCUUAAUGAUCCAACGGUUAAAGAGUCUGAGAUCAUAGUUUUACUGAGACAUGUUUGAGUGUAUACGAGAAAAAGAAAGAGUUUUGAGAGAGGAAGAAGGGAAAACGAAUUUGAGAGGAAGAAAGAGCGUAAGGACAUAUCAUAAAUGUAAAAACUGACCUAAUAUAUCUCUAUGUAUAAUUAGGGUACUUUCAGCCUAUUAUUUACUCUAUUUUUCUUUAUUUUAUUAUUUUAUAAAAAUGAACUUUAUUUUACUUUCAUUGAAUAAAAUAACCAGUUAAAACAUUCCUUUAUUUUCUAAAACAUCAUUUAACUCUAUUUAUUUUCUAAUACUAUGAAACUCUUAUUUUAAUUAACAAAAACCCUUUUUCUCUCAUUUAUUUAAUUUCUAAAAACUCUAUUAAUUUUUAAAUAAAUUUCUUUUUAUUUAUUUGACAAAAAAAUGGGGUGUUACACCUAAUAUCAUAUUUAUGCCUAUUUGGUACUUAUGAAAACGACAUCAAAUGGAUCAUGGAAAGAACCUUGACCUCAUUGAUGAGGAAAAGGACAUAUUAGAGUUGUCAGAACAGGAGGAAACAAGUCAACUGGAUAAAAAGGAUGUGGAAGGCUAUUAGCUCGUUGGCAAAUUCUUGAAGCAUGGAUCGAUGAACGUAAGGGUUUUCAAAGCCACAAUGGCCCAAGCAUGGAAAAUGAAGGGAGGACUAGAGGUGAGAGUUGUGGAGAAGAAUCUUUUCACCUAUUGUUUUUCCAGAAGAAAGCAGAGACAUGGUUAUGAGGCUGGCUACAUGGAAUUUUGAUAGGAAGCUAGUGGUUCUAAGUGAUCUUGAUCAAGACAAAAGCCCUAGCAUGGUUUAUCUAAAUUGUUGCCCAUUCUGGGUAAGGAUUUAUGAUUUGCCCCUUAACCUGAGGGUCAAAAGAGUGGCUCAAACAAUUGCAAACACCAUACCCCAAUUUAUGGAGUGGAAUAAGAAUGAGCAGAAUCGGUUGGGUCGCUUUGUAAGAGUGUGAAACCUCAUGGAUGUUAUAAAAUCUCUACGGAGGGGAACACAAUUGAAACAAUGGACGUUGCUACGCAACCUCACCGAGAGACAUAAAUUCCUUAGCUGAAAUUGAUGUGGGCUUGGGAGCCCAUGAGCAAUUUGAUCUUUGUGGAGACUUCUUUCUGAUGAAGGUCUUGACUUGGUGUUCUUUAUGGAAACCAAGAAAAAGGUUACUGAACUGAAUGGUUUGAGAUAAGGGGUUAAAAAUAUGAUAAGGGGGGUUGGUUUUGUUGUGGGGUGACUACAUUGAGGUUGAUAUCAUCUUUUCUCCCAAAACCAUAUUGACGUGUGAAUUUUUGUCCAUUCUCAACAAAAAAAAAAAGAUUCCAAUUCUCAAGUGUGUAUGGCUUUCCUGAGGGGUCUCACAAACACUUCACCUAAAAUUUUAUCUGAGAUUUACAACAUGAGAAUGAAUCCCCUGGGUUAUGUCUAGGGGAUUUUAACAAAGUUCAAAGCCCAAAUGAAAAGAUUGGGGAAAUCCAGUGUGUAUGAGUCAGGUAAAAAAUUUCAAUGACACUCUUAAUGAUGUUAGCCUAAGUGACUUGGGGUAUUUGAGCUAUAAAUUUAUUUGGACAAAUAGAUGGAAAAAAGCCCAACAACAUACAAGAAUGCUUAGAUAGAGUAGUUGAUGAUGCUUAGUGGAGGAGUUGGAGGAAAGAAAUGUUAGGUGUACCAUCUGUCUAGAUUCGAGUCGGACCAUUGCUUGAUCUUUGUUUAAUUCUUGGUGCAAAAAAGGAGGAGGAAAAGAAGGGCAAACAUCUAUCAUUUUGAGCAAAUAUGGUUAAAGGAUAUGAUUUAUGGUAUCUUAGAAAUAGAGGCAAAGCAAAAUGAUCUCCUCCUCAAAGAAGAGUUUUACUGGUCCAAAAGGUCCAGAGCAACAUGGUUGGUCCAAAAGAAACAAAACCAAUACCAUUGAGAAGGUUAAGGAUGGCAAUGGUGACUUCAAAGAUGAUGAGAAAAGAAUUGCAGGUAUUCUAAAUAAUUAUUUCUCCACUAUAUUUUCUUUAUUAGUAACAACUGGGUGCAUGAGGUAUCCUACAUGGUUGGAAUACGAUUAUAUGAUUAAAUGAUAAAUAUUUUAAAUGGAAAGUUUAGUGGGGAGGAAGUGGAGUAAGCAUUCUUUCAAAUGCACCCAACAAAUGCUCUAGGCCUUGAUGGCACCCCUACAUUAUUCUAUCAACAAUUUUGGGACCUUGUUGGUCUAGAUGUCAAGAGGUUGGUGUUAAAUAACUUUAAUGAUGAAGGAGACCCAACCACAAUAAACAAAACAUUGAUUGCACUCAUCCAAAAAGUUAAAAGACCCACAAAUGCAAUUAGAUUUAGACUAAUUAGUCUUUGUAUUAAUGUCAUCUUCAAAAUUGUUAAAGACUAUGGCUAACAGUUGAUGAUGGUUCUUCCUUCCAUGCUCUUAUUGCUUUUGAAUGCUUCCACUAUACGAAGAAUAAGAGAAGUGGAGAUGGAUUUAUUUGAUCAAGGCCAUUUGCAUGGUCUAAAGAUAUGUAUUUCUGCUCCUAUUAUUUCACACUUGUUCUUUGCAAAUGACAACAUUAUUUUUACAAGGCAACACUAGAGGAGGCAAUGUGUCUAGUAAGUAUUCUAAAGACUUAUGAGGGUGCUUCUAGACAGAAAAUUAACCUAGAUAAAUUAGAGCUCUCGUGUAGUUGAAAUGCACCUAGUACUAGAAUUGAUGAACUAACAAUGCUUCUUGGAGAAAAGGCGGUGGAGACCUAUGUGAAAUAUUUGGGUCUUCCUACGUUGAUAGCAAAAUCCGAAACCUAAGUUUUCAAAUUUGUCCGAGAUUGGGUCUGGAAAAAACUCAAAGGUUGGAAGGAGAAGGUUUUGUCAAAGGCGGGGAGAAAAGUGUUGAUAAAAUCUAUGGUUCAAUCUAUACAACCUAUGCCAUGGGUUAUUUCUUCUUGCCACUUUCCACUUGUAGAAAGAUAGAAAGUCUCACAACCCAUUUCUAUCGAGGGAGGGGAUGUUGAUGGGAAGAAGAUCCAUUGGAUGAGCUGGAAAAAUUGACUAGAAAUAGGAACCAUGGAGGGCUUAGAUUCAGAUUUGUUAAAUCCUUCAAUCUAGCCUUACUAGCGAAACAAUAGUGGAUACUCAUUUUCCACCCAGACUCCUUAGUGGACUUUUUUUUUACCAAACAAAGUGAUUUUGUAAAAUUAUAUAGCAAAUUUGGUAUUUUCAAAAACUAUUUAUCAAAUAUGAGUAAUUUUGACUUUUGACAUCAGUUAUAAUUAAUCACCUAUUUCUGGUAAAUAGUUUUCAAAAUCACCUAGUUUGGUAUAUAGUUUUACAAGAGCUAGUUUGUUAAAAAAAAAAGUCUUCCUUAAUAUGGCUAGGGUUUAUAAGGCAUGUUACUUUCCUUCCAAGUGCAUCCUUGAGGCCACGAAAGGUUCUGAUAGUAGCUAUAUGUGGAGUAGCUUACAAAAAGCAAAGGGGAUAAUUGAAUAUAAGGUUGCAUCUGGAGUUUUCGAGAUGGUUUGAUGACCUCAAUAAAAAAUGACACAUGGAUGCCGUGUGUGCCCGGAGGAAAGAUUCCACUUUUUGAAUAUGUGGAUAUUCCUGAUGAAAUGAAAGUUUCGGAGUUCAUUAAUGUUGAGUCGGAUUGCUAGAAUACUUAAACUUUAAAAUUAACAAAAUUAAGACUAUAAUAUUAUUAUUUACUUUUUAAUAUCGACAUUGUUUAACAAUUGUCUAAAAAUUUUACCUAAUUUUUUAUAAUAUAAAGUAGGAAACUUUUGACGUGCUUUUUUCCUCUUGAAAUAAGGGUAUUUUCAACAAUUUUUUUAUAGUUAUUUCAUUAUUUCAUUUAUUUUUUUUGGUGAAUCUUUUAUAUAAUACAAAAUAAGAAAGUUUUGGUGCACUUUUUUCCACCCAAAAUAAGAAUAUUUUUGACAAUUUUUUUGGUUACUUAUUUUUUAGUUAUAUUUUUGGUGGAUGAAUAAAACUGAAACAUUUAAUAGAAAAUGAGUUUUAAAUGCAUAUUUAUUUAUUAGGUAUUGAAAGAAAGAUAAUAGGUUCUAAAUGAGUUUUAAAGCGUAUUAAUAAGUAUUUAAAUUCAUUCAUUGGUUUAUUAUAUUUAUAGAGAUUUAUAAUAUCUAUGAAAAUAACGGCUAGGUGCAUUGGGUCCAUGUUUUGUUAGAGGCUAAACAUGCUUUAGUUAAGUAUCUCUUUGGAACUUCAAAAUUUUACAUGUCUUUGAUGUUGUUCUUGAUUGUAUUUAUCACGUCAUAAGGGUGAAUUUAACUUCUUCAAAAGCUUUUAGACUUUAAUAAUAUUUUCAUUAAUGAAAAAACUAUUAUAUUUUUUUAAAUUGGAAUUUAAAAAUAAGAAUAUCAUAUAUUUUAAAAAUAUUAUUUAAAAUUAAUAAGAAAGUUUUGACACACUUUUUUUCACCUAAAAUAGGUAUACUUUAGACAAUUUUUUUGGUUAUUUCAUUUUUCUUUUAUUUUUUGAUAAAUAAAAAGAGAGACAUUUAAUAGAAAAUGAGUUUUAAAUGGAUGUUUAUUUAUUAGGUAUUGAAAGAAAGAUAAUAGAUAUUAUUGAUGUCAUUAAUGAAUAUUUAAUUUGAAUUCAUCCAUCAAAAUAAUAUGAAGUGCAUUGGAUUCAUGUUUUGCGGGAGUCUAAACAAGUUGUUGAUGUUUUAACUAAGUAUGAGCUGGAUCUUUAGAAUGCUAAGCAAGUCUUUCAUGUUGUUCUUUUACUGUAUUUAUCAUGUCAUAAGGGUGAAUUUAGGUUGCAUUAGUUUUUUUAUAGGCUUAUAACCUUUAAUAAUAUCUAUCAUUAAAAAAAUAUCAUGUUUAUAAAUUUGCAUUUGAAAAUUAAUAAUAUCAAAUUUAAAAGAUAAAAAAGAACUAAAGGUAUUAAUCUGUCAUUAUAGAAUCAUUUAUCAAUUGUAAUUAUAUAUUACCCUAGCUUGAUGGAAGAGAGCUAUGAAGGAAAAUGAAAAUAGUGGUAGCUUGAUCACCCAUUUACAUUACCCUUAUGUUUUAUUGUCAUUGGAGAAUACUUUAAAAAUUAAUAUUUGAGAAUAAUGUCUAUUGAAUGUCUCAUAUAGGAAUAGAGUGAUGUUUAUUAGUGUCCUGUAAUUCUUUUUCUUAAACAAAUCAUUUUGCUUAACUUGCUAAGUAGCUUUAAAUGAUUUAGCUUUUUCCACUUGAAGAAUUAUUCAAGAUUAGAAGAUUUAAGAGGAUUGAAAUAAUACUAAGAUUCUAGCUCAUUGAAUGGAGAAAAAUAAUUUUUGUUGCCAAGAUGUUGCCAAGUAUCACCAAAAAAACCCAACUAGCUUGUUUUUAUUGUUGUUUCCAAACCCUGCACAUCAACUGCUUAUGUUUUUGUCCUUAUGAACUAUGUUUUGUUUAGCCAUCUAAAUUUAGAAAUGAACUUUCUUUUUUGCAACCUUUUCUUAAUAACAAAAGCACCCUUGCCUAGUUGUUAAAUUUACACAAAAGUCUAGUACAAACAAAUCGUUGAGGAUACGAUCUUUGUACUUUGAAAAUACUACAUAGAUUGGUAUGCUUAUCGAUGAUGUAACAAAGCCCCACCCCCAUGGUGGCUCCUCUCCUUGUGCCGCCUACAUCAAGCCCUCCCUUGCCUCUGGAAGCCACCACCACCUUGUCAUGUGCAAAGGCUACGAGUACGACUUCCACCCAGCCACCACCAAUUAAUUAAUGAUAUUUGAUUAUAGAAGUCAUUUUAAAAAUAUUUGCAAAAUAUAUACAUUAAAAUUUAAAUACGGUUAUAAUUUAUCCAAUAUAAAAAUUUUGGGCAUCACACAGGUACAAGAACUAGAACAAUAAUAAAAGUCAGUAGUUGACAACAUCAAUCCACUAAUUUAAGAUGAGAGAGAUGAUACCUACAAAUAUACUUUUAAAAAUUGAAUUUAUAUUUAUAAAAUUAAGAAAAAAAGACAUGCAUAUUUAAUUGGGUUAAAAAGUAAAGAGAAAAAAGAUAUUUCAUUAGGACAUACUAUUGGGUGGAUUUUACAAUAAACCCACUCAACAAAUUGUUCACCAGUAAACUAAUAAUUACAACCAUUAAAUAUAUUUUAAAAAAAAUAAAUUAUUCAAAUUCAGAAUUAUAGUUAAUUUAUCUAGUUAGUUAAAUUUAAUUAUUCUUAUAAUCCAAUUAGAACACCACCAUUUCUCUGAAGAGAAGACCACACCACCGUGAACACUAUCAUACUCUCACUUACUGAAAUCAAAACAAAACACCACUAUCUUCUUUGUCUCAACAAAAAUCAAAACCAAACAAAAUUUGAUUUAGGAAUUUCUUGUUUAUUCAACAAGCACAAUCAAAAUCAAAAUCAAAUCAUCAGCAAAUACAAUCUUAUAAUCAAAAUCAAAUCAUCUACAUAUGUUGUGGGGUGUGUGUGGGGUGAUGUGAGGUAUUUACGGUAUGGUUUGGCUUCAUUUUUGAUUGAAAAGUCAUUUGAGUCAAACAUAAAAAUUUAAUGUUUUCAGUUUGGUUUGGUUUGAAUAUAAUAUCAAAUUCAAAUCAAAUCAAACCAAUCUUUUGUUGUCUGAUUUGGAUUGAUUUUUGUGAUUUUUAAUAUUUUUAAUUUUAUCUUUAUAUGACCUUUAAAAAUAUUUAAUUUAACUAACAAAAAAAAAUUGACACUAAAACUAUCAAACAUUCAAAACCUUAUUUAGACACUAUAGCCCAAUAGUAGCUAAUAGCUUGGUAUACAUUUAAAAAUUUGAUGUAUUUUGACUUCUUGUAGAUAAAUUAUAUGAAGUAUAAACUAAUGCUCUAGUCAAAACAGUAGUUAAGCUCAAAUUACACUUAAAAAUAUUUGUUUUUAUUUUUUAAGUGAUUUUUAGUUUUUAUUUUAGAUCGGAUUGGAUUUGAGCACCCUUAAAAAUGACAUUACUUUACAAAAAAAUGGCGACAAAACGUCACUUUUUAGAAACACAUCAACACUUGGUUAUGCAUUUAAAGGAUUGGUAAAAUGCACAAAAAUUAGGAAAAACAUAAUAGUAUAAUUUGUGGGAAAAAAACUUGAGUUAUAAAAUUCCCAAAAUAAUAAUAGCUAAGUGGUAAAAUGUACACUCAAGCCAUAAAAAUAUAAUAUAAAACUUACCUAGAAAAGUGAUACAAAGAUGUAAAAAUGAUUAAUCCUUUAAUUUAUUCAAAUAAAGAACUUUAUUUCAAAACCAACAUAUUAUGGGAAGAUAUCAGUUGGAGUUGCUACUUUCCUCCUUUCCUUAUUAAUGCAUAUCUCUGGGUGCUUUUGCAUGACCAGGUGGUGCUCAACUCUAGGUCCAUUGUGCCAAAUGUCACCCAACAGGUCCUUGUUAUUACUUGUUCAAGUGCCUUUCUAAGUGCCCUUGUCAGGACCGGGUACUACACAUGCCCCUAAGCUCUAAGGCAUGUGAUAACGACUGUUGAAUCGCUUCAAAACAAAUAAAACUAAGAAAUUUUGUAAUACAUGAGUAACCUAGGCCAACUCAGAAAUACGAUUCAAUUUGGUUUCUACUUCAAUUCACUAAUAAAGAGUAGGGAGAAUUUCAACAAAUAGUUUGAAGGCAAGGUAAAGGAUUGCGAAAACUCAAAAACAAAAUUGUAGAAACAAAACAAAUUUUUUGGAAACAAAAUAACAUAAUAUGAAUCAAGUUUAAUAGCAUCAAUCUAAUUCACCAAACCAAUGCAAAUCGAAUCAUCAUAGUUUUGCAGAGAAUGAUCAUGUUGUGAAAGUUCAAUCAAUGUCAUUAGAGUUAGUUCAAUCAAAUUAAUUUCUAAAUUCAUUGAGAUCGCAAAUUAGGGUGGAGUAUCAUCCAAACAAUUUUUUAUUAAAUUUCAAAAUUAGGAAAUGAAUACAUUACCUAAUUCGUUUUCAAUCCUAAUCAUAUUCAUAAUCAUGAAAAUUUAAAAUAGGAUUGAAGAAACAUAUGAACAUUCACACAAAAUAGAAGUACUAAACCAGAAUUCAAAUUUAGCCUUGCUUGGAGUGGAUCCUAGGAUUGAUUGAGUGUUUUACCUUUCAUGAUCAUCGCCAAUGGAAGAUUCAUGAAAUUUUUGCAAGAAAAAGGAAGAAUAAAAGUGAAAAGAGGAAGAAGAAUGAACAACAAUUGAGAGAAAGAGAUAAAAGAGUUUGAUCUUAAAGCUUGCACAACAAGUAACUAAAUUUGUUUUUGUACAAAAUGAAGUAACUAACUCACUAACUAAAUAAAUUCUACUAAUAUAUAUAGUUACUACUCAGAAGGAAGGGAUGGGUUUUGAUUAGGCUCAUCUAAUCUACCUAAUUAAACUAAUUACACAAAGCACAGUCCAAAUUCGCAACCUAAUUAUUCAAGUGUAGAGGUUCUGACUUCCAAACUUAAUUUGACCCUCGAAAUAGUAGAAUUGGCCCAAGCUUAUUUCUGACAAAAUUGAAUCUCUCUUUCUUAGCUUUCUAGGGACUACUCACAUGCUCCAUUUGGAGUUAUGUAGUGCCUGAUAGACCUUGCACAAGAUAGAUAGGUCAAGUAAGUAAAAAAAAUCCAAAAAUAAGCCACAAUUAUCAAUUAAGCUCAAUCAUUUGCCUAAGACCAAAACUGAGUUAAGAUAGGAAAAUAGGAGUCAAAGAGAGAGGUAAUGUCAUAUGAGUAGAAGUAUUUGGUCCUAGGUCCUUUAAGCUAAGUGCUAUCGGUAGGUCUUGAUUUUGAACUUUUGGAAGUUGCAUUUCUCUAAUAUACCCUUUUUGCAUUCAAAAUCAAUUUUGAUUGAAAGUAUUAAACAAAAUUGAUGAAAAAUCACUUUAAUUGUAGUUACUCCAAGGCUGGAAAGAGUUACCUACAUACGGACUAACCCUUAAAGCUAAGUUAAGCAUUGUAGAGUGAAACAACCAAGAUGUGGCUCUUAAGCAGUUGUGAUCUUGCAUUGACUAGCGAUGCGGCCUAAGUUGUGGUUAUAAAGCUUAGACAAUCUUCAUCUUACAAGAGACUUUAUGGUGUUGAAUUAGGUUAAAAAGCCCAAAUUCUAAAAAUAAUUUCCAUAAAAAUCAUGUUUUCGAUAUCGGAUAUUGUAAAAAAAAAAAAGUUAAAACUAUUGUGCAUUUUGUUCUCUUCUGAACAUACAUAAACAACAUUCUUCCAAUUUAAAAAUAAGAUGUUGUCACGUGAUAUGUGAGGAAGGAAAUAUUACAAUUAGUUGAAACAACUGUGCAUUUUGUUCUUUUCUGAAUACACUUAAACGCCAUGAUUUUAAAUUGUGAUCACGGUUGUGGUUGCAAUUGUGGUGUGUCAGAAAAUCUUUACCCUCAAGGCCUAGACUUUGAUGAAUCCGUUAGGACCUCACCUUUGUUAUUCAGGUCCAAACCCUAAAACAAUUUUUGCAUGCAAACACUGCUCAUGAAUUAUACAAUACCCAUGACCUCACGCUUGUUCUCAAACACGUUUCACAUAUUGUGCUACAAUUUAACACUUCGAGUUCCUAACUUGGAACCCUACACUUUCCUUUUAACACUUUGUGCAUAAACAUUUUUCUCAAAGUAAACACCAAUCAGGUUAUUGUAUAAUUCACAACUCACAACACAAGUAUUGUCACAUCAAGUAUUAAUCACACACUUAUUCAUGACCAUAUCUCAUGUCCACAAUUUAACAUCUCACAAUGUCACAAUCCACCAUCACAUGUUUAUGUGUAUCUCACAAAUUAAUGCAUGUUUAACUUUGCACUUAUACUCAAUCUCAAUAACAAUGUUAUAAUCUCAAAUCAACAUGUUAUCUCACAAUUCAUCAUAUAUUCAAUUUAUCACUUAUACACAAUUUCAAUCACAAUUUCAUAAUCUCAAUAUAAUAAUUUAUCACGCUAAUCUAGUAAAUCUUGUCCAAAAUACAAACAAAUUAUACAAAAAUACUUUUCCCAACAUGGGGAGUAAAACCCCUCAAACAAUUUCACAUAACCAUAUCAAAAUCAAAGUAAUCAAAAUCAUAAGUCAAAAACACAAAAACACCAAGAGCACUCAAUUUUAUCAAUCACUUCCCAUCAGGACAUCAAUUGGUGUGUCAAACACAACAAUAUCGUAAUUAUAAUUGUAAAGGAAGAAUUAUAAUUCAAUAAACAUCCCAAAAUAAACCAUAAUUUAAUCCUCUAAAGAUCCAUACACAUGUUUAUUCUAAUCUCAAUUGCGAUAAACACAUCUCUUACCUCUAAGUGGGCUCACGUGUGUAGCCUGGCAGUGAUAGUCUAGUAGUUUCCUAAUUGCCAUAAACUCAUCACUUACACAAAUUUUGUCCGAGACAUUUGUACAAAAAUUAAAAAAAAUGGUGGUGAUGCAUGUUAAAAUACUAAAUGAGUUAACAUAUUGAAUGAAUAGUAUCACGCUAAAAUUUUAGAAGCAUUGAAAUGAGAAGGAAAAAUAUUUUGGGGUGGCCAAUUUCAUAUUUCAAAUAUUUUAGAAGGAUAAAAAAUAUAUUUUAUCCAAUAAUUAAGUUAUAUAUUUUUUAUUUAAUAAAAUAUUUUUUUAAUUUGUUAGAUAACUCUAGAAUUAGAUUUCUUCAAAAAAAAAACUUUAGAAUCAAAAGAUUUAAUGCAUAUAUGCAUAUAACACAAAUAUACCUUACCAAUGAAUAAGAAAAUUGAGCAUUGAUUUGGCCAAAUAAAAAGUAAUACAGAUUUGUUUUAACUGAAUUAGAUAUAAUAAACAACAAAAUUUAAAAAAGAAAUUUUUAUUCCAAAAAUAAGUCAAGCAUUAUCCAAAAUACUUGCAAGGGAAAAUUAAAUAUGAGAAAUAAUCAGUAAGAUUCUAUAUACAAUUAACAACAUGUAAUAAAUUAAUUUUUUUAGCUUUGGACAAAUGAUCUAUUUAAUUUUUUAUCUUCAUUUUUUGGUUUAUUUUGAUCUUAUCUUUUAGAAAUUUUAUUAUGAUCUUUUAUGUUCUGAAAAAGAAUCAAAAUGGUCCUUUCGUCAAUGCAAAGAUAACGUCGUUAAUGAAGUAAAGAUAUUAAUGGCUAAAAAUUAUCACAAAAUAUAAUUUCUUAUUUUCUUUAGCUUUCUCCUUCCCUUAUUCCCUUGAACCAAAAAAAUAAAAUAAAGAAUCAAAUAGGCCAUUUGAUCUUUUGUUUAAUAUACCUAAACAUGAAUCCAUUAAUUAAAUGAUUUGCAUAUCUGUUUGUCAAAUUUUGAACUUGCAUAAUAUUUUUUAAAUUAAAAAUAAAAACAAUAAGUGUUCCAAAAAUUUGUACUCAAUUUUUUUUAAUAUUUUCAUUGAACAUAAAAUAAAAGACAUAAAGAUUUUUUUCAAUGACUUACAUCAUUUAUCAAAAAAUGUUACCAUCUUCGCUCUAUCCAUUCUUUUAAGUAACCCCCUAUAAGAUAAAGAAAUUUAUCAUAAGCCUUUUUGCAUUUUAUUAUAAGCAUUAUAUAAUAGAUUGGAAAGAAAAUUCAUAAACAGAAUGAAAACCUAUAAUUAUUCUCAAUAUAAAGUAUAUUAGACAAGAUAAAUUUAAGUAUUGAAUUACCUUUCCUUAUAUAUUGUGAUAUACUUGUCUAUCAACCAUAUUAGAAGUAAUAUGAUCGAGUAUCUUGAUCUUCACCAUCUUUUACCAAAAUAUUUAACCCUUUUUUUAUGUAACUCUUGAUAUAGUAACAUAUAAUUGUCCAUGAAAAAAAUUGAGGCAAAAAUAAUCCAACAUGUUUUAAAGAUUGUUCUUGAAUCUUGUUGAUAGUCCUUGCAAAAGAAGUAGCCAAAUGAAAUUGCCUCGGUUGGAACUUGAAAAGGAUCCUUGCAUUAGAAGGAGUUAAUGAAAGUCUUGGAAUAAACACUUUGAGACCAAUGUUGCUUCCAAAUUUAACAUUUCCUUCUAGAACAUAUUCCCCAUUCGUGUGACAAUUAUUAGUCUAGUACCAUUACAUAAUCCUAAUGAUUGAUCAAUGUCAUUUGGAAGACCCGAAGCACUAAUAAUGUUUAAGAACUUUGGAGUAUGCACAUCAUCUGGCCUAUUAAUCUCUUCAUUUUCUGAUGAAGGAGUAUCUAAACUUAGAUUUUUCUUUCCUCCCCAAACAUCAAUGACAACAUGUAACAAUUUCAUUUUUUUGCUAAAACAACCUUGACUCUAAAAAAGGAUGAAUCAUGAAUAUUUUCUAAGAAAGAUGGAUAUAUAAGUAUUACUAACAAUGGAUUCAAGAGAGUUGGUGUCACUUCUAAGCAAAUCAUGGUAUGUGUGGUUUCCUAUAUUAUAUGUUUAAAAGGGACCAGUUUGGGGAUUGUAUUUUGUAUGUUUCUUCCUAAUACUGGUACCAAACAUAGUAAUUCAAAUUAAUUUUAGUGCACCCCUAAAUACCAUUUGGACAUUUACUUAAGUAGAAGAAGCUACCUAAGGAACAUAAUUUUUUUAAAAUUAGUUUAUUUUCUAUAGAUGAUAGUGGUAAAUAUUAUCAUGAGUUGUUUGAUGAUUGUCCAAAUGGAAAUCAAAAAGCUAUCUAGGAUGGAGGUGUUGGAAUUGUGUAAUUUUGUCACAUUGCAUUUUGGCAUAAUUACCAAUAGGUCUAUAGAUCUGAUAAUAACUUUUUUACUCAUUACUUGGUCAUUUUAGGUUCUCAAACACUUGGUUAGAUUCAUUGUUUUGGUUAAACUAAAAGAUAUUACUUUCAUUCUAAAAUGUUUGCUUUUUUGUCAUUUUAGGGACAUGUUUGACUGAAAUCUCCUAUCACUAGUGCAAAAUACACAUUUUAUAACAACUUUUUAAAUAAAAAUUGUUUUAAAAAAUAAUACGGUGGUACUUUCAUAAUUAAAAACAGUUUUUAGAUUGGUUAUAAGAGAACAGAUAUAAACCUAGAUUUUAAAUCGGUUAAAAAUGAAACCGAUAUGAAAGGUUAUCUUUUUAAACCAAUUCAAUUUAUAACUAAUGUAAUUAAAGGGUGUUUUUAGAUUAGUUAAUAAAGUAACUGAUGCUAUAAGACAAAAUUGAUUUUAAAAAGGAUGUUUUUAAAAUAAUCUAGGCAUUAAUUUCAUAUUAUUUUUUAGAUUAGUUAUAUAGGGAUCUAUCUUAAAAACUAAUCUAAUUUAAAAGAUAGUUACCAUUGAAGACCGGUUGAAAUCUAAUGUUAAAUGUCAAAGUUUUUAUAUUUCCUGCAUAGGCAUCGGUCGUACAACCAAUAUAAAAAGUCAUUUUUUAACCUAUGUAAAAAAGUGUUUCUUGUAAUAGUGUACCCUUUUUGUGCUCCUAUCAUGUAUAGAGAUUUUAAUAUCACUUACACGCAAUGAUGAAUCCAGAAAUUAAGUCGUGGGGGCAAUACACAUACAAAAUUUUGUUGCAUUAAAAAUAUUACAUGUUUUAUUUUUAAAAGUAUAAAUAUUCAUCGUAAUUGUUCUUUAUGAGUUUUUGUAUUCCAAAAAUAAUUGAUAAUUUUCUCAUUUUUCAUAUCAAAAUUUUUAUGAUAGUCAAGAUCUAUCAGUUGAUGAAGAAAAAAACCAUAAUAUAGCAUACUAACUACAACAAUAUACAUAUUUUGCACAAUUAGUUUUCAAAUUUGAGUGCAAUAAGCUUUUAGAUGGACAAAUAUCCUUAGAAUAUGAGUCUUAGACAACAAGGGAAAUUAGGAUUAAAAAAAUAUGUUGUUUGAUGAUAAAUAAGUAAAUGUUUAUGAAAGCGUUAGAAUGAUUAUCCUUUAAUUUAUACAUUUUGCACAAUUAGUUUUCAAAUUUGAGUGCAAUAAGCUUUUAGAUGUACAAAUAUCCUUAGAAUAUGAGUCUUAGACAACAAGGGAAAUUAGGAUUAAAAAAAUAUGUUGUUUGAUGAUAAAUAAGUAAAUGUUUAUGAAAGCGUUAGAAUGAUUAUCCUUUAAUUUAUACAUUUUUGCACAUUUGCUAGAUAAUAAAUAACUAAAUAAAUAAAAAUGUUUUUUUAAGAAAAAUAAAUAAAAAUAUUAAAUAUUGAAAAGUGGGAAUAAAAAUAAAAAAGAGAAUCCAAAUAUUUAUUGUUUACACAUUUUUAAUUUAUAUUAAGAUUGAAAUUAUAAUUAUAAAAUCAUAAUAUUAUAGGGGGGCAAAAUAGUACUAUAUAUUCCGUCCUUGCUUUCAUGUUGAUGAUUUCUCUCAAGCCAGCAACACUUACAUUGGAAAGUUGAGGUUAGUCUGAUCUUUCUGCUCUUGUUUCUUUAAAUAUUUGAACUAUUGGCUUGAUUUGUAAACAUUAAGUGCUUAUAAUGGCAAUUGAUUUAUUACUUGCUGCAAUAAUAUAACCGGAAUUUGUAUAUUUUUACUGCAUUGUGUUUGUAAAAUUUAAUUUACAUCAAAUUGUGAUUGUCUUUUUGUUGCAUUAUUACUUGAUCUGCUUCUUGUCCUUGUCAUUAGUGUGCAUAUUUCCUCUCUUGCAAGGUACCAUAUAUAGUGAUGUAUUGUGUUUAAAAAAACAGCUUAUGUUCCGCUGCAUAAUUUUAUGGUUUGCACCUUUAUUUGUUCUUUAUAUCAUGAAUUUAACAUGCUACAGCCUUGAUAGGGUGUGGUCCAACUUCAUGUAUUGAUUGUUAGAUGUAGUAGUCAAUACUAGAAAAUAGACUUUUAACAUCGAUUAUUUUUUACUUUCAACAUCGGUUUUUAUCUAAUGUUGAAACCAUCGACGUUAACAUUAUCCAUGUUAAUAUCAGUUUUCAAAAAAUCAAUGUUAACAUACACUACACAACAUCGAUGUUCACAAAAACUGAUGUCGUAUAAUAAGAAAUAUACAAAAACAGCAAAAACAACAUCGGUUUUGGUCAAAACCAAUGUUGUAAGAUGAAUAAAAACAUCGGUUUUGAAAAAAAACCGAUGUAGAAAUUAUUUUUACAACAUCGAUUUUGCUCAAAACUGAUGUUGAAUAUGCUUACGACAUUGGUUUUGGUCAAAACCGAUGUUGUAAGAGCACUUUCUACAUUGAUUUUAGACCAAUAGAUGUUGUUUUUUUUUUUUUGCAAAUUUUUAUAAUAUUUUGUUUGUUUUUACAAUGAACCAACCAUAACCAAUUUAUAAAAAAUAUAUUAAUUAUAAAUUAAAAUAUUUAAAAAUAUUAUUUUCAUUACAAUGUUACAUUACUUACAAUUUCAUAAUAUUAAUCUAGAUUUAUAAAAUUUAUUUUAAGAAAGCAAGAUAAUUUCUCUAAAGGUCAAUUGUCUCCAAGAAAAAUAAGACUGAUAUGAUAUCCUAAAUGUCUAGCUGCAAAGCUCUUAUAAAAUCCACAGAAGAGAUGAUAUGAAUAUGUAUAUAAAAGCUAAUAGAAUAAAUAUAAAUGUAUAAAUAUGUAUUACAUAGGAAGGAUGAUACCAAUUAAUUAAUAAAUAAAAAUAACUCUUAUUCCAAAUUAAAAAUAGAUAGAAAAGGUUUAAAGAAAGAAAUUACCUCUACAAGAGCAACAAAGGAUGUCAUCAUCAUGGCAAAGGCUUCACCUGCAUCAAAUGUAAGUGCUCCCCUUCGAAAUGGAUAAGGAACUCGUAUCCUACAAACACAAAAUACAUGUUGAAUACAUUCCCAUAAGCUUCAAGUCAUAAGGCUAUGACUAAAUAGUAAAUUAAUAGUGAAUAAUAAAUUAAUAUCUCAAGGAUGCAAUAGUCUUGCAUAAAAAUGUCAAUUAUGCCCAUGCUCUAAGCUUGAUUAUCAUAGGGAGUUCAACAUCAAUAACUUGAAAUAUUAUAAAGAGACAAACAAUUAAUCAAGAUCAAUAGCACUAAUUGCACAUGUGUUAUUAGAUUUUAAGGUUGAUACUAAGGAUAUAAAAACAAAAAAAAAUCAUAAAUUAAAAAGAGAAAUACUAGCUUUUAUAUUUUUAACAUAAUAUAUGUUUUUAGUUUAAUGAACAAAUUUAAAUUAAGUUGCAUCCUUGACAUCAAAACCCCUUAAAUUUACACAAUGUUUGGACUUAGGGUGGCUCAAAAGUUGGUAGAAGCUAGUUAAUUGGACUGUGUCAUUGCGCAGACUUUGAAUUCACUUUCACAACAAUGUAAUAGUCAAGUAUCUGAGUGUAGAUAGAAUAAUCACACCUUCAAAGGACCCUUUUCACUAGCUUUCUCUAGAAAGUCUCCUCCACCAAAAUCAACCUUUUUCCUUGGUUCAAAAUCAACCAUCUCUGUUUCGUGAGUGUGCAAAAUCAAAGUCCAAAAGUGAACAAUUAUGACAUUGAAUGACUAGAUUAUUUAUUUACUUUUCUUUUCUAAGUGUUUCUUUUAAGUCCACUAUGGACAUGGAACAUUGGGGGUGGGGGUGGACUGGCUUUUACUACUACCGGGUAAGUUCCAUUUAAACACUUAAAAUAUGAAUUUAGACUUUUCAAACUGUUCAGGACAACCACCAUGUUUUUUUUGCAUAAGUCACACUUUCAUGUACUAAAACAAGUCAUUUUAACUUCAUUCGCUCCCCAAACAUUAGGGAUUUCAUGUACUAACCACCUAGCACUAAAAAGAUGCAACUGUUGGUCAAGUGGCCUCAAUAAAUUAAGAGGAGGGUGAAUUAAGUUUCAAAAUUUCUCACUAACAAACUUUUAACCUGAUGAGGACAUGACCAAGAGCAAGGGCAAGGAUCCACUUGAUGGACUUGGAGGACCUAUGACAAGGGCUAGAGCAAGGAAAGCAAAAGAAGCUCUUCAACAACUAUUGUCCAUACUAUUUGAAUACAAGCCCAAGUUUCAAGGAGAAAAGUCCAAGGUUGGGAGUUGUAUCAUGGCCCAAAUGGAGGAGGACUAAAUGACACCACUUUGUCUCAAUUUUAGAGUGUUUAGUUUGUCUAAAUAAUGGCCCAAUCCUUGUAAAGUUGGCUGACCAAAAAUAUGUUUUGGGUUAAUCAACUAAAGGGGCUUUAGUUUGGUUUAAUUCAAGUUGUAAUAAGGGCCCAAUUGGCAACUUAGGCAUCAACCUUUGGGAGACCAAAUGGUGAUUGGCUUGAUGGCUUUUAGGGUGACUUUUGGUUGCCACAAUUUCAGUUACACUCAGCCAUUAAGUUCUUUUCAUUCCCUAUGUUAAUGGAUCAUUACUAAAUCUAAGUGGAUUGUAUUUUCCUUUAAUGAAACAUAUGUAAAAUCUGAUGGUAAAGCUUCUUUAUAUGCUGAACCAUUUUAUCAAUAAAGACAAGUUAAGUUUUAUUCAGAAAAAUUAGAGUUUAUCUCUUUUAUCUUAGUGAGAGUGAUUCUCCUAAGUUCUUGAGUGAUUCAAGAACACCCUGGCUAUAUCAAAGGAAGUUCACAUCCUUUGUGUGCUGCCCUCGCCGGAAUGAGUGAUUCUUUCCUUCCACCAUUUCAUCUUCAACCUUAUUCUUUCAAACCACAAUUCUCGAAAAUCCAAUUCUGCCCAAAAUUAUCUUGUGACAUAAUUCUUGUUCUACUUGCUCAAAUUAAGUGAUUCUUGAGCCUAAAUUGAAAUUCAAAACGAGAUCUUCCACCUCGUUUGGGAAUCACCUCAUUUGGAACUCUGUAGCUUGAGUUAUAGUCAUUUCUAUAUUUCUGUCCAGCCGUCACUUCACCUACAUUUUUACCAUCUCAUUCAUCCCUUUUAUGUCAAGAUCCACCUUAUUAAGGCCUAAGAAAUUAGCCACUGCCCAACCCUUGAAUCUUGCCAAUUUCCCAUCCUUUUCUUAAUCAAUUUCCAAAUUUUCCAUCAAGGUUUAAUCCUAGACGAUCUUAAGUCAGCCCUUGUGCAAUGAAGGUUCAUAUCAUAACCCCCUUCUAAAUGAUAGGCUCAGAAUGCAAAACAAGAAGCAACAAUCAAUUUAAUAAUGUUUUUUUAAACAUGCAAGACAAAAUUUAUUGUAAUAACAUAAAUGAGAUAAGGGAAGAGUGAAAUGCAAACUCAAUUUAUAUUGGUUCGGCCACUUCCAGUGCCUAUGUUCAGUUCUCAAGCAAUCCACUUGAGAUUUUCCACUAUCUGUGUAAAUCCUUUAUAGACUUUGAACACACCUUGAGAUCCCUCACCCUUGUGUUCAAAGAUUCUCAAGGAGACAAACCGUCUCUUGAUUACAACUGACUUUCUGAGAUGAACAGAAAGAUUUCUCUCCUUUAGAGUGGAUGAUACAAAUUGAAGAUCCUAAAGGAAUUUCUCUUUUUUAGAGAUGAUAAUACAAAUUGAAGUUCCUAGAUGAACUCUCAAUAGAUUUGCAAGUGUUUGCCCAACAGUUGUUGAGAGAGCAUUUGAUAAUUAAGUUCUCUUAGAAUAUCUCUCUCUUGUUUUUCGAAGUCAAACACACAUAUAUAUUGGCCCUUCGUGCCUUUUCAAAAUGGUUUGAAGAGAUGUGUCUUUUUAAAAAGUUUUUUCUAAAAUUCUUCACUGGUAAUCGAUUACUCAGUUAUGUUUUGAAGAGUCAUGUCUUUUCAAAGUGUUUUCUGAAGUGUCAUUGCUAGAAAUCGAUUACAAACAUCUGGUAAUCGAUUACAUGAUUCAAAAUUCAAAUUCAAAAUCCUUUUUAAAAGUUUUUUUUCAAAAUUGUCUUUUGGUAAUUGAUUACACUGCCUGGUAAUCGAUUACAGCUUUUAAGUUUCAUAUUCAAACUUUUCUGAAAGCUGUUAAAACUAUUUUUGCUUUUGGUAAUCUAUUACAGCCUCUGGUAAUCGAUUACCAGAGAGAAAUACAUAUUUUUCAAAAUGUAAUAUUUACUUCAAAACUUUAUAAGAUAUUUGAAAGCUUAAGUCUUUUAAGGCCAAACCUUUGCAACCUUUUUAAGAGAUUCUUUUAACAUAUAAAGGUUUAUCGUAAAUCGUUUCUCUUGAUUUCUUGAUCUUGACUUGAAUCAAUGUUGAAUAGCUUUAAUCUUUUGGCAUCAUCAAAAUCUUCAUACAACAUAUGCACUUACAAUAUCCCUUUUUUUGAUGAUGACAACAAUCUGAAAACAAGAUAAACGAUAUACGAUUUGUAAUGCUUGCACUCACUCUUACUCCACCUUAAAUUUGCAAUUUAUUGCCUAGUUUUUAGAUAAGAUCUACCCUAGUUUCUCUCCCCCUUUGGCAACAUCAAAAAGCCAAAAAGACUGGAGUAAAUAUCAAAGCCACAAAAUCUAGAGCAAGCAUCAUAACCAAAAAACCAAUCAUCCAUUGCAAAACAAAAACUAAAUAUCCAAAGCAAAGCAUAAAUCAAAUGCUAAAUAUCUAAAGCAAAGUAUAAACCAAAUGCUAAAUAUCCAAAGCAAAACACAAAAUUAACCAAAGUGCUAAAUAACUAAAGCCAAAUACAAGGCAAAAAGAGUAAAAAUGUCUAGAAAAUUAAGAACGUAAAAUACUAGAAAUGUCUAAGAAUCCGCAGGAGGAUCAAAGCAACGUUGAAUGAAGCUCAUGUCGUCUUCAAGACAUAUGAUAUGGGAGUCCAUGGCAUCAAAGCGAUCGUCGAUAAAAGCUCAAAGAUCCCGUAGCUCAAUGAGGACGUCAUUCAAUAAGGAGGAAGAGGUAUCUCGUUGCGGUGGUGGAGAGGGUGUGUGUUCAUCGAGAAUGGGAGGUGGCAGGUCUUGCUUAUGAACCCAUUGGCCAUCCAUAUCCUUCCAGUAUCCGAAAGAAGUAACAACACCAGCACCAAUAGCAAAAGAUCUUUUAACCUUAACAAAAGGCUCAUCCUCUAAAGGAACAUUGAAAUGUUGAAGAAACAAAGUAACAAGAUGAGGAUACAGAAAAUGUGCAUUGGCCAGUAAUGCCUUAUGCAUAUGGUACCAAACAAGAUGGGCCCAGUUAAUUUGGCAACCCGUUUGAAGAGCAAUAGCAAGAUUAAAUCCUACUCAGAGGCCUGAGCAAGAUUGGUGGACCGGGGAAGCAAGACUUGACAAAGGAUAUAAUGCAUGAUGCGACACUCAAAGGUGAAUGAGCCAGCAAGCAAUCUGUCGGUCAUAUCAGCAUGGUCAUUACAGAUCAUUUUACAAGCAUCAUGACUAGAAUAAACAUGUUUUCAAUCAUCAACUAGAGUGCCCUCAAAAGGAACACCCUGACUGCUUAGUUUAGUAAGAGAAUAAAAUAGAGAUUGAUCAACAACAAUAGGUAUUUGAUGCACCUCAGAGAAAAUGACUCCAUCCUGAAUUUUCAAAUUAUUAUAAAAGACUCUAACUAAUUCAGGAUAAUACAAAAAUGGCAUAGACAUAAACUCAACUAAUUCAAAAUUUUGAAACACUUGAUAGCAACCAAAGGUUUCCCCAUCAAAGAAUUUUACAUCUAAAUACUUAGGAUCGAGAAUGACACGAUUGGAGAAUUGGGAAUAGUACCUUUGAUGCUGGUCAUUAGAAGAAAACAAAGUUAAUGACCUGUGAGAUGAAAAAGAAGGAGGAUUUGGUGCUGGUGGGUCACCGGAUGUGUCGUGGCGACAUUGGCCUACAGCGGUGGUGGUGGAGGAGGAUCCCUUUCUCUUCUUUGAGGAUUCUGCCAUUUUGAGCUUGUUUCUGAAAAUUUUGAUCAGUGGGUUUUGUAGAGAAUUGAAAAAGAAGAAAUUUGAGCUUUGUUUGAAGUGAUUUGGACAAGAAACGAGAAAGUUAUGGAGAUUUGAAGUAUUGAGAAAAAGGGGCGCCGUCAAGGAGAGUGAAAGAAAAAAGGGCUGCACAAGGAGAGAGCAAAAUGCAGUAUUUAUAGACAGGGACGAGCUGUAAUCGAUUACAGCUCAUGGUAAUCGAUUACAGGCGUAACCUGUAACUGACCAAGCCCGCUGGUAAUCGAUUACAGCCUAUUGUAAUGGAUUACAGGGAGUGGUAAUCAAUUACCAGACCCUAAAAACAUGGAUUUUUCAUAAAAAUCUAACUAUUUUUCACUCACAAAACACACAUUUAGUAUAACAAUCAUCAACAACAAUCAACAAUCAAAAUAUACAAUCAAACCAAGUAUAAAAAAUUCUCAAACACAGACAUCAAAGAUAAUCAAAAUUUCAAGAACAAUCAUCAACAACAAUCAACAAUCAUCAUAACUAUCAAAACAUAAUUAUCAAAGACAAUCAAAACUCAAGUGAAAACAAUCAUUAAACCUCAAUCAACAAUAAUCAUUAAAAACAAACACAAUCAUCAAGGGCAAUCAAAAGUUUAACAAUCACAAGAAAAGAAAAUAAUAAACAAACAAAUUAAUUAUUUAUCUAAGUCAUUGAUAUCUAGGAGUCCUAAUUCUCUUCUAAUAGCAAAUAAGGUUUCUUUGGGGAGAGGUUUUGUAAAGAUAUCACCUAACUGAUUCUUUGUGUCAACGAAUUCUAGUACACAAUUCCCUUUUUGAACAUGAUCUCUCAAGAAAUGAUGCCUAAUCUCAAUAUGCUUGGUUCUCAAGUGUAGAACAGGAUUUUUGGAUAGGUUUAUUGCACUCGUGUUAUCACAUCGAAUGAGAAUAUGAUUAAGAAUUAAUUCAUAGUUAGAAAGUUAUUGUUUCAUCCAAAGUAUUUGUGCACAACAACUGCCAGCAGAAAUAUAUUCCGCCUCAGCAGUGGAUAAAACAACACUAUUUUAUUUCUUACUAUGCCAUGAAACUAGAGCAGAGCCAAUGAAAUGACAGGUUCCACUAAUGCUCUUUCUAUUAGUUUUGCAACCGACAAAAUCAGAAUAAGAGUAUCUUAUUAGAUUACAAGUGGAACUUUUAGGAUACCAUAAUUCUAAAUUAAUAGUGCCUAAUAGAUAUCUCAUGAUUCUUUUAACUACACUAAGGUGAGAUUCUUUGGGAUUUGCUUGAAAUCGUGCACACAUACAAAUACUAAACAUUAUAUCAGGUCUACUUGCAGAUAAAUAAAGAAGAGAUCUGAUCAUACCUCUAUAUUUCUUUAUGUCUAUUGACUGAUCGGUUUCAUCUUUAUCCAGAUAGCAAGCAGUACUCAUUGGAGUAGUCAUAUGUUUAGCAUUUUCCAUCCCAAAUCCAUCAUUGACAUUCCAAAUUCAUUUUGCAUAUCUUGAGAGAAUUCCCUUUAGAUAUGUCACCGAUAAUGUUAUCAAGAGGGUGGUAUCUAGAAGUUCUCCACCCUUUUGGAAGAUAUGCACUUGAUUUUGUUUCAUCAAUUUGAAAGUCUUCAUCAUUUCCUUUUCCUUUGCCUUUGUGAUCUUCACCAUGAAUAUGCAUUCCUUCUAAAGAAUUUGAAAUAUCAUCUAGAGUAUCUUUUCUUGGCAAAAUUAGGUUAGUUUCAUCAAAAGCAACAUGGAUAGAUUCUUCAAUGAUCAUAGUUUUUUUGUUAUAAAUUCUAAAUGCUUUACUGUGCAAGGAAUAUACCUUCAUUAGAUUUUGCAUCAAACUUACCAAGUUGUCUUUGCCGUUGUUUAGCACAAAACAUUUACAUCCAAACACAUGAAGAUGAGAAAUGUUCGGUUUUCUAUCGUUGUAUAAUUCAUAUGGAGUUUUCUUUAAGAUUGGUCUAAUUAAAGCUCUAUUCAUAAUAUAGCAUGCAAUAUUUACAACUUCAGCCCAAAAAUAUUUAGGAAGGAUUGUAUCAUUAAGCAAAGUUCUGGCUAUCUUUUUUAAAAAUCUAUUUUUCCUCUAAACUACUCCAUUUUGUUGAGGGGUUCUAGGUGCAGAAAAAUUAUGUUCAAUGUCAUUUUCAUCACAAAAUGAUUCAAAAUCCUUAUUUUCAAAUUCUCCUCCAUGAUCACUCCUAAUUUUGAGAUUUUUCUUAUUUUGAAUAAUUUUAGCAAGUUUCUUGAAAGCAUGAAAAACAUCUCUUUUAUGAGUGAGAAAUAAUGUCCGUGUAAAUCUGGAGUAAUCAUCAACUAUAACAAGAGGAUAGUAGUUUCCUCCAAAACUCAUAGUUCUAGAGGGACCAAAAAGAUCCAUAUGCAAAAGUUGUAAGGGUUGAGUUGUAGAUACAAUAUUCUUUGAUUUGAAAGAAACCCUUACUUGUUUUCCUUUAUGACAAGCAUCACAUAAUCUAUCUUUUUCAAAUUUAGGUUUUUGUAAACCAAUAACUAAAUCUUUAGAAAUUAGUUUAUUUAAAUGUUUCAUGUUUAUAUGGGCAAUUCUUUUAUGCCAUAACCAAGGAUCAUCAUCUUUACUAAGAAAACAUUGAUCAUGAUUUAGUGUUCUAUCUAAAUUUAUCAUGUAAACAUUAUUUGAUCUAUAGCCUAUAUGUUUUAUAUUUCUAUCAUGUUUGUUUUCAAUAACACAAUUAUGAGAGUCAAAUAAUACUAGAUAAUCUUUAUCACAUAAUUGACUAAAACAUAGUAAAUUGUGCUUAAGACCAUUAACAAGUAGAACAUUUUCAAUGGAGGUAGAUGAAUUCGUACCUAUUUUUCCAACUCCAAGGAUUAUACCUUUAUUGUUGUCGCCAUAAGUCACAUGUCCACUAUUCUUGGGAGAAAUAUGAGUGAACUUUGAUGCAUCUCCCGUCAUGUGUUUAGAGCAUCCACUAUCUAUGUACCAACUCUUCUUCAAAGAAACCUCUUCAUCGCUUUCAUAAUUUUUGGCCAUUAGACUCAGAUUUAUAACUUCAUUUUCUGAAUCUUCGGAUGAAUGUUGUCUUCCUAAGUGAUGUAUGCCUUCUUUGCUUUCUUAUCAUUGAAGGUUUUCUUUUAAGAUCUUUCUAUUCUUUUCUUGAAACUCGGGCAAUAAUCAACUCUCAGAUGUCCUCUUUACGAAGAAACUGAAAUCAUCAUCUUCCUCUAUUUCAUUCAAAUCUUCUUUAUUACUUCCUUCUUGAAUUGAAGGUGAAGCUUUAAGUGUGAUUCCUUUCUUUUUCUUAUCAUUCUCCUCAUGUUGAUUCAGUCUCAUUAGUUCCAUUUCGUGUUCUUGAAGCUUUCCAAACAAAGUUGCAAGAGACAUGUUAGUAAGAUUUCUUGAUUCUGUAAUAGCCGUUAUCUUUGAUUGUCAUUCCCUGCUUAAACAUCUUAGAACUUUAUUAAUAAGAUCCUCAUUGGGAAAUAUCUUUCCUAAUGAUGCAAGAUGAUUUACUAUGUGUGUGAAUCUCUUUUACAUAUCUUGUAUAGUUUCAUUUUGAUUCAUUCUAAACAAUUCAUAUUGAUGGGUUAGGAUAUUUAUUCUAGACCUUUUUACAUCCGUUGUUCCUUCAUGGGUUACUUGUAAGGUAUCCCACAUUUCUUUUGCAUUCUUGCAAUUUGAUACUCUAAAAUAUUCAUCCAUUCCUAAUGCAAAUGUAAUUAUAUUUUUGGGUUUUAAAUUAUAUUGUACCAAUUUCUUUUCCUCUUCAUCCCAUUGUUCCUUAGGGUUUUCUAUAGUUGCAUUUCUUGCUACCAUAGUAGGGAUGUAAGGACCAAUUUCUAUGGCUUUCUAGAUGUUUAAAUCAAUAGCCUCUAUAAAAAUUUGCAUACGGGUUUUCCAGUAAUGAUAACCCACACUAUUGAAUAUAGGAGGUCUAUUUAUAGAGUUCCCUUCGGGAAAUAAAAAGUUUGAUGAGGCCAUGACUAUUCUGGAAGUUUCUAAACCUUAUACAAGAAUUAAGCUCCGAUACCACUUGUUAGUCAAGUGGCCUCAAUAACUUAAGAGGGGGGUGAAUUAUGUUUCAAAAUUUCCCACUAAUAAACUUUUAACCCCCUUCUAAAUGAUAGGCUUAGAAUGCAGAAGAAGCAGCAAUCAAUUUAAUAAUAUUUUUUUAAACAUGCAAGACAAAAUUGAUUGCAAUAACAUAAAUGAGAUAAGGGAAGAGAGAAAUGCAAACUCGAUUUAUAUUGGUUCGGCCACUUCCCAUGCCUACGUCCAGUCCUCAAGCAACUCACUUGUGAUUUUCUACUAUCUCUGUAAAUCAUUUACAGACUUUGAACACACCUUGAGAUCCCUCAUCCUUGUGUUCAAAGAUUCUCCAAGAGAUAACCCGUCUCUUGAUUAAAACUGACUUUAUGAGAUGAACAAAAAGAUUUCUCUCCUUUAAAGUGGAUGGUACAAAUUGAAGAUCCUAGAGGAAUUUCUCUCUUUUAGAGAUGAUAAUACAAAUUGAAGUCCUAGAUGAACUCUCAAUAGAUUUGCAAGUGUUUGUCCAAGAGUUGUUGAGAGAGUUUUUGACAAUUAAGUUCUCUUAGAAUAUUUCUCUCUUGCUUUUCGAAGUCAGACACACAUAUACAUAGGCCCUUCGUGCCUUUUCUAAAUGGUUUGAAGAGAUGUAUCUUUUCAAAAAGUUUUUUCUAAAAUUCUUCACUAGUAAUCGAUUACAUGGUUAUAUUUUAAAGGGUCGUGUCUUUUGAAAGUGUUUUCUAAAGUGCCGUUGCUGGUAAUUGAUUACAAACAUCUGGUAAUCGAUUACAUGAUUCAAAAUUCAAAUUCAAAACCCUUUUUAAAAAGCUAUUUUUCAAAAUUGUCUUUUGGUAAUCAAUUACACUGUCUGGUAAUCGAUUACAACUUUCAAGUUUCAAAUUCAAACUUUUCUAAAUGUUGUUAAAAUCAUUUUUGCUUCUGGUAAUCGAUUACAACCUCUGAUAAUCAAUUACUAGAGAGAAAUACAUAUUUUUCAAAAUGUAAUAUUUACUUAAAAACUUUAUAAGAUAUUUGAAAGCUUAAGUCUUUUAAGGCCAAACCUUUGCAACCUUUUUAAGAGAUUCUUUUAACAUAUAAAGGUUUAUUGUAAAUCGUUUCUCUUGAUUUCUUGAUCUUAACUUGAAUCAAUGUUGAAUAGCUUUAAUCUUUUGGCAUCAUCAAAAUCUUCAUACAACAUAUGCACUUAAAGCAAGAUGGCAACAGAGUAAAUUAUGCAGCAAAUUUUAACCUUUCAAGGUCUCCAACAUGACUUUUUAUACAUUAUUUAAUCACCAAUAGACUAAGGAAUCGUCUGAUAACCUUUGCAACACUAACCAUACCUCUGAGCACCUUAAUUUUAUUAUUUUAAGGACAAUUUAAACUACAAGGCAGCAGUUGCGACUCUAUUAGGAAAAUCAUUAAAUAAAGUCAAGAUAUAAUCUCAAGAUAUCAAAUACAUCAUUGAGUUAUCAUUGAAUGGUCUCAUGACAACACCUUAUAUGUAGGUUAUCAAUAUAUCUAACAUGAGUCGAAGUCAUAUAUAAAAGUUAUUUGGCAACAAGUUCAUCUGCUUAGGAAAUGCACUUAAACCAAAAUCGAAAAUCUUUAUAUUUCCUAGUGAAUCAAGUAAAAGAUUUUCAAGCUGCACAAGGAAAAAAGGAAAAUUAGAAGAAAUCACCAUAAGGGCAAUAGACAACUUUUCAGAUCUCACGCAAUGCAAACCUUUAAAUCUAUGUGAUAAACUCCGUUACAGUGGCAAUAAUCUACAUUGUCAAUAAGUUGUUGGAAAUAUCUUCUAGAGUCAACUUCACUAAGAUGACCAUGAUAUAUCUGCACAAUCAUAUUAUUCACCAUCAAACAUUUCCAAUAUCUCGAAUGGUGAUUAAUAAAAGCCACAAUAAAAUCCACACAAAAAAGGUUCCAUCUUGAGCUACUCACAAUUUUAUAAACAAUUCACCACCCGUGAUGAACUCCAAUAUGAUAUAAAUCUUGGUACAACUUGCAAGAACCUGAAGUAAACAACGUUUCACAACAAAAACAAGUGCUUGUGAGUGGCAUCAACUAACGAGAGAAACAUUAAGAAUUACUUCUCAGAGCAAAUAUUGAGUCGGCAUGGCUCUUCGUUUAAAACAUUUUUUUUUCAUUUAAUCAAGGAAGAUUCUCAAAUAUCAGAAUAUGAUUUUAGAACUAUCCCUCACUCCAAAAGUCCAAACAAUCAAAAUAAAAAAGAAAUUCUAUAAUUCUGGUUUCUGCAUUGCACACUUUUCCCCAACCCUAAAAGCAUGACAUGAUUCAAAUGUUAUUCACAAGCUUUGCAUUUUUUGGGUUUUAAUUUAUUAGUUUAUUAUUAAGUGUCUUCUUGGCAGGGAAAUAGAAAAACGAAAAGAGAACAACAACAACAUCAUUCUUUGAAAAUUAAACCUGUGUUGUUUAUGGAGAUGCUCGUGCAAAGACCUCACAUGAUUAUGGUAAACAUGUGCAUCCCCAAUAAUAUGGAUAAAAUCACCUGGAAUGAGAUCUGACAAGAAGAACACAUAGUAUAAAGAUUGAUUAUUUUAUGUUUAAAUUACUUUUAAUGUUGUAUUUUCUCUUGUGAUAUUAUCAAAAUCAAUAAGCUUCUGAACCUUGAAUCUACCUAGACUGGAACUUCAAUUAAAAACUUAUUGAUAAACUUAUGAAAACAACUCUAUCAAAAAAUCUAUAAAAAUAAUUGAAAAGUGCAAAUAGGCCACUAAAAUAAUCAAAUUAGUUAAGCAAUGGAAAACCUUUUCUAUACAGAGAUAAUCUAUAACAAUUUUUUCCAAAAUUUGUCAUGAUUUCUUAAUGUUACCAUGCUAGGUAGAUGGAAGUUGAUGAGUCCAUGAGAACCUGGAACAGUGCAAAUAAUGUCUAUGAUAUCCCAACAUACAUAUUUAUAUAAUAUCAUACAUGAGAAUGCGAAAUUAAUUAAAAUAAUUUUAUUCAAUAAACAUAAAGGAACUCACAUGGGUAAAAGGUUUACAUUCACGUUAAUCACCAAAUUAAAAACUUAUCAAAUAAGGGUAUGAAAACAUCUCUGGCCCAAAACAAGGCCAUCUAAUUUUAACAAAAGAAAACAAGUUAAGCAACAUAAUAACAUAAACUAACAUAUUCAGAACAUUAUGCAAAUAAUAUAGAAACUCAUGCCCAAUACCACAUCAUAUCAUAGUGUUGUGUCUCAGCAUCCUCUAGCGCGAGGUUCUUUAAAAUUAUCCACCUAACCAUCUGCUCCCACGAACACAAGGUUCAAGAUUAUCACAGGACUCAAACACAAACAACACACGGGGAGUGAGUUAUCACAUUCCUAAACAGGUAAAUCUAAACGAAGCACAUAUAUAUAAUAUAAGUAUAAUGAGCUCAACUUAGCAUAAUUCACAUCAUUUUACCACUCAUUGUGUAACUUCACUUGUCCCAAGGAUUUAAUCACAAAAUCAUUUUCAUACCUUCACAUUAAUCAGGUGUUCAGAACAACACGUCUCAAGUACAACACAAUAUCUCACACUCACACAAUUCAUUACCCACCAUCACGUAACAAGUCAUAAUAGUCAUUAUGCAAGUAUUAUGUAACAGAUACACUAAGACUCAAUCUUAUAUGCAAUGUGGUACCAUGUCAGUGAAAAACCUCGCCGGGAGCCUAGGAGUACAUGGCAAGACAAACUACACGCUGGUAAGUCAGGUCACUCUCACUAGGUAAAAUCAUAGGAAUACAAGCUAGGGUCACGCUGUUUUGUGAGACUACUUCAACCAUGUGAGAUUGACACAAGCUUAAAGGAGCAUUCAAACCGGGUGUAUUUACCCCAAGGUCUAAACUCUGAAGAGUCAGUUAGGACCUUUCCUUCCCAAUUCAGGUCCAACCUAGAAAACAUUUUAGCACGCAGAUUGUAUCAAUGAAUAGUAAAAAACACACGACUCUUGAAUUAUUCUCAAAAUAAUUUUAACUCGUCGUGCCUCAAAGUGAUUAAACUCGUCGAGUUCCCAUAAUGGAUCUCAUCACAAUACUCGUCGUGCAUUAACUUGUCACCCUUAAAGGGUCUUACAACCGUGUGAUUGUAUGGUUGAUAGCUCACAACUCAAUGCACACAACAUCUCAAUACAUGUGUGAUCUCUCAACUUAUCACAUACACUCAAUCUCAAUCACAAUGUUAUAAUCCCAAAGCAACAUAUUAUCACACUCAUGAAUCAUAUACACAUCACACAAUAUUAAUAUAUGCAUGGCACAAACACAAACUUUACCUAUAAACUAUGUAAUACACACAAUUACUCAAUUGUUUUCAAAAUCAUUUUAACUUGUCGCGCCUCAAAAUGAUUCAACUUGUUAGGUUCCCACAGCGGAUCCCAUCAUAAUACUCGUCGCGCAUUAACUCGUUGCCCUUAAAGGGUCUUACAGUUGUAUGAUUACACAAUUGAUAACUCACAACGCAAUACAUACAAUAUCUCAAUACACAUGUAUCUCACAAUUCAUCACAUAUUCAAUUUAUCACUUACACACUAUCUCAAUCACAAUUUCAUGAUCUCAAUAUAAUAAUUUAACACACUAAUCUAGUAAAUCUUUUUCCAAAACACAAACGAAUUAUACAAAAAUGCUUCUCACAACAUGGGGAGUAAAACCCCUCAUACAAUUUUACAUAAUCAUAUCAUAAUCAAAGGAAUCAAAAUCAUAGGUUCAAUAAUCACAAAAAAAAAACCAAGAGCACUCAAUUUUGUAGAAGCAAAGCUUCAUGGAGAAUCAAAGGUAAUUUAAAGGUGUUUUGAUGAUAACAAUGAUGAUAACAAAAGAUGAUGACAAAAGGUGAUGACAAAAAGCUCAAAGAUCAAUCAGAGAACAACUCAGGUGAAUCAAGAACAAUUCAAGAGUUCAAGAUAAGAAUCAAGAAGAAUUCAAGACUCAAGAAGAAAGUUUAGAGUCAAGAAUCAAGAUUCAAGGUUCAAGAUCUCAAGAAUCAAGAUCAAGAUUCAAGAGUCAAGAGAAGGCUUAAUCAAGAUAAGUAUGAAAAGUUUUUCUCAAAAAUUGAGUAGCACAUGAUUUUUCUCAAAACAUGUUUACCAAAGAGUUUUUACUCUCUGGUAAUCGAUUACCAGAUUGUUGUAAUCGAUUACCAGCAGCAAAAUUGUUUUGAAAGAGUUUUCAAAUUGAAUUUACAACGUUCCAAUUAAUUUCAAAAAGCUGUAAUCGAUUACAAUGUUUUGGUAAUCGAUUACCAGUGCCUUUGAACGUUGAAAUUCAAAUUCAAAUGUGAAGAGUCACAUCCUUUCACAUAAAAGCCUUGCGUAAUCGAUUACACUGAUUUGGUAAUCGAUUACCAGUGAUUGUUUCUGAAUAAAUCAAAAGAUGUAACUCUUCAAAAGGUUUUUGACUUUUUCAAAUUGGUUUUAAGUUUUUCUAAAAGUUAUAACUCUUCUAAAUGGUCUUCUUGACCAGACAUGAAGAGUCUAUAAAAGCAAGGUUUUGUUUUGCAUUUUCAUUCAUUCAUUCAAUCUUGAACACUUAUUCAGACAAUCCUUUAUAAGCCUUGAAUCUCUUUAAACGUCUUCUUCUUCUUUGUACCAAAAGCUUUCUGAAGUUUUUCUGGUUUUCUAAACCUUGAAAACUUGUGUUAUUCAUCUUUUCAUUCUCUUCUCCCUCUACCAAAAAGAAUUCGCCAAGGACUAACCGCCUGAAUUCUUUUUGUGUCUCUCUUCUCCCUUUUCCAAAAGAACAAAGGACUAACCGCCUGAAUUCUUUUGUGUCUCCCUUCUCCCUUGUCAAAGAAUUCAAAACGACACAGUCUGAGAAUUCUUUUGAUUCUUCCCAUUCCCUUAUAAAAAAGUGUUCAAAGGACUAACCGCCUGAGAAUUCUUUUGUAUCCCUAUUCACAAAGUAUCAAAGGUUUAACAGCCUGAGAUCUUUGUCUUAACACAUUGGAGGGUACAUCCUUUGUGGUACAAGUAGAGGGUACAUCUACUUGGGUUUGACUGAGAACAAGAGAGGGUACAUCUCUUGUGGAUCAGUUCUAGUGGAGGGUACAUCCACUAAGUUCAAAGAGAACAAGGGAGGGUACAUCCCUUGUGGAUCUUUGCUUGUAAAAGGAUUUUUACAAGGUUGAAAGAAAUCUCAAGGACCGCAGGUCGCUUGGGUACUGGAUGUAGGCACGGGUUGUUGCCGAACCAGUAUAAAAACUCUUGUGUGUUUGCUUCCUUCUUCCCUACUCUUUUACUUUCUGCUGUGCAUUUAAUUUCCGCUUUUACUUUCUGUUAAGUUUCUCUUCUACUCCUCAUUCUCUUAAUUUAGUAAAAGCCUUAGAAGAGUAAUUUUUUAAUUAGUAAAGGUUUAGGAAUAAUUAAUUCAACCCCCCUUCUUAAUUAUUCUGAGGUCACUCGAUCCAACAAAUUUUAUCAACCAAUUUGCAUUAGGAUAUCAAUUGGUCCGUCAAACAUAACAAUCUUGUGAUUAUAAUCAUAAAGGCAGAAUUAUCAUCAUAAACAUCCCAAAAAAGAUCCCAAUUUGAUCCUCUAAGGACCCUUACACAUGUUCAUUUUAACUCCAAUUGCGAUAAACUCAUUCAUAAGCGGACUCACGUGUGUAGUCUGAUGACAAUAACAAUGUCUCUAGCAGUUCCCUGGGAUUCCUCCCUUUGGUUGUUCUGUUAUGAUUUCUAAGCAUUAGAGAGAAACAAAAGGGAUUGGAGCCUCAAUUUUACUAUCUCUGUGCGAGGGACAUUUCUCUCUCUAUAGACAUUAUUUCUCAAAUCCCAAAAGUAAAAAUGUGCGAAAAUGAGUUCUGAAGAUGAUGUUCAAAUUUCACGAGGAUCUAACGGUUAUUGGGAUUAUAAUUUUAUUAAGACAUGUUUGAAUGUAUGCAAAAAAAAGAAGAUAUUAGAAGAGAAAGAAGGAAAAAAAUUUUAAGACAAAGAUGGAGGGUACAAAUGUUUAAAUUAAGUUAGUUAGGAUACUUACUUUCAACCUAUUAUUUACUUUAUUUAUAUUUUAUUUUAUUAUUUUAUAACAAAGGAAAUUUUAUUUCUCUUUUAUUAAAUAAAUAAUCAAUUAAAACAUCUUUUUAUUCUCUAAAUCAUUAUUUUAUUUUAUUUAUUUUCUAAUAUUAUCAAACUCUUAUUUUAAGUAAUAAAAAAUUCUUUUUUUUCAUUUAUUUAAUUUCUAAAAAAAAUUAUUAAUUUUUUAUUUUACGGAAAACGGGUGUGAGAAUGCCAUUGAGAGUGCUACUCUCCAUAUCUUCUCCGUCCGCAAAACAAACUUAACAUCCUUCAAGCAUUUCACCGGCAAAUAGUCAAGUUCACGAAGUUAGUAUAAGACAAAUUGCAAUCAAUAGGUAAGAAUGCUCAGCUCUGCUCCUAGGUUAACCUGUGCUAUGAAGGUACCCGAAGAAUAAAACUAUAAAGAAGCACAUAAGCUACUAAUUCAAGAAAUGAACAUGUGAAGAGUGGUGAAAGCGAUAACGAAUAGAUGAGAAUCGGAUCGGGGCAGCUAAACGAUGUCGUUUAUCAGAGCUUGUGAAGGGUUUGAUCAAGGCACAUCCCGUGUGUCUCAAAGCCAUGGAACAGUUAAUGUCUCACAUUCUUUUUUUUUUUUUCUUUUUCUUUUUGCACCCACUUUCAGAUUCAAUUGGUGCCUUUCUUGGUUUUUUCUUGUACCCUUUGGGGUUUUAUCAUUUAGCUCCAAAAUGGUACCUUUUGCAAUGUUUGCCAUUAUUUUGCAUUUCACUUUUUAGCAUAAUUUAUUUGUUUCUGAAUCAUACUGAGGAAUGUGGUGCUUGUGGUGUUCAAUUCUCCUGUUUUGGUCUACAUUAGGCAUUCUGACUUCUGAGUUUAGUGAUUUUAGGAAUUUUUGGGAUGUCAUGUGUUUUGUCACCUAAUUUUGAUUUUCAAUGUUUAUUUAAAGUUUAGUGUUUUUUUUUUUUUAAUAUAUACUCUCUCUAGUCAUUAGGCAUUAGAAAAAAAACAUAUUUUUCUCUUAUCAUUCAUUUGAUUGAGGUACUAGUUUCAUAAACUCUUAUUUUUUAUACUAAGUUCCAAAUAUAAUUUGAAAAAAAGUUACUUUUUAAUUAAAAUUGAUGCAAUUAAAUAUUGCUAAGUAACUUUUGUUAGUUAGCGUGAAAUGUUUUUUUUUACUUCUUAUAUUUGAGAUGGAAGGAAAUACAUUUUAAGUUGAUAAGGAAAUGUCAGUAUUUAAUCUUUUAAUCUCCUGAAAAAAAAGUUAUAUAUUUUUAGUUUCUUAAAAUGUGUUAAGUGUAAUAAUAUCUGUUCUUUUCUUGGACUUAGUACUAGUAACAUGAAAUACAACGCCAAUUUUAUAAACAAAAAUGAUACAUCGACACCUUAUGCUAAUGUACUCCUAAAGAGAGAAAGAGAGAACAAAGAGAAACGUGAAUGUGAUAAGAAGAGACAUUGAAAAAAAAUGAGAAGUGCCAAUGAAGUGUUUGUAUUAUAACAGAUGUCCCUAUAUCAUUUUUCUUUUAUAGAUGAGGAAUUAAAAAUAUGAUUUUAUUUAAGGAACAUUCUAUUUUUCUAGGAACAUUUUCUUAUUUACAGGAAUAAAAAUAUACUAUUCAAACUUUUUUUUCCUGCAGGGUGAAAAUUUGAGUAUUAUUAUCUUUUUGACUGUGUUUACAAGAGCGCCACCUGCAACAUUUCCUAGAGCUGAAAAAAAUUAGAAUAUGCUCUGCUCUUAAGCAUGAAUAUUUAUCUGAAUUUCUAAAUAAGCGCAGAAACUGCUUAGUUAGGCUUUAUGUUGACAGCUAAAAUAUUGAAAAUGUUGAGUUCAGUAUGAUUGUUGUACCAUUGUUCUCAAUAAUAUUGAUCAUGUUCAUGACUGAUGUUUAUUCAAUUGAUUGGAGGCUAUGUUAGCCUUUAGUGCUGCUCAAGUAUUUUUAUGUGACAGAUCUGUCAUAAUGAAUAUGGUAUUUCAAAUGCAUGUGGAAUAUGGUAUUUUUCUCUAGUUAUAAUGAAUAUUUCUCAUCUGUAGUCUGUUAUACAAAUGUUUUUAUAUAAUAGAUCUGUCACAUUUUUUUCAAAUGCAUUUGGAAUAUGUAUUUUUCUCUAGUUAUAAUUUCUCAUUUAGCUACUUGCUGAGUGGAUUCAAGUAUAAUCUGACACUCUGAGUUCCUUUCCAUAGAAAAAGUGGAAACUGAAAAGAGGUGUACUUUCUCUCAUUCUCUUUCUUCAUUUUGUCUUGCCCUUUCUGGGUGUGGACUGAGUUCUUAAAUAUAGAACUACUCAUGUGAAAGAUUAUAUGUCUCUGCUCUGUUUCUGAUAUGUGAUAUCUGAUAACUCUUUGCUUAUAUGUAUAUAUAUUAUAUAUGCUGGUUUUAUCAACUUGGUAAGAAUUCUUAAAAUGAAAUGUUUGUUACUAAUAGACAAUGUUAUCAAUGGUGGAUGGUGGAAUGUAGCGGAAAGUCAAAAUUCCACCACAUGAACACAGAAUUGUGGCCUAUGGUGCUGUGUUAUGAGUCACACAUUGAGUAGAGUAAACUACUUGGUGUGGUACAUAGUCCUUGAGGUUCUUCACCUAAUGAACCAGUCUUUUGGGUUGAGCUCUUCUCUUGUGCUUAAUCCUAACAAUUAAUGCUUUUGGAAUGACUGAUUCAUAUUGGAUGCAUAGAAUUAGAGUAGGGUAUUUUUUUUCCAAGUUGCCUACUUUUAAAUAUGCCCUAGAUCAUGUCCACUUAGUUCAUAUGGAUGAUUAAUUUUCAGUAGGUUCUGUGCUUUUGAUCCCCCUCCAUCUCUCGUAUUUGGAUUGAGGGUUCUUGAGUUAAAGGAGCAAGGUGUUAGUAAGGAACAAGCAAUGGCUAUGGCAGAUGUAGUAACGUGAACUGGUUCCUGAACAUGUUAGCUCUGCAAUUUGUUUUUCCCUUGUGUUCUCUUAUCCUCUAAUAAUCCACUUUGGCUUUUUUGCUUCCUAGAUGGAGAGUAUCUGACAGAGAAGAGGGCAAAAAAGAAAGCAUAUACCUGUUUGAGGAAAAAACCCAUAUCCUAGUCCUAUCAAGGAAAUACAAGCUGAGGAGAGGAAAUUGUGAAGCAAUAGAAAGCUGAGUCAGCAGAGAGAUUCAGAGAGGGGGUGAUUGGUGAGAUGUAGAGGGGAAAAGUUACACUACUUUGAAAGUUUGGCUCUUGAACAAAUGAUCUUUGACAAUAACAUUUACUGUUCAGCCACUGAAAAGUUAUUUGUUGUAAAUAAGAAAAUCUAUUUGUUGUGUUAGAUAACUGUAGAGGAAAAUUUUACCAAAAUCUUAUGCAAGUUUUCUGUUUUUCCAGGCCACCCAUGUAGGUUUGUUAGUUGGUACAAAAGAACUAAAUAGAUAAUCAAGAUUUGUAUAUUUACUCUUUUUAUUUUUAUGAUUAUGAGCCUCAUGACCAAAAUAUUAUGCGAUUAAUUUUCAAUAUAAUAUAUUUUAACUUGACUUUUUGAAUGUUAAAAAAUUGAAUCUGUUUUAUAAUAUCAAUGUUCUUGAAGUAUCCAGCCAUAUAGAUAGCUUAAGUGUUCAAGUCAUGUGGAUGUGUCAAGUAAACUGUUUGAACUAACAAAACUUUUGUUAGACUUAGUGAGUAGUGUAGGACACAUGUUGUACAGAUGUCGAGAAAGUGUUGGUGCUAAAAAUUUGUCUAAUCACUGUGCUUAACAAGUUUCAUCUUAUCAUUCAGUAACUAUUGUGUUUUUCUUUAGCAGCCUUUUCCACUACUUUUAUCUCUUGUUCUGUUCUUGUCAUCCUCACUUGUACUCAGGGUCACUUGUUGCAUCUUAUUCUCUUGAUCUUUGUAUGUAGUUAAGUACAUUAUCAGAUUUUGUGGCAUGCAGACACGAGAUCUCUCACCAUCCUUUUAAUUAUUUUCAUCAUAAGCAGCACAUAACACUGUUUGAAGCAAUUUUAAUGUGAGCUCCUUUGGAUGGAUGCUAAUUCCCAGGUUCUAUCUUAAAGUUGUUCUUCUGACAAUGUCAUCCAUUUUUAGCUUUAGGUUGUUAACCAAAAUAGAAGCAAGGUGGCAGCUGUUGCUGAAGAACUCUGAUUAUUUGUGUCCUCUGAUGUACAGAUACUUUAUGGUCACAUAUCCAUAUUUGUAUCGUACUUGUAAUGAAUACCCAUAGGCGUAUAAUAAGGCUGCCUAAGUCGGGUAUGCAUUAAAUCUAGACUGUUUUAUUGAAACUUCUUACAUACACUAUUUCUUUAAAUAGUGAAACAAUUGUUAUCAUUAAGUUUUUUAAUAAAUUCGAUAAGAGAUUGAACACCAAUGAUGUUAGGAUGAUGGAGAUGACCCAUCAAUAGAUAUCAUCUAUAUUAAGAAAUAAAGAAAUUAAAAUAUAAUUUUAUGUAUCACAUUGCACCUAAUACUUGUAUGAGUUGUAUCCAAAGCCAUGAAACAAAAUGUGUCAGAUAUCAGUUAGAUAAGAUUCAGUUCAGCAGGCAGGUUGGAUAAGAGUAUUGCUUAUGUAUAUCUUAAAAGAAAGUUUCCUAUUUGACCGAAUGUGGGUGUUUUUGUCCACCUAGGAGCUUUUUACCAUGUAACCAGACAGAUAAUUGGUAUCUUAAAAUUUCAAAGGGUGGUCCUUCACACCUAAUUUGGAGAUCUAAUUUGUUGAUAUGUCUUCACUAAUAGACUGUAUUGCAAAAUUAGUAAAUUGAAGAUGACAUUACUCAAGUUUUUCAUGUGAGGAAGGAAGGGAGCACAAGGAAAACGGUGAAACCUCACUGAUCAGCAUUUUCAGAGGAACCUAUUAUGAAGCACUCAACUUGCUGACAUAGGCUUUAUGAUCUGCACUAAUCUUUUGAAACUUCAUUUUGUCACAUGUUACUAAGUUGAAAAAGAAAAUAUUGUUUUAGGAGCUAAAGAUGAAUAAGUAGCUAAAGGAAAGUUAUAUAGAAUUUGUAGUAAAAGGGAAGAGUGUAAACAUAUUUGCUUCAGUACACAGAGUGGAUGACUCAAGUGCUGGUUCCAUUACCAAAUUUCAGUGGUUUUGGUUGAAUAUGUAAGUCAGUGGAAGUGGUGCUGAAGAUUGGAGGGAAUGUUUGGAGUACAUGAUUAGAAAAGGGGAGAAUGAUUAAAAGAAAUAGAAAAUUGGCUGACUAAUAUUGGGGAUUCAUAGGAAUGUUGUGUGUUAGUAAAUUGGAAAAAUGUUACUCCAUUGAUAUUUUCAGCAUACCAUUCAUCUAAGAAGCAUAACUGUUCCUUUUUAUAUAUUUUCUGUUACCUUCCUUUCCUUCAAAACAUGGCUUUUGAAUUUUGAACCAUUAACUGAGUUGGAAUAGUGGUAAAAUCAUGUAGAUUUUUGUUUUCGUUUUGUGGGGAUAUGAAUGAGAAAAAUCCUUACAACCAGACAAAGCUGUGGCUCAGAAGAAAGAGAAACAUGCCUCACUGCUAGAAUCACUGGAACUAACAUCUUGUAAACAAACUGUUAUACCAAACUUUCCUAAGGUGCAAUUCUCAACCAUUAACCAAUUUCAUCUCAAACAACACUAUCAGUUCUUCAGUCAUGAACUUCCCAUACUGAAAAUUUGUCACCUAUUUCUUUUAUAGGCAGUGGCUUCUUAUGAGAGUCACACUCUCUGAACUUCUUAUGUAAAACUUGACUUUUCAUUUUGUGCUUUAUAAUUGUUAUCUCAUGCAUUGCCCUUUUAAGAUAAGGUUGUUGUGCAUUGUUUGGUUGAGUACAACGAUUUACUGAUGACCAUAACUAUUUGUGGAUCUUAUAUUUUCAAAAGUGUAUGCUUGGUCAUUAAUCAACCAAGCUUGAUAAGCCCCAUCACCUACCAUCCCCUUCUAUGCCAUAUACACAUUUUGCUUAUCUACAUUGCUACUGUUACUCUCAAACAAGUCUAACAAAUAAUAAGUGAAGUUAAUGAACAUUUUUAGUAAUAUUAUUAUAAGGAUUGGCCAAUGUAAUGGUGAACAGAGAAGCAUGCUUUCAGCUACCCAACAAACUGGAUAAGAGUGUCAGUUGAUAUGGUUCUCUUGUUUUUUUUUUUUUUUUUUCCAAUGCAAAAUCACCUUUAAAAUAUAAAAGAUCACUGUAACAAAGGGACAAAGGGUUUUCACUUAACCCAUGCAUGAGAUAUGAUGGUCACAAAAUAUGUUAGGUUUAAUAUGGAAUGAGGGCACAGUACAAACCACUCACAAAUAAUAUCAAACUCCACCACCAUCACACAUUUUACGUUCUUCCAAGGAAGAGAUAAGAUAAUGAAGCCUCCUCCACGUGUCACUUCCACAUGGUACCUAACGAUAAGGCUACCAUUCAAAAUUUUCCUCACUCGUGUGGCCAAUAUGCUGUAAUGUCAUCACUUAUUCAAUCCAACGGUUGUAACUUCUCAGCAACCAAUCCCCUCCAUUUCACACCAUCGGAUUAGUACUACACAAAUCACACUAUUAUAUAUAGUAAGUUUGAGCAGAAGCUUGGAUAUCUGGCAGCAGAAGAACAAGUAGUUGAGAACUAAGAAGGAGAAGCAAAUGGCUUCCUCAAUGAUCUCUUCCCCAGCUGUUACCACUGUCAACCGUGCCGGUGCCGGCAUGGUUGCUCCAUUCACUGGCCUCAAGUCCAUGGCUGGCUUCCCCACCAGGAAGACCAACAAUGACAUUACCUCCAUUGCUAGCAACGGUGGAAGAGUGCAAUGCAUGCAGGUAUGACAACUCCACACAUAUAAAUACACAAGAGGCACCAAAAUGAUUAUAAUUCAUGUUACAUAUUUAGGCAUGUACCUAAAUGUUACUUAAAUAAACAUGUUAGUCAUAGGUUGCUUAAAUUUUAGUCAUAGGAAAAUUUGCACAUGUGCUAGUUAAUCUGUUAACCCCUUUACUCAAUUUUCAUGCAAAUUAAUUACUAGGUGUGGCCACCAGUUGGCAAGAAGAAGUUUGAGACUCUUUCCUACCUGCCAGACCUUGAUGAUGCACAAUUGGCAAAGGAAGUAGAAUACCUUCUUAGGAAGGGAUGGAUUCCUUGCUUGGAAUUCGAGUUGGAGGUCAAUUUCUUGCAAACACUUUUGGUUUAAUCAUAGAUUUUCUUAUUCUUAGUUUGUUUCAACUUAUUUUCAAGAAAUAAUCGCUUCUCUAGCUAGUGUGCUAAAAGUACUUUUGGAAACAAAACAAAAAAUGGUUGUGUUCCAAAAUUUAAAUUUAUCUAACAGAUUUUUCUAUCUGAGAGUUAUCAAUAUGUAUCAAAUCUGUUCCUAUCUCUGACCAAAUUUUAUUCUUCCAAAACAAGCACUUGGUUUUGAGUUUUGAUGGUUGAUCUGCUUGUUUGCAGCACGGUUUCGUGUACCGUGAGCACAACAGGUCACCAGGAUACUACGAUGGACGCUACUGGACCAUGUGGAAGCUGCCUAUGUUUGGUUGCACUGAUGCUUCUCAGGUGUUGAAGGAGCUUCAAGAGGCUAAGACUGCAUACCCCAACGGCUUCAUCCGUAUCAUCGGAUUCGACAACGUUCGCCAAGUGCAGUGCAUCAGCUUCAUCGCCUACAAGCCCCCAGGCUUCUAAGUGUGAAAAAUUUGCAAAGCAUUUGUAGCCGCCACCCCACUUUGUUUGUUUGUACUUAAACUACAUUCCCAUUUGUUUUUGCUUUUUGAGAUUUCAUCAUCCUGUAUUUUUGGUUUCUGUUUUCGGACUUCAAUGGAAAUUAAUGGAUGAGAACUAAUGAAUAAGCUAUUGUGUUGUGUUGCUUUGUUUCAAAAUAACUUCAAUAACCCAUCGUCCUUGCAUUUCUCUCUAGUGGGCUGAAAUUAAUCUUUUCUAAAUUUAAGUUAAUUAAUUGUGUCUCUAAAUGAUGGUUAACAGAGGAACUGUGUUAUUCAAGUACUCUGCAUAGUUUAGCUGAGCUUGGCCUUACUUUGUCACAACUCACAAAUCUGAUGUAUGAAUGUUCUUUAUACUUUGGUCUUCCAAGAAAUGAAGUUCAUGACAUAUAUAGUUUGUAAACAUGUUGCUAGGAAGCUUCUGAACUUUCAAAACCAAAUAUGAACUUGAUAAUUCUUGGAAACACAGAUAUUUUGUAUAGUACAUAGCAACAAAAAACCACUAAGGAACUGCUACCAAAUCGUUUUGUUAUUUAUGUGCAAAGAAAGCGAUGUCAAAUUCAAAUUUUUAUUGGUUUCAGAAUCUUUUCUUUCCAAGCAAUAACCACCAACUGCACGAAACCGUUUUGUUUGUUCCAUUUCUCACUCUCCUCACUGCAAUAUUCAAAUUCUGAUUUGGAAAACAGCACAUAAAAACACAAGAUUUGGUCAUGCUCUGGUUCUACCAAAUACUACAUUUGUUUCUAGAAUUGCCAGAAUCUGAUCCUUAGCUGACAAUUAAUCUCUAGAAGAUUCUUUUGCUUGUAACUUGGUAGUUAUGGAUUAGCAACUGAUAAAUAAAUCAUUUAGUGGGCUCUAUGUUGUGAGUAGUGAUAGGUAACUUAUCUCGACACCUUUUAGUAGAUUGCAUUAAUAUUUAGACUGGACCCUUUUGAUAGCUACAUUUGUGAACAAGAAUACAAUACGAUAAAGAAAUAGAUAAGAAGUUUCACCUCCUAUACUCCCAUGACCACAUCAUGACAUAUUCAAUGCCAAUCAUGAAUAUACAAACCAAUAGGAUUUGUUUUCUUCCAAAUAUUUAUUUGUGGACGUGAAUCUACUCACCCUAGAAGCAAGUUUCGUUAAAUUUACUUUGUUUAAUAAUUUUUUGUGAACAUUCAUUCUUUUUUAAUUCAACUGUUAUAUAAAAAUAUCUCACUAAGUAGAUCAAAUAUGCAAACUUUUAAUCAACAUUAUGUUGAUCCGAGGAUAAUUAAAUUCAAAUUCCUUAAGAAAGGUCUUAAGUUCAAAUUUUGUGAAUGGAAAAUAUAAUUAAAAAAAAAGACAUAACUAAAGUAGCUAGUCAAGUCAUGAUAAAGUCUUACAAUUCAUGAAAUAACUAAUAUUAUAUCAAUCAACUUCAUUUUAAUGGAUAGUAGUAUUAUUCUUUUAAAAUACAAGUAAAUGUUAACUAUAAGAUAAUCUUUAUGGUAAUAUAUUACAAAAUAUAAUAGUUAAGGGUCUGUUUGGGUGGUUGUUAGUUGUAAGUUUCAUUUUUAAUUUUAAACCAGUCUUUAAAAUUUGGUUAGUUUUCUAAUUCUUAGUUUUAAGAUAAAGCCAUUUAAAAAAAUUUCAAUCCUUUUAAAAUUAAUUUAAAAGGUGAUAAUGUCAACAUAGGUUAUGGUUCUAGUGUUAGUAGAGGCGACCAGAAAUGUCAUUGUCAAAUGUAGAGUGUGUACUUUUUUUAAAUUAAAAUCAAAAUUACAAAUGUUUUUUUUCUUUAUUUUGAAAAUAAAGAUAAAAAAGUGUUUUGAGAUAGUCAAUCAUUUCAACUUCAUUUUCUGCCCAAAGCUUUUGAUUUUGAAAAUUACAUUUAAAAAUAAAAUUAAAAAACUCACAAUUACCUGACCAAACCUUAAGUCUUUUAAAUUAAUUAAUAUUCUAUAAAGAAAUAGUAUUUUUAAAAUAUUUAUAUAAUUUAAGUAUUUACUUAUUUUUAGAGUGAAUAGAUCCCUUUCGUUUGUUUCAUUCAUCAUACAGAAUCAAUAAUACACUGGAAUAUUCGCUUAUAUAUAUAUAUAUAUAUAUAUAUAUAUAUAUAUAUAUAUAUAUAUAUAUAUAUAUAUAAAAUGUACAUGGAAAAAAUAAUUUUCCAUUAGUGUAUUAAAAUUUGAAGAGAGACAGACAAAUAUAUCCUUAUUUCCAUAGAGCCUGCAAAAACCUAACUAUCCAGUCAAUAUUUUAUAUUUCCGUAGUUUUUCUGACAAACCAAUUUCUUUAAUAAAGUUUUCAAAUAAGUUAUAUAACAUAUCAUAAUAUUCAAGGUUUUCCAAGAGAAAUUUAAAAAUUGUUAUUUUGACAAGAUAAGUGCUACAUAAUUGUGUGGUCUAUAGCGACUAAUGAGUCAAGGCAUCGUGACUCUGUCGUAGCAAAAAAGGUAAACAAAAACAAGUCAUUGUCAUAGCAUUAUUUGAAGUUGAAGAAUACGUAGUGUGAUAUGAUUUAUUUAUGACUUUUUUGGUUGUUUCCGUUGCAUUUUGUGAAUCGAAGAUCAAAUAGCUAGCUAUAAAAAGAUCCUAAACAGAUAACAACCUAUUGGUAAUUUAUUUUGUUUUUGUUUUAGUCUAUUCAAUUAUAUAUAGGCUCAUAUAUGUAGAUUUUAUAAGUUUAAGCCACAAAAAAUAUAUUUUUAUUAAAACAAUAAAAAGAUAUUGCCGUAGUGUUUAUACGAGAAAUGGCGCAUAGUAAGGUGCUCGAUCGAGUCUCUAUCAAUUUGCUUUUGGUAGGAAAAGAAAAGACAAAAGAAGAAAGUUACAAAGUGCACUCUUAAUCCUUGUGUCUUUAUAAUCAAGUUGGAUAAAGACACAUUAACACUCAUGUUAUUUUUUAAUUCCCUGAGUAUUUAACUCAAUUAGAUACUUAAAGAUUUAAAUUUGAGGCCGUUACUAGUUAAUUAAAAUAAUUCCGCAUAAAUUGAUUCAAACACAUUAUUUGACAUCUUAAGAGAAAAAGAAAAAAAAUGAAAUGUAAACAUGAUAAAUUAUAUGAUAUGAUAAGGGAAAUACAAAAAUAAAUAAAAGAUGUCAAAUAAAUAUCCAUGCAUGUAUCAUUACUAAUUAAGUUUCAAAAUCAUAGAGUGAUACAUGAAUUUUUUUAUUUUAAAUUCAAAAUAUAUCUCAGUGAAAACUAUUUAAUGUUUAAAAUAACAUUCAUACAUCAAUGUUUUAUUUGAGAACUUUGAUAAAUAAGUAUUUUGUUUCAGGAAUUAUGUUUAUACUUUAUAGUGUAUUAAUCCUAUGACAUAUUGUGUGAUAGUAACGAUGAGAAAGGAAAUAAAAAGGAAUAAAAUAGGAUAAAAAUAUUAAAUUCCUACUAUUAUUUGAAAGAAGAAAUAAAAAGUAGAAUUUUCUUAAUUAAUCUCACAUGAAAAUUAAUAUUUCUCCUCUAUAUAUCAAAAAAAAUAUCCCUGCUCAUGGGCAAGAAAGAAAACAAACAAAACAAAGGGCAACAAACAAGGCAUAGCCACUUGCUUGUGUUGGGACCAAAACAAAACAAAACAAAUGGGUCAUUAUUGUUUAGGGUGGUGGUAAGAUAAGGACUAAACUGUAAUUGUCUGGCUCAGCUGCAUACUUCAAAAAUGUGGUGCACAUGGAAACAAGGGGGAGAAGUGGAGAAAAUGAAGACCAAUGUACAUACUUUCUUCCUCAAUCAAUGUAUCAACAAUAUCAGUCCAUGGCAACGUUGUUUUUCAGGAUGUGACUCUCUCGAGGGCCUAAAGGCCCACCAGGUUCAUCAUUCAUCAAGGUUUUGUAGUUUAAUCAUACAAUUUCAAGCACCAAAGAAAAUGAGCCUUGGUAAGUUUUUUUUUCAUCACCAAAAUGAUAUUUUUUUUCCCUUUCAAAUUCUAUGGUUGCACUUGCACACAUUGGAUUUGACAUGUCAAUAUCAACAACUUUUAAUUAAAUGCAGUUCUUGUAAACAUUCAAUUUCAUCGAAACAAACAAAAUAAAAAUGUACAAAUGAGAACAUUUGAAAAAAAGAAGCAUAACCGAUUAUAAAAGAAGGAAAAGUAAUAUUCAAUCAGAAAAGAAAAUUGUGAUAACCAUCUUUUGUUCUCCCAUCUUAUUUUAUCUUUUUGUCAAAAUAAUUUUACAUUAUCGUUCAAUCAUAAAUCGUUACAGAUAUAAAUUUUAAAGUAAUUAUCAUAAAAAUUAAUAAAUUUAUCAUACAUGAUAAGUUAUAAUUGAAUGACGAUGUAUUUUACAUUAAGUAUAACCUAUUUUCUUUUUUUUCUUCGAUUGUUAUAUUCUUUGUCUAAUAAAAAAGAGAAUAUACUGACAUUAAAAAUAAAAAAAAUAGAAAAUUAUAAAAUAUAACAACACAACAAGAAGAAUGAUUAAGGGUAUGUUGGAUUGCUUUUUGAAGUGUUUCAAAUGGAUAAUUCCAUUUUUUCAUGCAAGUAGAAGCAAUUAUUGCUUGCCAUUUGAGUGAACGUUUAUUGAAGCGAAGGGCAACUUUUUUCCCAUCACGUCCUAGUUGUUUUGAAGUUAUUUUUGGCAUCUCUCUAGUUUCCUUUUGGGGGUUGCUAGGUGCACCCAGCAUUAUUGCUGGUGCACCCAGCACUUAUUGUGAAAAGUCACAAAUGCCCUUGUUAUUUUUUAAAAAAAAAGCAGUGCACCCAACGACCCUUUCUUCUUCCUUUUCCGCGAGCCUCUUCUCCUUCAUUCUUCUUCCUUUUCUGCGAGCCUUUCUUCUUCUCCUUCUUUCUUCUGCGAGCCUCUUCAACUUCUUUCUUCCUCCUUCCUCAUUCUUCCGCGAGCCCAUUUGCUUCUCUAGCACGAGGUGGUUGUUCUUCUUCCGCGCAAGCUGCUGCUUCUCCCUCCUUCGAGUGCGCUUCUUCUUCCAUUCUGCCGCGAGGUGCUGCUCUUCUAUUCUUCAUCGAGGUAAGGUCUAUUAUCCUUUUUCUUGUUUGUUAUUGCUUUCAUUGGUGAUUGCUUAAGUAUUUAGGUCAUCCGCAGUAGAGACAAGUUAGGACCUAGGUGAUCCGCAAAUAGGGUAGAUGAUCCGUAGGUUGUGUUUAUGUUGUGUUGAACUUGCGGAUCACGUUGAUCCGCAAGAAGAAAAGGUUGAUUCGCAUGCUUCCCACAGAUCAAGUUGAUCCGCAUGCUUCAUGCAGAUCAACUUGAUCCGCGGGAAGCAUGCAGAUCAACUUGAUCUGUGUGAAACAUUUUACAUUUUUAAAAGUUUAAAUUAGGUUAUAAUUAAUGAAAAAUGGUUUUUAAUGGUUACUUUUGAAGCUUUUGCCUCAAGUAUGAUAUUGUAUAAUGGUUAUUUAUAUCCUGUAUGGUAGUGAAUAUGCAAUUGAAAAUAUGAACACAAUCUAUUAGGUUGUAGCUUCUCAUGUGCCUAAAAAGGAUUAGAAUCCUUAAAUUUAGACAAGAAUUUGUGAUGGUGCUUGUCAUAUGCCUCAAAGCAGUAAACAUCCUGAAAUUGUUGUGUACUAGAUCAUUAACCAUAAAAUGAUGGUGGUAAGUUUAAAUCACUGAAAUAAUACUCCACCUACAAUAAUACCUCCCAACUACUGAGAAAAUCUUCAUAAGAUUUGGAUGAAUUGAAAAAGAAAAGUAUAUGGUCAGAAUAUUCUAGGAAGGAUAAAAAGAACUGUUGCUUUUCGUUGUCUUGGUGAAUUGAAAAAGAAAAGAAAAUAUCAAGCCAUGAAUGUCAUAAUCCAAAAUCCAAAUAGAUAUUUUUCAAAAUAAUCGGAAAAAAAUGAAAUAUCCAAGCACAAAUUGUCCCUUUUAUGUCUAAUGCUCUAGCAGAAUCAGACCUGAGGGUGAGAGUCAAAUUACUAUAUUAUACUCAAUCAAACAUCAAUAUGCAACUGCAGAGAUAAAUCACAUACUUGAGUAAUAGUUAGGAAAUAAUAGAGCAAACACACUUCAUGCAAAUGAUUGACCUCAACUUGCAAAAAAUUAGAAACAAUAGUUAGAAUAUAUACCCAAAGUAGGUCAAUUAAAAUAGUAGUUAGAAUUCAUGUUAUCCACCAAAUCCCAAAAUGAUGCUAACAAAAAUUAGAACCCUGAAUACAUGAUAUUUGAAUAAAAAAUUUCGAUAAGAAUACAUGAUAUGCAUGGGUCAUCAUAGAACCCAUCAUGCAACAUUAGUAAACUGUCUUGCACAACUUAAAGUCAAUCACACAUUUGCAGAUCAUGGUUAAGACUAGAGGAUUAGGCCGUGCAUUAGGUAGGGUUGGUGCCAAAGGUUUGGGGAGAGGAGGGGAUGGUGAUGAUACUGAUGGUGCUCCCCAGGGCCGAAGGCUGACCGCAUCGGCAAGCAGGUGACGAGUACCAGUCAUUCUUGACGAUGAUGUGCCUGUGGUGCCUGCGAACUCGCCUGCGGUACCAGAGGCAGAGGCUGCUGUAGCUGGGGAUGAGCCCAUGGUAGAUGCUGCCACACAGGACACCGGUGCAGAGACUGACGCACAGGAUACCGGUGCAGAGACUGACGGGGACGAGCUUGAGGGAUUUCUUGGUGGACCCAGGGACCCAUUAGUGCUUACAGAGUAUGCUGACCAUGUUGCGGGCAGCGUAUGGUCUGGACAGGUAUUUAUAAUAUUAAAGUUAGUUAACUUUUAUUUUUUUUUAUUUUUUGGUUACUUAUUGACGUUAUUUGAAAAAAUUGUGUGUUCCUUUGUACUUCAAUUCAGGAACAUCUUGAGUUGAAGUUAUGCUCCCAUGGGAGGAAGGUGCAUAACUUGGGCAGGUCUAUUCCUGCAAUUGAGGACAUGGUUGCUGGGACAGGAUUAAGUCCUUUGAUCGCGUGUUCAAUAGACACCGGCGAUCGGGGACUUAUAUCCUCCUUUGUUGAGAGGUGGCACCGGGAGACUUCUAAUUUCCAUCUUCCUGUGGGGGAGGUUUCGAUCACGCUGGAUGACAUCGCGUCUCUUCUCCAUCUGCCUAUCGUUGGCGCAUUCCAUGACUUCCAGCCUUUGUGCACCGACGAGACGGUGUUGCUGUUGGUUGAGUUACUGAUGGUCUCAGCAGAGGUGGCCAUGACCGAGACAGGCCAAUGUGGUGGACCAUACGUACGCCUGUAGUGGCUACGAGACGUAUACCAGUGCAGAUGUCAGACGCAGCACUGGACAGUUGCCGCUCAUGCUUAUCUUCUACAUCUUUUGGGUUGCACUCUUUUUGCUAAUAAGAGUGCAACCCAUGUUCAUGUCGCACACAUACAGGCCCUACGUAACCUCACUCUUGCUGGGCGGUAUGCAUGGAGAGCUGCUGGCCUCGUCCAUAUGUACAAUCAACUUAAUGAUGCCAGUCUCAGCACCAGCCGACAGUUUGCUGGUUAUAUCACCUUGUUACAAGUAAUUAAUAUGUAUUUCAUAAUUUAAUUACAACAAUGUUUUAAUGACUGUAUAUUUAAUUAACAUGUAUGAUUUUCAUGUAAACCCUAUAGUGUUGGAUAUACGAGCACUUUCCUUCAGUUGCAGAGUGCAAUGCUGAUCCGGACUACGACGAGGUGUUACCACGUGCAUGUCGGUGGAUUGCGACAAAGAAGACUGUGAAGAAGCUAUCUACAGCGACGUACAGGCAGUGCAUGGAUCGUCUGAGGAUCCUGGAUGCCUGCUGGAUGCCAUAUGCGGAGCACCGACCUGUGCAGAACUUUCAUCCGAUUUCGUGCUUCUCUGGAAAGCUCUGCAAGGGGCCUGCUGUUGUCAGAUACAGACUGGAGAGGUUUAUGCACCAGUUUGGCUACAUCCAGUGCAUUCCUGCACACCCUGUCCAUUCAUGGGUGUCAUAUGAUGACAUGGACGAUACGUGGACGCACUACUCAGACCAUCUGGAGGCAGCAGGUGAUCUAUGUGUUGUGUCAGGUCAGUGUGCGCCUGACUACAUAGACUGGUUCUUCGUCAUAUCGCAUCCAUUCAUGACUGCACCACAGACGAAUCCUCCUCGAGAUGCAUAUGCGAUGCAGCCCAGUCAUAUCCCUCAUGAGGCAGCACCGACAUCGACACAUGUGGAUCCUGAUGCAAACGAGCCCAGACAUGCAGUGGUAAGUGUUACUAUUUGGUUAGAUGUAUGCCAUUUACUUCAAUUAUUUUAAUACUAAUUUGUAUAAUUUGUUUGUUUUUUAUUUAACAGGAGGCUUGUCAUGCGAUCGCAGAGGCGUUGGAGCAGCAUCUAAAUGUGCUAGGCACAUCUACACAUGAAGAGGUUAUCCAAAAAUGCCUCAGGAUUGUCAGGAGUGUCACUGAAGACCGCAAUGUGUAUGUGAGGUCUCGACGUAGGCGGUGCACGGAUCAACAAUAGUUUAUUCACACUUUAGAUAUCAUUAGUUUUUGACGAUGUAUUUGACUUGACAUUUUGUCAAUUAUGUUUAAAUUACUUGAUCCAAAAUUUAUUUUGUAAUUGUAUGCUAAGAAAUUACAUAGACCCUAAGAAACUCCAUUUUGAGAAAACAUAAAGACAACUAAAACUUCUCUCCACAAAAACACUUAGGCAAACACAUCCAUGAUCCGCGGCACAAUAAUUUGCAAUAGUAAGCUCCAAAUCUGUUCUAAGAUCGUAAGUUCCUUGAUUAGUUGGUUCCUUCUGCAAAACAACCAAAAAAUUUACAAGCAGACAAGGUUAGGGAGGGGGAGGAAGCAAAUCCUUUUUCAAAAAUAAAUAAAUAUAUGAACUUAAUCCAAUAUCACUUUAAUUGUGACUGAAUAUAAUCACAUUAAUUUAAAAUAAAUCACCUCAAGCAGAAAGGAAAUGUUUUAUUAAACCAGUCAUUAUUUAACAAUAGCAAUGGAUAUUUUUAUAUAGCUACUUCAAAUUAACCUCGCACUAAAGUAGUUACCUGCAUAUAUCAGUGACAACUUUCAGUGCUUGCUUAGACACUUGUUGAUUGUGAUAUCUUCAAAUUAGCCAUUUGUCGCCUUCUCUUGGCUUUCCUUGAUAGAUUAUCCCUAUUAAUAUUUGAUCCGCAUGCAUCCCAACCUUUAGGAAGCCCAAGUAAUUCAUCCUUCUUUUCAAAAAUCUAGCUUCUCAUUGUCAUCAUGUCACUACAAAAGUCAGGGUCAGCAUCCUCUACAUUAUAAUAUUUCUCGUCAAAUGCCUUCUUCAUCAUUCUAUCAUACUCCUGUGGGUCAAAUUCCUCUUCAAUUUCUUCCCUGGACAAUGGGAUAAUAUCAUCACCAUGGAUCCCUGCAGUCUUCAUUAUCUUUUUAACCUUUUCCUGUAUUUCCUGCUUAUUCAAAUUCUUUAAGCGUUUCAACUCCUCCUCCCUCUCUUUUUGUUCUAUAGCCAUUCUCUCCUCUUUGCUCUUUCUCUGCUCUUUCCUUGCAUUCGUCUUCUUCCUCAUUGAUCCCUCCACCUUCCGAGCAUGACCCAACACCCUAUCUUCUGGAUUUUCCUGAAAUCUGUAUUCAUAUUCUUCCUAUCUCUUGAGCUCCAUCUCAUCCUCUGAAAUCUCUUGCAAUUCAUCCUCUCCAACAUUCAAAUUCUUCCCACUCUUGCCAAUCCACAAUUUGACCCAACACCCUAUCAAGUUGAUCCGUUGUUGAUCCAUAGAAGGCUUACGGAUCAACUUGAUCCAUAAACCAAACUCGAUCCAUAGAAGUAAAAUCAACAUACGGAUCAAGGUGAUCCAUGGAAGACUCGCGGAUCAACUUGAUGUUAGAGUUUGUGGUCUUAGUUCCUUUGUCCCACAUUGCUUGGUUUGUAAAAACUUGUGUCUCACUAGUGUUAUAUAUAGAGACACCUUGUAAGCUUUUAUGUGCAAGUAAUAAAAGUUCUCCUAGUGUAGCCGUGGACGUAGGCACAUACAUUGUGUGCUGAACCACGUUAAACUGUGUGUCUUUUUCUUUCUUCCCUUUAUUUCUUUCUCUUCUUUUAUUGCUCUAUACUAACAACUGGUAUCAAGAGCUUUUGGUUACUCCACGGAAUUUCCUUAGUUUAAAGGAAUUAGUGGGAGUCUUCUCAGUUUAGAGGAGGCAGUGGGAGCAAUGGCAUUAGAAGAGGGAAAAAUGAAGAUCGAGAAGUUCGAUGGCAGAGAUUUCAGCUUUUGGAAGAUGCAGAUAGAGGAUUAUCUAUAUCAGAAGAAGUUGUAUCAGCCCUUAUCAGGGGUUAAGCCAGAAGACAUGAAGCAAGAAGAAUGGAACUUGCUAGAUCGACAUGCUCUUGGCGUGAUCAGAUUGACAUUAGCCAAGAAUGUCGCGUUCAACAUCAUGAACGAGAAGACUACUGCAGGCUUAAUGAAGGCAUUAUCAGAUAUGUACGAGAAGCCGUCAGCAGCCAACAAAGUAUACUUGAUGCGCCGGUUGUUCAACCUCAAGAUGGGAGAAGGUAUCUCUGUAACUGAUCAUAUUAAUGAGUUUAAUACUAUUCUUGCCCAAUUGGAAUCUGUGCAUAUUAAAUUUGAGGAUGAGGUGAAGGCAUUGAUUUUAUUGUCAUCACUACCGGAUAGUUGGGCUGCAACUGUUACUGCAGUUAGUAGUUCUACAAGGGAGAACACAUUAAAGCUUAGUGACAUUCGUGACUUGAUCUUGAGCGAAGAUGUUCGCAAGAGAGAUUCAGGAGAAUCUUCCAGUCAUGUUUCCAAUUCAGCAUUGAAUACUGAAGGCAAAGGAAGGACUACCCAGAAGGGUCAGAAUGGUCGAGGCAGAUCAAAGUCAAGAGGGAAAGGUCAGAGAAAAUUUCAAAGUGACGUUACUUGUUGGAAUUGUGACAAGAGAGGUCACUUUAGCAAUCAGUGCAAGGCACCAAAGAAGAACAAGUCGCACAAAAACAAGAAGCGCGAUGAUGAUGAAUCCGCAAAUGCAGCAACUGAUGAACUUGAUGAUGCAUUAAUUUGCAGUUUGGAUAGUCCUGUUGAUUCAUGGAUCAUGGACUCAGGUGCGUCGUUCCACACUACUCCCUCUAAAGAUUUAUUGUCUAACUAUGUUUCUGGAAGAUUUGGAAAAGUUUACCUUGCAGAUGGAAAAUCUCUUGACAUUGUCGGAAGAGGUGAUAUCAACAUCAAGACCUCCAGUGGAUCCCUAUGGACAUUGCACAAUGUCAGACAUAUUCCUGCCUUAAAGAGAAAUUUAAUAUCUAUAGGGCAGUUGGAUGAUGAGGGACAUCACACCACUUUUGGAGAUGGAGCUUGGAAGGUAACAAAAGGCAAUCUCAUUGUGGCUCGUGGAAAGAAGCGAGGAUCUCUUUACAUGAUUGCAAAUGAGGAUAUGGUAGCAGUUACUGAGGCUGUCAAUAAUUCAACCAUGUGGCAUCAAAGACUUGGACAUAUGAGUGAAAAAGGAAUGAAGCUUAUGGCGGCAAAGGGUAAGCUAUCAAGCCUCAAGCAUGUAGAUGUUGGUGCUUGUGAACAUUGUAUCCUUGGAAAGCAGAAAAAGGUCAGUUUCUCAAGGGCAGGGAAGACUCUGAAAGCUGAAAAGCUAGAAUUGGUGCACAUAGAUGUUUGGGGGCCAGCCCCAGUGAAAUCUGUUGGAAACUCACGCUAUUAUGUCACCUUUAUCGACGACUCUACCAGAAAGGUAUGGGUUUAUUUUCUUAAAAAUAAAUCUGAUGUGUUUUCUGUGUUUAAAAGGUGGAAAGCAGAAGUUGAAAAUCAAACAGGUCUAAAGGUUAAAAGUCUGAAAUCUGACAAUGGUGGGGAGUAUGAUAGUCAGGAGUUUAAAGACUUCUGUUCAGAACAUGGGAUCAGAAUGAUCAAGACAAUACUAGGAACACCUGAGCAAAACGGUGUUGCAUAAAGGAUGAAUAGAACCUUGAAUGAGAGAGCAAGGUGUAUGUGGAUCCAAUCUGGCUUGCCUAAAGCAUUCUGGGCAGAAGCAAUAAACACAGCAGCAUAUCUCAUCAAUAGAGGACCAUCAGUUCCUUUGAAUUAUCAGUUGCCUGAAGAAGUAUGGUCUGGAAAGGAGGUAAAACUUUCACAUUUGAGAAUUUUUGGUUGUGUUUCAUAUAUACUGACAAACUCUAAUAGUAGAGAUAAAUUGGAUCCGAAGGCGAGGAAGUGUUAUUUUAUUGGUUAUGGAUCUGACAUGUAUGGCUACAGGUUUUGGGAUGACCAAACCAAGAAAGUUAUCAGAAGCAGAAAUGUUACUUUUAAUGAGAACUUAUUUUAUAAGGACAAAUUUUCUGCAGAAUCUACAUGUGCAGGUAAACUGUCAGAAAUUUCUGAGAAAGCAACACUUGAAGAAAUUUCAGAAAGUGAUGUAGCCAACAGAAACCAGAGUACAGGCGUAGAGGUUGAGUCAGAACCAGAACCAUCAACUCCUCCAAGAAAAUCUAGCAGAAUUUCAGUACCACUAGAUAGGUAUUCCCCUUCAUUGCAUUAUUUGUUGUUAACUGAUGCUGAUGAGCCAGAAUGUUUCAAUGAGGCUACACAGGGGAAUGACACUAUUGAGUGGGAGCUAGCGAUGAAAGAUGAGAUGACAUCCCUUCAGAAGAAUAAGACGUGGUCUUUAACUAAAUUGCCAGAAGGAAAGAAGGCGUUACAGAAUAGGUGGGUCUAUAGGCUAAAGGAAGAAUCUGACGGUAGAAGAAGAUACAAGGCGAGACUUAUGGUGAAAGGGUUUCAGCAGAAACAAGGAAUUGAUUUCACAGAGAUCUUCUCUCCAGUUGUAAAGAUGACUACCAUCAGAGUUAUUCUGAGCAUAGUAGCUGCAGAGAAUCUUCACUUGGAGCAGUUAGAUGUUAAAACUGCAUUCUUGCAUGGGGAUUUAGAGGAAGACAUCUAUAUGACCCAACCAAAAGGUUUUGAAGUGCCAAGCAAGGAGAAUCUUGUAUGCAAGCUUCACAAAAGUUUGUAUGGCUUGAAACAAGCACCGAGGCAGUGGUACAAGAAGUUUAAUGAGUUUAUGAGCAACUCAGGAUUCAAAAGAUGUGACAUGGACCAUUGCUGCUAUGUUAAAAAAUAUACUAAUAGUUAUGUUAUCCUUGUUGUGUAUGUUGAUGACAUGUUGAUUGCAGGAUCUAGUAUGGCAGAAAUUAACAGGUUGAAGCAGCAGUUGGCAGAAAACUUUGAAAUGAAGGAUCUUGGUCCAGCUAAACAAAUCCUUGGUAUGAGAAUUCUUAGAAACAAAUCAGAAGGAAUUUUGAAGCUGUCUCAGGAGAAAUAUAUACCCAAGUUGCUUGACAAGUUUUACCUUGGAGAUUCUAAGACCAGGAAUACCCCUUUGGGAUCUCAUUUGAAGUUUUCAAAGAAGCAAUCUUUGCAAACAAAUGAAGAAAAAUGUUACAUGUCAAGAGUACCAUAUGCAUCAGAAGUUGGGAGUUUGAUGUAUGCUAUGGUGUGUACCAGACCUGACAUAGCACAUGCAGUGGGAGUUGUCAGUAGGUUCCUAUCAAAUCCAGCAAAAGAGCAUUGGGAAGGUGUAAAGUGGAUACUCAGAUAUAUGAAGGGUACUUCAGAGAUGUGUUUGUGCUUCAGAAAAGGCAAUCUCACUUUACAGGGAUUUUCAGAUGCAGACUUGGGAGGAGAUUUUGAUACCAAGAAGAGCACCACAGGCUACAUUUUUACCUUGGGAGGUACUGCUGUGAGUUAGAAGUCUAAACUUCAAGAUAGAGUUGCUCUCUCAACCACGAAAGCCGAGUACAUAGCUAUCUCAGAAGCAGCUAAGGAGAUGAUUUGGCUAAAGAAUUUUCUCAAUGAAUUGGGGAAAGAACAAGAUAAUGCUCCAAUGUUUAGUUACAGUCAAAGUGCUAUAAGUCUUGCUAAGAAUCCAGUCUUCCAUUCUAGAUACAAGCAUAUUCAAUUAAGAUACCAUUUUAUCAGGGAGUUGAUAAAUGAUGGAAACUUAUCUUUAUUGAAGAUCUUAGGAUCAGAGAAUCCAGCAGAUAUGUUGACUAAAGCUGUUACAACUGACAAACUGAGGCUUUGCAUUGCCUCAGUUGGCCUUCAAGGAUAAUUGAAGAUGAAGGCGCUGCACUAGGUAAAGAGUCGAUGAACUCGUUGCUUACAAGGAGCUGCUAGAGUUUGGAACUUAGACCCCAAGUGGGAGAAUUGUUAGAGUUUGUUAUCUUAGUUCCUUUGUCCCACAUCGCUUGGUCUGUAAAACUUGUGUAGGCUUAGUCCCACAUCGCUUGGUUUGUAAAAACUUGUGUCUCACUAGUGUUAUAUAUAGAGACACCUUGUAAGCUUUUAUGUGCAAGUAAUAAAAGUUCUCCUAGUGUAGCCGUGGACGUAGGCACAUACAUUGUGUGCUGAACCACGUUAAACUGUGUGUCUUUUUCUUUCUUCCCUUUAUUUCUUUCUCUUCUUUUAUUGCUCUAUACUAACACUUGAUCCGUAAGCCAAACUUGAUCCGUAGAAGUAAAAUCAACAUACGGAUCAAGUUAAUCCGUGGAAGACUGACGGAUCAACUUGAUCCGUGGAAAACUCGCGGAUCAACUUGAUUUGCACUUGGUUCACGAGUCUUCCAC
rnacentral:lncRNA from 1 species